rnacentral:lncRNA from 1 species
CCUUCCCUUACUCAUCGCAGCCUGACCGUCGUGGACUUGAAACCUGGUACGAACGACGUCAAGGCGGCGAGUCCAGCGAUGGCACCGGCACCAACGGUUUCGCAUUGCCACUACGAUGUCGACGAAAUUUGUAUUUCACGACAGAUCUAGAAGAUUUCAGUGAGAUUGGUGUUUGAAAAUUCUAGAGAGAUUUGUCCCAAACCUUUUGACUUUUCGACCAAUAUGAUUAAAAAAGCUAUGUGAAUCUUAAGCCAAGUGAGAAAGGGGUUUGGCUGUGGGCUGGCAACGAGUAAGGGAAGGGGAGGGGGACGGGCUUUGGCUGUGGGUUGGCGUAAGGGAGGGGGAGGGGUGGGUGUGGGCAGGGACUGGAAACUGGGGAGUUGCUUCUGCUAAUAUUUUUUUUUUUUUACUUUAAUUUUUUUUAAUUCAGUAAAAGUUAACAGAGUUAAAUUAGAGUUAGUGGUAGUACAUGUGUUAAACAAAUAAAGAAUGAGACAUGAAUGAGACACCACUUUCGGGACAGCACAUCCGAAGCCCACACAAAGUGUGUGAGAAAUUUUUUUUUAUUUUUGUUUUUGAAAUAGAAGGAGAUAGGAAGAGAGUGAUAAAGAACGUGGGAGUGAGAAUUUUUUUUUUUAAUUAGAGAUAUGUUAGGAUUACAUGUAAGUGAGACUUUGAAAAGAAAAAAAACAGCAAAAUUUGGUUUUGUGAAAUUACAUUUCUGCCCCAUAUUUCUUAUUCAUGUUCUGUUUUAAUUAGAAGGUUAAACUGGGGGUUAAACUGGUAAUUUCAUAGAGUUUUGGAUGACAAUGAGUGUUUUAUUAAUUAGUAAAUAUAAGAGUACUAUUAAGUCCACUCCAGUGUCUUAUUUCCCCACCUACUUUGAAAUAAUAAUUUUAUUCAUCUAUCCUAAUGUUGCUAAUUGCUUAAUUUGUUUAUGACUUUAGGUACUAGACUGGGAUGAAGACAAUUUGAUGUAUGAAAUGUUGAAAACAAAAAAACUUCAGGGUAGUAAACUGAGAUCAACCCUAAAAAAUAAUUAAAUAAAGAAAUAUUGCCGCUUAGCACUAUGGUAUAGUAUUAUUCCUCACUAGUAAGUGAGAGGUCUUAUGUUCGAAUCUCUUUAAUACCAAUUUAUCUCCCCACCUCCCUAGUGUAAAUAUAAAAUGAGUUAUAUAUAAGUAAAGGGAGUGUGCGUGCUAUGAUUUUAAUUAGAGAAUUGCUUAGUAUGCACCAAUGUAUAUUAUUUAUCAAAAUCUGUGACCGUUGAAUCGUUGAUGUGGAUCUGUUAGUGCACAUUAAUGCUUCAUUUACCUCAUACAUAUUAUACAACAAAACAUAGUAAAAUUUCGAUUAAUUAGACUAAAAAGUUUGAAAUAUCUCAUAAAAAAAAGAUUAAAAAAAAAGAGACAAAUAUACGUAAAAAAUGACCCAUUUUCUUAAUCUUUAGACUAAAAUAAGACAAACCAAUUAUGCACACCAUACCAUACACAUCAAAUUUUAUUCAUUUAUCCUAAUAUUGCUAAUUGCUUAAUUUGUUUAUUGUACAAACCUCUUGUGUGGAGCUUGGGCUGGAAACAUUUUCUGCUUGGUGCCAUGGCUGAGGAUUUGAGGGUGUUGGUAGUUACAAUUAUGGGAUUUUAUAGGGAGGGAGCUGCUGCUUGCUGGUGAUAUUUGAAGUUCUUUUUUUUAGUACAUCGAUAUUUUUAUAUUAUGGGAAAGGAGAGUUUUUUAGUAAUGAUGAUUUUUUUUUAAAAUUAUAAUAAAUUUUCAAAGCAAGGAAAAAUUGAGGAAAAAAUAUGCAAGGUUAUUUUGGAAAUAAUGGUAGGUGGGAAAAGAGUUUAUGUAUUUUUCAACUUUUUAUGGUGAAUAUAAAUAAAGGGUAAAAGACUGUUUACUAUCCUCAUGUUUCGUGGUUUUCAACAUUUAGUACAUCAAGUUUUUUUCGUCUCAGAUUCAUACCUAAAGUGUAAAUUUUGGGAUAGUCUCAUACAUCCGUUAGUCAGACUGUUAAGUCUCCCGUUAACUGUGACGUGGCGCUCAUGUAGACACUAACUGAGCGCCACGUGUCAUCCACGUUUUUUUUUCCUUCUUCUUCUUCUUCUUCCUCCGACUGCAACUUUUUUUUUUGUUUUUUUUUCCUUCCUCCUCCUUCCUUCCUCCUUCUUCCUUUCCCUUUCUUCCCCUUCUUCCUUCUUCUUCCUUCUCCUUCUUCUUCUUCUUCUUCUUCCUCCGAAUCUGGGGAAGGUUUUUUUUUUUUUCUUCUUCUUCUUCUUCUUCCUCCUUCUUCCUCCUUCUUCAUUCUCCUUCCUCCUUCUUCCUUCCUCUUCUUCUUAUUCUUCUUCUACUUAUUCCUCCGAAUCUGCCCAGAUUCAGUUUUUUUUUUGUUUUUUCUUCAGUUUUUUUUUUGUUUUUUCUUCUUUCUUCUUGCUUCUUCUUCUUCUUCCUUCUUCUUCUUCCUUCUCCUUCUCCUUCUUCUUCCUCCGAAUCUAGGGAAGUUUUUUUUUCUUCUUCUUCUUCCUCCUUCUUCCUUCUCCUUCCUCAUUCUUCCUUCCUCAUUCUUCCUUCCUCUUCUUCUUCUUCUUCGUCCUUCGAAUUUGCCCAAAUUCAGUUUCUUUUUUCUUCUUUCUUCUUUCUUCUUCUUCUUCUUCUUCCUCCGACUACAACCUUUUUUGUUUUUUUGUUUCCUUCCUCCUUCUCCUUCUUCCUUUCUCCUUCUUCCUUCCCCUUCUUCCCCAUCUUCCUUCUUCUUCCUUCUCCUUCUCCUUCUUCUACUUCUUCCUCCGAAUCUGGGGAAUUUUUUUUUUCUUCUUCUUCCUCCUUCUUCCUUCCUUCCCUUCUUCUUCUUCUUCUUCUUCCUCCGAAUCUGCCCAGAUUCAAUUUUUUUUCUCUUUUUUCUUCUUUCUUCUUCUUCCUCCUUCUUCCUCCUCCAACUACAACUUUUUUUUUCCUUUCUCCUUCUUCUCCUUCUUCCUUCCUCCUUCUUCCUUCUUCUUCUUCUUCUUCCUCCGAAUCUGGGGAAGAUGAAGGUUUUUUUUUUUUUUGAAGAAGAUGAAGAAGAAGAAGAAGGAGAAGAAGAGGAAGGAAGAAGGAGGAAGGAAGAAGGAGAAGAAGGAGGAAGAAAAAAAAAAGUUGCAGUCGGAGGAAGAAGAAGAAGAAGAAGGAGGAAGAAGGAGGAAGAAGAAAAAAGAAAAAAAAAAUAGAAUCUGGGUAGAUUCGGAGGAAGAAGAAAAAGAGGAAGGAGGAAGGAUGAAGGAGAAGGAAGAAGGAGGAAGAAGAAGAAAAAAAAAAAACUUCCCCAAAUUCGGAGGAAGAAGAAGGAGAAGGAGAAGGAGAAGGAGAAGGAUGAAGGGGAAGAAGGGGAAGAAGGAGGAAGGAAGAAGGAGAAUGAGGAAAAAAAAAGUUUAUGUCGAAGGAAUGAGAAGAAUAAGAAGAAGGAAGAAGGAGAAGAAGAAAAAAAAAACGUGGAUGACACGUGGCGCCCAGUCAGUGUCCACAUGGGCGCCACAUCACAGUUAAUUGGAAACUUAACAGUUUGACUAACGGAUGUAUGAGACUGUCUCAAAAUUUACACUUUAAAUAUGAAUCUGAGACGAAAAAAACUUGAUGUAUUAAAAUGUUAAAAACCACGAAAUAUGAGAGUAGUAAACAGUCUUUUACCCAUAAAUAAAAAUAGGUGGAAAAAUAAGACAUUAGGAUGGAUAUAACACCACUCGAUAGUAAUCAUAAUCAGUGGAUUGACUUUAUCAUAAUAGCCUUGAUGACUUUUUUAAUUCCUAAUUUGGGUGAAUCAAUCCCACCCACCCACGUAUAUACGAGACAACCAAGCAGUCAUCAGCCACGUUAGCACCCAUUAAAUAUUCGAAAACUACAAACCACGUGCUUAACUGUUCAUCGCACUACGGUAUCAAAUUAUUAUAAUUAUAUUAUUGAGAAGAGCUUAGCUCCUUAAGGUUGGAAACAAGCCACUUUAAAAUAUUUUGCGACCUAUUUAUAUAAUUUCUUGUUAUAAUCAAAAUUGUUCGUCUUUAUAAAAAAUAAAAAAUAAUAUUAGAAUAAUAUUAGGAUGUUCAAAAUUUCAAACUAAAUGAUAGGUCACUAAUUGAAAAUAAGCGUGUUGAUCAACAUUCAGUAAUAAUAUAAUAAUCAACAUCCACAUCAUUUGAUUUACAAAAUUUAAUUUAUAAAUUUGAUUUCUCUAACAUUACCCUUAAAAGUAAUAUCGUUAGGUGAUUUAUAAAAUAAACAAUUUUGAUCAUACAGUCCAAGUCAUGUGAAGGCCACGAAACAUUUUGAAGAGGAACCCGUUCUCAAACCUUAAAAACUGAGCGGUGGAAAAUUCUGUAAAUAAGUCACGGAACAUUUUGAAUAGGAACUCUUCCACAACUUAAGAAGCCAGGCUCUCUGUAUUGUUUAGCUCAGUCGGAAUCAUUAUUCCUUGGUGCAAAUUAUCAUUAUAUUGUGACAUAUAUAAUAGUUUGAUUUCACUUAACAUUUUGAAGAGGAUCUUUACCUAACUUUGACCCCUUUUCAGUCUCUGCCUGAUUUUUCCCGGUCCUAAGAUUCCUAACACGGAAGACCAAUCUGAUUCACAUGAUACCAGUAUCAUGGCUUCGAGGGACCGAAUUCAGUUGUCUCGUAGAAUAAUACGACUCGAUGAGAACCACUUACAAGGCACAGUGCACCGUCACGGAGCACUAUCAUAAGGCGUCUCAUAUCAAUAAAACAAUACUACACAAACAGAAUCUUAUACAUGCAUGUUUUUAUUUUAUUGACAUAAAACUCCACCAUGAUGGUACGCUUGUGUCAUGUAAGUCCUCAAAAAACUGUGUGCUUGUAUCAUGUAAGUCCUAAAAAACUGUGUGUUUGUGCCAUGCAAGUCCUCCAGCGACCAAAAACUGUCCAAAACAUUUCAACAGAAGUACUGUGUCUGUGUAUAAGAUUGGGUUCUUUCCAGGCCCUUAUAGGCCCUGCUCAAUACUGCACUGAGAACAACUAUGAAACCUAGACUUGGAUGACAAAAUUGCAGUACUAGAAACUCCCCAAAAUUUGUCAAGGGUUUAAAACAUCUAAAAAGUCCAACCGAUAAAAAUAAACCACUAACUUGAGAAGUUUCACCGAAUCGGGUCCAAAACUGUGUCUAAAAAACCUAAAGAAAACUGAACUAUCACGAGACAACCUGAACUGUGUCGAGAAAACAUCCCUCCCCCGCUCACGAACAUAUGAACAUCCUUAUUCAUAUAUUGGAGCGCAAUGCAAGAAAACCCAGCUUCAACGACACAUCCAGAAUGGAUCUUGCUCCAGCAUCGAGUCAAGACUAUAGUCAUCUCGCGGCAAGUUGGUGCCAAAUCCUAAGUUGUCAGUAUUAUUGGGAUGAUUACCAAAUGGAGAAUCAAACAAGGUGCACGGAUCAAACUGAAAUUCUGUGGAUGGGAGAGAUGGAGGAGCUGGAGUAGCUGGAGGAAGCAUAGGCAUAGGCAUAGGCGAUGCUUGAGACAUGUUGGAUCCUAUAACCAACCUUUCAUCAAAGAAGUUAUCACCCAUGGGAAAUUGAUAAUUCACCUGAUGCUGGUUGUGGUUUUCUACAACAUCGAGGCUUCCAGGAUCCGAGUUCUUGUUCUGCUGAAUAUUACCAUCACAGAAUGACAUAAACUCAGAUAUCAUAUUCUGCUCAUCCCCAGCAAGUUCAAGUCCGGAAGCAUUAAAACUACUUGUCUGGUUCACUGGUUGUUGAAUAGCUGGAUUAGGUUGAGGACUGGAUAAGGACCCCACAAGUUUGUCACUGUUAGGAUGAACGCUUGACAUUCCAACUUGUGAAGAAUUAUUCCUGUAAGAACACGUCAACUGGUGAUUAUUCCUUGCAGUUAUGUUGCGAAAGCCUAGGUGGUAAUCAUGAUACGGGCAAUCCAGAUAUUCGCAGGUGUAACCCUGAUGAUUUAGCAUCAUUUGUGGCUCUUCAGGCAGCUGCUUCCUCUUUUGACCAGAGUCUGAAUCGGUCUCAGUCAGCUCUGCCAUAAAAUGAUGCAUCAGUCCAUCUCUGUGUCCAGAUGUUCCAAUAUUUAAGUGAUUAAAAAGAGGUUGGCAGUCCUCUUCUUCAUAAUUAUCUUCAUCAUCAACCACUUCAACAUCAUAAUCACUGGUACCGCUGAUUGCAAAAUUAGACCCACUCCCAGAAGAUGAUGGAGGUGUACAUCCAUCAGGAUAUAACCUCUGGGCCAAAUUUUCCUCCUGGUUAAGGAUGGCUAGCCAAAUGGUGGUCUCCUUAGCAGACAUUUUGUCCUGCAAAUAUUUAGACCGAUGAACAAGCUUCCGGAUCCUGGCAAUAUCGGGUGACAUGUGCUUUAUCACAGCCGCGAGAACACUCACCUUCCAAGCCUUCUUCAGAUCAUGAGGCUUCCUGUAUGGGGGAGGACCCUGAUCCUUGCGCAGAUUCAAUUGAGUCCACCAUUCUUCAUUGCCAGUGGGCCACCAAGGUGGGGCAACACCCUUCUCCAACGGGAAACGUCUUUGGGGUGGAUGGCAGUGCUGCAUCAAAGCCGACAAAAGUGAACCAAGAGUGGCAUCAUGGAGCUCCUGUAAGUUAUGAGGAGUGGAUGGUACUGCAUUGGAGUCUUCAUUCUUCCCAGGGAUUGGAUGUUCAGCCAGAUACUUAGAAAUUGCAGCAGGGCCAUUAUGGUCAAAUCUUACUUUUUCCUUCCACCAUUCGCGAAGACUGUCAGACGCACCAGUCACUGGUUUACCAUUUUCGGGGAUAAUCCCAUAAACAAAACCCUUGGCUUUACAAACUUCCAUCAUUUUUAACAUAUAUUUCAGGAUUCCAUCUUGUGCCCGUGACAUCCUCUUCCUCCGAGCUUGUUCCUGUGGCUGACACUGCCUAGCAUUGUCAGCUGCUUCUGUUCCCUCAUUUUGCUCUUUAAGCCGCUUCAGUCGCAUUCUAUAUUUCCACACCCUCCUCUCAAGCUCAUUAACAUCCAAUUCGUCGUCACUAUCAUCCUCCUCCACUGUUGCCUCUGGGUCAUUCUCUGGGGCUGCCUCACCUUCCUCAGGGAAAGCCAAAAGAAAGUCAAGGUCGUCACUGAACUCCAACUCCUCAAUGAUCGCCAUCCACCACCAACACAAAGAACAAGGUUGAUUGUAUACAAAUAUAUAACAAUUGGGUAAUUAAAUACAGUCCACGCCAACUUCACCACCCUUCUACUCUUUAUAUGAUUAGCAAACCCAAAAACAAAUGAAAUCUUCUGCAAAUGAUAAUUACGAAUAACUCAGUUAAAGCCACAAUUGUCGCAUACGGGAGAUCAGGAACAUGGAACUAGUAACAACAACGUUACUUCAAUGAAAAUAAAAAGGAAAAUUACAUACUUUCACGGAUACGAUUAAUUGAAAACAUAAAAAGUAAUACAUUAAAGAAGUCAGAACCAUGUAGACAAGCAAAGUUAUAUAUAUUAAUUGAUCAUGAAUCAAACAAGUAAGAUUAACAAACAAAGAAACGCAACGGAUUUCCGCGGUUUUGCAUUCAAAACAAAAAAGAUGAAAAAAACCAAAGCAAAACCCUAAUACAAAAACCUUAUGCACAAAAGCAACAACAUCAGUUACAAACCAAAAACAAAAUGAAAAAUGAAAAAAAAACAAAUCAGCAACAUGAGGAACAUGAGAUCAUUAGAACAAAAACCAAAUGUUACAAGUGCAUACCCUGUAACUGCAAAAAACUUCCAAAAGACAAAGAACAGAACUGGGUGACAACAGGUUCAUCACACAACUAAUCAGUUUCAUAUUUUUUCACAAAACCAUGUUACUGAUUUUCAUGAUUUAACUCAAAAUGUUAUAGCUUGAUAUAAUGCAGGUAUGCAGCACAUAUUCCACCUACCUAAGCAAUAUAAUUCACCUAUUAAUUUGUUUGUUCAUUGUUUAACAUAGAUACGGAAAUUCGGGGUAGCCACCUUUCGGAUCAUAAGAUGUUCGAACUACAAAACUAUACCAUCAGCAAGUGGUGGAUUGCCCCGGUGGUCAGGGCCUUCCUAUUCAACCCAUUGCCCUUAGUGUGGUUUACUCUUGUACUAAAAAAACCACGCUAUCAAAUCCAAAGUUCUAGAAGAUUAAAAAUCAAAGAAAAACACGAAAAAUAAAAAAGAUCAAACAGAAACAAGAAAGGGUAAAUUCUCACACCAGGACCUGCAACUAAAGGAAGUAGAAUAUAAAAUACACACCAAGAGAAUAACCAGAUAGCAUAAACACAGAGAUCAACCAUAAAAAUACAUGAAAAUUCACACGAUGAAUAAGAUAAAAAUAUUCCUUUGACUAUUAUUAUUUUUUUAGUUGACAAGAAGACUGAGAAAUGAAACAAGUAGUUUAAGUAAACAAAUAAAAAGCAGAAAAAUGAAGGUACCUAUUUGAUGGGUUGGUAGGGGCCGAGGGAUGGAAGCUCCUCCCUCCUCAACACCCUCUGGUUCCUCAGAGAGAGGCAGAGAGGUUGUGUCCUGCUCAGGAGACAGAAAUGGAAGAAGAAAAAGACAGACAAAAGAAUUGGAAGCAAAAGUGAAAUUUUUGUCGGAGGGCGUGCUAUUUAACUAGACUCGGCUACGUUUUAACCGCGGUUUGAGACGUGGGUGGGUAACUUCUCCUUUUUCUUUUUUACUUUUGGUAAGCGGUACCUUUUGGUUUUUGGUUUUUUACUAUUUAGAGUAACUUGUAUAGCACGCAUACUACCGUUCCGCGUUGAUAAUUCAAAAUAUUAAUUUUUCAAUAUGGUUACAUUAUUGAUUUUCAAUGUACUAUGUACGUUCUUUCAUUUCUUUAAACUAAAACUCGUACUAAAGAUCAAACAUCCAUGUUAAUUUAUGUUCCAUCAUGUGCGACAAUAUUAUUAUUAUGUCACUUUUGUCAACUCAACAAAGUGUGACAAUUUCAUUAUAUUGCAAACUCAAUGUAUACAUCUCCCAUCAGGUGUGCUCGCUCGCCUCUUUUAACUCGAGCUCAAAAAUCCUCUUAGUAGUAGUUUAUUAAACUGUAUUAUAAAAAAUCAAUAAGUAAUUUUGACAAAAAUUCUUAAAUUUAUGUUAAUGUGGUAGAAUUUGGGUUUAAUUACUGCUCUGGGUGUUCCUUUUUUUACCAUUUACUCAUCUCACUAUUUUGAAGGAAGAGAAAAGUUGAAUGUUUAAGCUAAAGGAUACUUUUGUAUUUUCACUUCAUCUUUUAAUUAUAAUUUUUUUAAAUAAGCAAUAUUAUCUACACUAAAUAGAUAAGGACGUAGACUAAUAUAGAAGUUCAAAACGUUGUCCAAAAUUCUAAAUCGGGCACAAAACAUUGAUACCAAAUAUAGCGAAUAAUAAUAUGGCUGUUAUGGAUACCUAAUUAGCUUAUUUCAUUAAAGACAAUUUAUAUUCAACUAUCCAGAUGUAUUACUUAAUUAGCUAUUAUAUUUUAAUCUUAUCUAAGCUUUUAAUCUCAGCCGUUGAUAAAUAUUUAACAGAUAGAAUUGAAUGUUACCCCUACUGGUUUUUCUUUUCCUCUCUCCAUUAACAUAGGCAAGAACUUUUGGCUAUAGUGAUCUCUUCUUUUUUAGGAAAUAAACUUUAUUAAAAAAAGAAAAAAAGAAUUCUCGGGAACAAUAGGAGCUCAUAAAGUUAAAUAAAAACUGGAGUGCUUCACGAGGAAGCACUGAAGAAGCACCCGAUCUCAAAUACAAAUGUUGUCAAUAUUGUUACUAAUGAGUGUGAUAGCAUCAGUUAGGAAGUUUGCUUCUUUAUAAGUAGCAACUGAAUAGAAUUAAAAGAGAUCGUCAGAUAUUUGAUGUCCUCGAAAAUAGUAUUGAGCCUCCAAGAGAUCUUACAUCAGUCAAGAAUCUCAUCUAUAACUAUAUUGGAGUCACCUUCAAUUACCACAUCCUUGAUAUUUCUCUGUUUUGCAAAAAGAAGAGAAUCCCGAAGAGAGUCUCAGCUACAGUAAUAGUAUUUGAUCUUAGAUUGUGAGCUCCAACAACAAUUGGCCUUCAAACAGAAUCUCGAAUGAAAAUUCUCCAGCAGCUGAACCUCUACCCACUGGGCCAUCCAAGUUGAUUUUCAUAGUGUCUUCUCUUGGAGCUUUCCAUUUAGAAGUCUUCCCUUCGAAACACAAUCUCUUUUUUCGUGUCAUAUAGGAGGAAAUUUCAUCGUUUUGUUGUACUAAAUAGAUCCGUUGCUUUGUUACAACUUACAAUGUACAUAAAUGUUGUCGUAUUUCAAACUGCAUGUCACUUGCGUGUGGUUCAAGUUCGUAAAAGAUAGAGCGUUAAACUUUAAGGAAAAUUAACGAAAAGUUCAAAAAAACAUCUCUUUUAACGAAAAGUUAUUUUUAAAUGUAUAGUGAAUAGUGCCAGUUAAAGGUAAAAAUGUGGUUUUUCGUUAAAAGUGAACAGUACCGGAAGUGUUUUGUUAAAACUCCCUAAACUUUACCCAUGUAAUCCGGUACAUGCAACUAUGAUCCCUCAACUAAAAUUCUAUUACCCUUGGUCCCUCAACUUUAAUACAACUAGAUAAAUGGUUUCUCAACUUUAACCCAAUUGUAGCAAUAGUCCUUCUAACAUAACUCAUUUUGACAAAAUUCUGACAAAGUUAACGAAAAUGACUAUAGCUACACAUUUUGAUGAGUUGAGGGACCCUAAUUGUAGCAAUGAUCCUUCCAACAUAACUCAUUUUGACAAAAUUCUAAUAAAGUUGACGAAAAUGACCAUAGCUACACAUUUUGAUGAGUUGAGGGACUAAUGGUAAUGAAUUUUUAGUUGAGGAACCAUUACUCCAAUUUGAUUAAAGUUAAGGGACCAUUAAUACAAUUUACUAAUAAAAGUAUAGUGGAAAAUCUUGAGACAUUGUUUUGUCCGCAAAAUACUACAUAGUUAUAGGUUUUUGUUUUUCAUUUCAUAUGAGAUUUUAGCAACAUUAUUAGUAUUACCAGGUGUAUGGUCGUUGCAAUCAAGAUUAGUAAAUUGUUUAGAGUGAUACAAUGAUUAGUCCCUAAUUAAUCAGGGAGGCAAGAUCACUAUACUUGUAUUACAUAUGUGAUAUUAAUAGUGAGUUCAUGAAUAACACUUACAUGUAUAUGUUCUAAACUAAAUUUUAUAAACCAAAUGAUAUGAAUGUUAAUGAUUAGAUUAUUACUUAAGUGUUGAUUAACGUGCUUAUUUCCUAUUGGUGGUGAAAUUUUUAGUUGUGACAGGAAUACAAGUGGUACACCAAGUGUUUUAAUAGAAGUGGUGAAAUUUUUUAUUUUUUAAGUUAUUAACUUUUUAGCACACAUAUCCCACCAUUUGUAUAGUGACACGUGAUGUACUACCCCGUGUACCGAUCAUAUUGAAAAAUCUCUCCUAUUGGUGACACAUUAUUUGAUUUCUAAAUUUGAUUUAAAAUUUUGAUCAGCUUAGCAUUAUCCUGAAGUUAAAUACACCAUAUUCAUAUAAUAAUCUUGGAUGUAUGUGGGGGAAGAAAUCGGAGUGCACGAAUAAUACUUAUAACAUGUGAAGCACUCCAGUCUCCAGCAGUUGAAUGUUACCAAAAAUAGUAAAGUGCAAAGCACGUAGUACCGCGUUAGGCUACCAAUAUGUUUAUCCAAACCCUCCAUGUAUAUAUAUAUAUAAACACACACCCAACCACCAUCCCUUAUGCAAUCCUCGACCACAUAGGAAAAUCAUUUAGCAUUAUGUCUUCCAUCAAAUCCUAUGGCAAGAUUGAUGAAUCCGACCAAGCCCGGCUCGACGCUCGUAGGGAAACUCGAAAGAGAGUUGCCAUCAUAAGCCUUUCGUCCAUAGUUCUUGUCUGUGUCAUUGUUGCUGCUGUGGUUGGAACCACCGUUCAUAAUAAAUCUGGUGGGAACUCUAAAGGCUCGGCCAUCUCCACUUCUGUCAAGGCUGUUUGUGAUGUGACCUUGUACCAGGAUUCGUGUUACAGCAGUCUUGGUCCUCUGGUUAACUCCAACAAUGUUAAGCCUGAGGAGAUUUUCAAGUUGGCAAUUCAGGUGGCGAUCAAUGAAUUGUCGAAAGCCGCUACUCAUUUUUCGGCUGAUGGUGUUCUUAAUGCGACUGCCAAGGACACACAGUCUGUGGCAGCUUUGAAAGAUUGUCAAGACCUUUUGAGUCUGGCAUUGGAUCAUCUCAACGACUCAUUGUCUGACACUAAGUCGUUGGUUGAUGUGUUUGAUGAUCUCAAGACUUGGCUGAGCUCUUCAGGCACAUAUCAGCAGACUUGCAUUGAAGGUUUUGACGAUGUAAAAGGAGAACUCAAGGAUAAAGUUGUCGGCUACUUGAAGAACUCCAAUGAGUUAACUAGCAACAGCCUCGCCAUUGUCUCUUGGAUUUCCAAAGUCCUUAACUUAGUGAACCUAAGGCGACUUCUGACACACCCUGAUCCCACCGAUACGUACAGCCAGGGAGUACCAGAGUGGCUGCAUCGGAAGGAUCGCAAGCUGCUUCAGAGUUCGGAUUUGAGGAAGAAGGCAGACAUUGUCGUGGCAAGCAAUGGCAGUAGCAAAUACAAAACAAUUCAGGAUGCACUCAAUGCUGUUCCGGAUAAGAGCAAGAAGAGAACAGUCAUCUACGUCAAGAAGGGGGUUUAUUAUGGGAAUGUGAGGGUUGAGAAAUCCAAGUGGAAUGUUUUGGUGGUCGGUGAUGGUUCGAAUGCAACUAUUGUAACUGCCAAACUCAACGUUGUGGAUGGAACUCCCACAUUUUCCACUGCCACAGUCGGUAAUAGUUCGAUAAAACUCUGUAUAGCUAGCAUAUUUACUGAUCACAUUACUGCCGUCCUUUUGAAAGGGGAUUCUUCUCAUGCAAAUGAGUCUCCUUUCAGUGAGAGAUCUGAUCAGCAAUGUUUGCUGGUAAAUGUUUCAUAUCAUAAUAGUAAUAGAAACAAUUAUUUCUUUGUAUGCAGCCGUUUUUGGAAAGGGAUUCAUUGCCCGGGACAUUGGAUUUCGCAACACUGCAGGGCCAGCCAAGCACCAGGCAGUGGCCUUGUUGUCAACUGCUGAUCAGUCAGUCUUCUAUAGGUGCGACAUUGAUGCAUUCCAGGACACUCUCUAUGCUCACUCCAAUCGCCAAUUCUACCGCGAAUGCAACAUUUAUGGAACAGUGGAUUUCAUUUUCGGGAACUCAGCAGUUGUGCUCCAAAACUGCAACAUAAUGCCUAAGGUUCCCAUGCGAGGCCAGCAGAACACCAUCACAGCUCAAGGGAAGUUUGAUCCCAAUCAAAAUACAGGAAUUUCGAUUCACAAUUGCAGCAUAUCGCCCUUUGGAGACUUGUCCUCGGUCAAAACUUUCCUCGGGAGGCCAUGGAAGAAUUACUCCACAACUGUGUACAUGCAAACAUACAUGGGAAAUCUCAUCAGCACUGAUGGAUGGUUGCCAUGGGUAGGCAAUAGCGCUCCCGACACCGUAUUUUACUCGGAAUUUCAAAAUUUUGGACCUGGUGCUUCCACAAAGAAUAGGGUUAAAUGGAAGGGGUUGAGAACCAUCAACCAAAAAGCAGCCAGCAAAUUUACAGUGCAUUCAUUUCUCCAAGGAACUAAGUGGAUCUCUGAUGCUGGUGUUACCUACACAUCAAGCCUCUGACCAAUAUAUUUGAUAGUUUCAUGAACAAAAAUUGAUUUUCUUUUCCCAAUUUAUUAUUUUCCAUUUCACACUUUUUGAUCAUGAUUGUUUUGUGUGCCUUCUUAUACUUUCUGAUUGCUUUUGCACAGCAAAUUGUGAUAUAUUUUUCUGGCUUUGAUGUAAUUGUUGAAAAAUAGUAUAUACAAAGUCCAACAUGUCUGACAUUUCAUAAUUCAUAUUUCCAAUUAAAUUAAUUUUCAGAUCAUUCAUGUGUAAUACUGGAAAUUCAAAUAUUACGAAUUAAGUUAAUUCUAUUACCAUCUGUUUGUAAAUUUACACUAGCUACUUAGAGGACGGAAUUAUAAACCGAGGAUAUAUAUGAUGAACAUGAAUGAAGUUGGAAUGAAAUUAAGCCAAUGAAUAAUUAAAAAGUUUUUAACAGUACUAAAUACAAUAAUCAGUAGAAAUAGUAUUAAUUUUCACUUGGAAGUUGAGAAGUUUUAAUAAUUCUCUAAUUCAGCAACCCUCCAUAGAAGGGUAUAUCGGUGUCGGGCAACCAAGUAUCACCCAAUGUGAAAUUACUGACAGUGAAAUUCAAGGCUUGAGUAGCAUUCAUCAGACUAUAACCAGGCCAUUGUACUCUCUUCGUCGUGUUUGCCCCCGGCCCGUGAUUCUGAAACUCACCGUAAAACAGUGUGUCCAAUCCAACCGUCCCAUUCCAUUCCAACCAUCCAACUGAGCUGAUCAGAGAGCCAAUAUAAGACUGCAUGAUGACAGUCCUAGAAAACACCUUCCAAGGCCUUCCCAGAAAAUUUAACGUGGAGUUGAGGUCCGCUGCCAAGUCUGGCGCAGCUUCAAUUGUGCAGUUGUGGAUGGAGAUUCCGGUGUUCUGAUUCGGGUCAGUUCGUCCUUGGGCUGUGAAGGCGUUUUUCUGGUUGGGCAUCGGUUUUCGAGCGUAUAAAUUGCAACUCUGGAAGACAGCAGCAGCAUUUCCAAAAAUGAAAUCUACAGUUCCAUAUAUGUCACAUUCCUUAUAGAACUGCCUCAGGGAAUGUACGUAUAGAGUGUCCUGAUAGCCUUCGAAGCUGCACCUGUAAAAUGUGGAGAGGUCAGCAUUGUUUCUUACAGCUACCGCUUGGUGCUUUUCUGGACCUGCAGUGUUCCUGAAUGUAAUAUCUACGGCCACAAAUCGUUCCGCAGAAACAGCUGCAACACAACAAAUCAUUGAGUUUCAGACUAAUUAAGCAUGUAAAACAUAAAUAAUUAAUACUCAAUUCACAGGUGUUCAAACUAAUUUUCACUAUGUUACACAAGUUUGACGAUAUUUAGUCGUCAAUGAAGUAGAAGUCGACAGGUACUUACUACCUGAAGGCGAUAAGGAUUAUGAAAAUUAUGAACCAUGCAUGUAGAGUUUUUCUCUAGUACAUUGGCCAAAUAAUCAAGUUUAAAAAUGACGUGUUAAAGAAACAAAACUUAUCAUCAAAUUUGGAUACAUGUCAUGUUUCAAUUGAAACUAUUUUGUCACUCAGCACUGUCACGUGACAAGGCACAACAGUUUUUUUGAGCCCCUACUAGGGUUUUGGUGGGAUGAAUGUGAUUCAAAUAAUUUUUAUACGCACUUUAAUUUCAAGAGGGCCAGAAGAGAAAGAGGUAGCUAGCAGAAAUGUAAUUCUUACCAAAGGUUGAGGAGUUGAAGGUAGUCCAAUCAUCGACGAAACUAUGGUUUCCGGUAAUGACAGUGCUAUUAAUACCAUCUCCGAGCAGCAUUAUGUUAGUCUUGUGUUUGGCGAUGACAAUGUACUCAUGAUAGCAUCCUCCUCUAACAUAGAUCACAAAGUAGCCAUCUUCAGGCUUCAACUUCUCGGGAGCAGAAGUAAUAGCAUCUCCGAUCGAUGUAAAGUUGUCCGUCCCAUAUGGACCCACAAUCACUGUGUCGUUAACCAGAAUGCCACUGCUCUCCAUUUCUUCAAGAAUCCUCUCACCUCUUUCGGAAGUCGUCGAGUUUUUGCCAGAACUUUUCCGAAGUGCCUGCAAUUUAUUUUUUAUUCAAAUGAAUUCUUAGAUACUCACGAAUCUCUACGUAAUCACUUGUUCUUUUAUCAAUUAUGGUUCAUGAAAUUUAAGCUCACAAGUCAGGUCUCCUCCAUUAAAGUGAUUAGCCACUAGACUAAAUGAUCAUAUACUUAAUUAUAUAUCUAAAGUUGAUCAAACGAUAUUACACGUAUGGUUUGGAUUUGUAGUCAAUGUGAUUAAGCUUGUUCUAUACAUUGUAGCCGUACUGUACACAUUUGUUAAAUUUUAAUUUGUGCAAGUAUAUUGAGUAUUUUAGUCAUAUUUACAGAUUACUUUAUUGUUUUAGUACACUGCAUAAUAUACUAGUAUUGGCACAUGACCUAAAUUCAAUACGGAUUUUCACUCAUCAAUUUACGUUGAGUUUUGUUUACACCCAACAUGCCACCUUUGGACAGUAAAAUUUUUUAACACCCAUCUCAAAAUUUAAGUUUUUUUGGACACCAAACAUAAUUAACACUAAUUAAAACCAACCUUUGAAAUAUCUUUUGUAUUUAAAAUUUGGUUGUAAACAGAAUCGCUCUUUAAUACUGUGUAAGACAUACAAAAGUCACUUAUUAAGAUACUUAUUACCCUGAUAACAUGUUAAGAAUCUUUUUAUGUCGUAUGAUCGGAUGAUGAGUUGACCAGAAAAAUAAAAGGAUGGGUGGUGGUGGUGGCGGCGUGCUGCAUUUGAUGGGGGAGGCCAUUGACGGUGCAAAUGCAUCGCGAUCGAUAUGCAGAAACCAUGUGACGUACGUUACUUACAAGUUAUGCACGUACAAUAAUUGACAUCGGUUGGCAGGGCCUCUUAUUUUGACUCCAUUACUCCAGAUCUAGCUACUUCUAUCACACAGAGACCCACUUGGACUUGAAUAAACAAUUGAACCAUAAAUUGAGAUCUUUGUGUCGAUAAACAAUAUUUCGUAACUAUUUAAAAAAACAAAUUGUAGCUCAGUUGACUUAGAACAUUUUGUUCUGCACCUACUUGAGUUUUCUAAUUCGAGCAAAAAAAAAAAAAAAAUCACAAAAAUGUUGAAUAAAAAAAAUAAUAGUAGAGAAGGUAUCUUUAUGAUGUACUAUCUACUAUGUGAUUGUUCCUCUCAAAUUAAGUCUCUAUGAACUCCAUAUCUUACACUAAUUUAAGGUUUUAUAAAAAUAAAACUCACAAUUUGAAGGGUAAGAUUGUGAGAAAAAAAAUAUACAAGUUAAUUACAAAUAGUGACUCUAAUUAUGAUUCUUUUUAUUAAGAAGCUCUAAUUCAUAGAGUAACCAUGGGUUUACAACCUCAUUAUCAUCAAUUAAAUGAAAAAUUGGAAAUUUUUGCAUAAUAACAUGAGAAGUUGGAAAUUUAAGUGAAGCUACUAUUACAUUUCACGGUAUUAAGAUGAGAUGUUACUCUUACUCUUAAAAUGUCAUCGUGCACUCUUUCUAUGUGUAUUUCAAUUAUACAAUAUUCAAUUUUGUGUAUUAAAUGACAUUAUAAAAGUUUUAUGUAAACAAUAUCAAUUGAUACUAACAUACGAUUCACCAAACCACAUAAUAUAAAAAUUCAAGUAUUUUUCCCAAUUGUAAGUCAAAAACCUACUUCACUCUAUAAUUUUUUGGGAAAUGAUAAAAACGCCUUUUUAACUUCUUACACAUUCCUAUUUAAUUCUAGUGGUUAAUUACGUUGAUUUUUUUUAAACAAAUGGUUAAAACUAAAAAUAAAAAUAUAUGGAAAGCUAAAGUGGUGUGUGAAAAUUAUUUUUCUAAUUCUUUUCUCAACUGCCACAAUAUUUAUUGGACCAUCUUCAAAUGAGAUGUCAAAUAUGCCAAAUAGUAGCUGAGUCAUUUGACUUCUUACUUUUUAGCUAUCUUUUUUACAGCAUACAAAGAAGAAGUUAAAUAUAUUUAAUUUAAUUUGUUAAAGCAUGGGUCCAUUAACAACCAAAAGAAUAAAAAAAUAAAAUCAAUUUUAAUUAUUUUUAAUAGUUAAUGUAACUAUGAGGCUCAAUAUAAUAAUAAAAUAAAGAUUUGAUGGAUCAUUGAAAAAGAAGAAAUUUUAACAUUUGUAUACAAUUGGCCACAUUAGUCAUUAAAUAAAAUUUUGACAUAUUAUAUUUGAUAUCUAAAGAUGCUAUUAGAAAGUCUUGCUAUUUGUUUGUGAACAUUACUCAACUGUUACAAAUUCAAUAGCAGUUACAAAUUCAAUAGCAGCUCCUGCUUCUAAUCAAUCAUAAAUAACACACGUGUCCAAUCUAUAUUUAGAAUUUUAAUUAUUUAAACAUAUAUAUCUGUAAUUAGAUACAAGUAGGAGUUGCUGCUAAAUUUGUAACAGCCUAAGUAGUGUGCUUUGUUUGUUGAAAUCUAGUGUCACAUCCCCAGAUGCUCUAUUGUAUCUGCCAUUUUGGUACCUUUUAUAUAUAAUCUAAUGACACUUGUUAUCUUUCUUGGGUUCCGAAUUACACUAGUAUAUAGUUUCAUUCCAUGCAUUGUUAUUCAACAAUAUUUUUUAUUAGGUAAUGCAAUAGAGGAUUUUUUUUUAUAUUAUAUAUUGUAGACUAUAUGAUGUAGUGGUUAAUCAUUGAAUUUAUUUUUUAAAUUAUUAUAAACAGAGUCAAAUUAUCAACCAUUACAUUAUAUGAUUUACAAAUAUAUUCUAAUAUUCUUCCCAACAAUUUCCCUUUUUAUUACCCAAUAGUCCAACAAAGCUAUAAGCAUGUAGCCUCUGACUAUCAGAUAUACUACAAGAUUUUAUCCAAUUAAAAUCUUAACUAGGAUACUGACAUAUAUAUUCAAAUUAUCACAGAAAAAAAAAGUAAAAAAAUGGGUAAUACUUCAUUUACUAUCUAUUUAUACUAUCAUUUGUACUAUCUUUUUAAUCAAGGUAGGCCCAUCAAUACAUGUGAGUCUCAUAUAUAUUAAAAUCUUAACUAGGAUACUGACAUAUAUAUCAAAAUUAUCACAGAAAAAAAAAGUAAAAAAAUGGGUAAUACUUCAUUUACUAUCUAUUUAUACUAUCAUUUGUACUAUCUUUUUAAUCAAGGUAGGUCCGUCAAUACAUGUGAGUCUCAUUUUUAUUAGAAAAAUAAUACAAAUAAUAGUACAAAUAAAUGGUAAAAUUAACAUUUUUGUAAAAACAAAAAAAAGAAAUGUCUAGAAAAAUGAACUCAAAAGCUUUACCUUAAUGAAAGUUUCAAGUGAUACCCGGAAUUUGUGCACAUUUUUGGUGCCGGAGCCCUCACUGCCUUUCUUAUGCUUUUUGAGAUUACGAGCCAAGGAAUGCGUGACCAACCCAAGCGACACACUAUAGAGCUGCGUAACAUUAGAGAAGGCCACGGCCAGAGCCGUGGUGUUUCCCAAAACGCUGCUCUUAGACACCACAAGCCCAUCGUAACAAGUCUGCUGGUUGGUCACAAUGCCGCUCAGCAACGUCUGCACCUUGUCCACCAGUUCCUCGUUCAGCGUCUCGGCGGACUUGAGCUCUGUCGAGAUCGCCUCCAAGUGCUCCACGUUCAGCUCCGAGAAAUGCUGGCAGUCCUCCAGCGCGUUUGACUCGCUGUCGCUUAUGAAAUACGACUUGUGCUUGGUUUUUCCAAGGAAGUGGUUAAUUGUUGUGGAGGUUUUGCGUGCCUGUUUCAGGCAUUGUUUGAUGGAGAACUUGCCGUAGCUGUAGGGAUCGGACGGUGAGGAGCGAAUGGUGGAGAGCAUCGAACGGCAGAGCUUUGGGUAGAGGGUGGACUUGCAUGCUGAAGAGGAUGAUGAGGAGGAUGAUGCAGCAGCACCAGAGGUUAGCAGAAGUAGUGAAAAGAGGGAUAGAGAAAGGAGGUGGAAGAAAGGAGAGGAGCGUAGCCGUGGCAUUUUGAGUGUGAAAAUGUAUUGUUUUUCCCGCCGGGGGGGUGUGGGGGGCGGGGGCCGCUCUAGGUUGAGUUGAGUGUUUGAAAAUGUGUGUUGGGGAUCUCUUAUAUAUAUAUAUAUAUAUAUAGAGAGAGAGAGAGAGAGAGAGAGAGAGAGAGAGAGAGAGAGAGAGAUGCAGAUAUGCAGGGAUGCGCGUGUACAUUAUUAGUAGGGGAAUGGGGUUGUCGGUUUUGACAAUUUAGAGGUCAGCAAUUUUAAUGCAGAGGUAGGUAAUGCGGUUGUGUUGGCAUCUGAGAACGUGCAAGGUAGCACAUACUCCUAAUCUAGCUCCAUCGUAUUUUUAGGGCUAACUACAUUUCACACCUCAAGGGGAUGAAGUAAUUUUUUAUGGGAUAUUGAUGAUAGAAGUGAUUUUUUAUUUGGAGUGAAUUAGACGAGGAUUAGAGAUAUUGUUUUAGAGACCAUUAGAAUGGAUAAGUUUCUUUUAUAAGCAAUUCAUUUUCUACUCUCUAGUGUAGCAUAAAUUUUCUCUUUCUCCCCUCAAUCUACCUUGAAAUUAAAGAGUUAUCUAUUCCUUUCCAAUCCUUGGUGGCGGCUUUUGGAGAGAGCGAAAGGUGUCAUCGUAUAGGGUCCAAAAUUUAAAAGGGUUCUCCUCAUAGUCACUUCUCAUGAUAGCAAUGUUGGAGUAAGAUUAACUAUGUGGUUUAUUAAAAUUACACAUGGUUAUUUUUUCUCAUUUUUAUUCUUGCGUAUAAUAACCAUAUUUUUCCUCUGUUUUAGUUUAAACUCACUGACUAAGAUCCAAUUAAAUAAAUUUGUAGUGUAAAAGUAAAAUGUUAAAGUUUCACCAUAAAUCAAUUGACCAUAUAAAAACUUAACUUAUUUAUACGCGCAUACAAGAUCUCUUCUCUUAUUAAUGUGUGAUUCAUUAUCAAUAAUAGGUAUUGUGAAACUUGAAAGAAUUGUGAUGACCCACAUAGUAAAAGAUGGUGGAUGAAAUAGCAAUGUUGGUGAGAUAUUUGUUAUAAUUACUACAUGGCUUAUUGGCUUUUGACCAAUACGAUAGUCAAGACUUUUGAUCAGGCAUGUAAUGCUUUGUGUUAAAGCAUACUUUGUAAACUUUCAUAUCUAUACAUAGGGACUCUUGUAAACGUUAGAACACACCAAUUCAUUUUGGUAAAGGCAUUCUCACUCUCACUACAAUAAAAAUGAGCAACAGUCGCUAUUUUUUGUCACAAUUAUCACAUUGAUUGGGAUUGCUUCUUAAAAAAGUUUACGCAAUUGUAGAAAUAUGACUCCUUGAAUUAAUAAUUCAUAAUGGAACUUACAAUAUAUAUAAGGUUUGACAUAACCCAUAUGUGAAAGAAAUUCUAAAAAUUAAUACAAUUAUAUAAGUACAUUCAUAUAAUUAUGAAGAGGUUAUGGUUUAAUUAAUUCUAUUCUAAGACUGCGCCCCAUCCCCUGCAAAUUGAACGAGGCUAAUCAAACAAGUUGAUUAGUGGACGAAAUACAACAAACUUGAUGACUUCCAAGAGUGACCUUUUCACGAACAAAGUGAUAAUGAGUUCAAUAUAAUGUGUGCGAGCAUGUUGAACAGGAUCAGAAGCGAGGCCAGUGGCACUAAGAUUGUCUCAAUAUAGAAGGACAAGGAUAGGCGAACACCUAGCUCGUAAAGUAUAAAAAUAAUCUAAGUGGUUUCAGCACAUGCAUGAGAAAGAGCAUAGUAUUCUGACUCAGCACUGGAAUGUGACCUACUUUUUAGAGCACCAAGAGAUAAAUUUGAGCCAAGAUAAACAAGGUAGUCAGUGGUGAAAUGAACGAUGUCAAAAAAACCGGCCCAAUCAACAUCAGAAUAUGCAGAUAGGGUAGCGGAAGCAACCUGAUGAGUCAAGGUGAUACCAAAAUCUAAAGUACCUUUUAUGUAAUUGAGAAUCCAUUUGGCAGCAAUCAUAUAAGUAGUGUGAGGCGAGCUCAUAAAUUGGGCAAUAUUAUUGACGACAAAGAAAUAUCAGGACGAGUGAGAGUGAGAUACUAGAGCGAGCUAACUAGCUCACGAAACAAAGUAAGAGAAGCCAGGGUGACCUAUCAGAAGCCGUGAGAGAAAUCUUAGCGGCAAGGGGCGUGGAUGUGGGCUUGAACGUAAGUAUAUCAAAUUUUUUAAGGAGGUCAUGAGCAUACUUUAGUUGAUUAAUAUGGAGAUAUAAGUGGAGUCAAGAGUAACUUGUAUACCCAAAAAAUAACUGAGAGGACCCAAAUCUUUGAUGUUAAACUAUUUACCAAGGAGAGUAGUAAAUUGGCUAAGAAGAUCAUAUGAGCUGCCAGUAAUAAUGAUGUCAUCCAGAUAUAGUAGCAAGUAAAUAGUAGAGGAGGCAUGUCGAAAAAUAAACAGUGAAGAAUAUCCUUCACUCCACCGAAAACCGAGGCGAAACAAGAAAGAACUGAUUUUGUGAAACCAUGCACGAGGUGCUUCUUUAAGACCCAUGUAAUGAUUUCUGAAGGUGACAGACAUAAUGCGAACAAGCAGGAUCCGCAAAACUCGGUGGUUGAGCAAUGUAAACAUCUUCCUGAAUGCAUUCAUGCAUUAACAUUCAAUUGACGAAGUGGCCAAGCAUGAGAAAUAGCAAGACUCAAGACAGUGCAAAUAGUAGCUGGUUUGACAACGAGAUUGAACUUUUCAAAAUAAUUAAUGCCACGACACUGAUGGAAACCCUUAACCACAAGACGAGCUUUAUAGCGCUCAAUAGAGCCCUCAAGAUUCCACUUGAUACAAAAAGCUCAUUUGCAACGAACAAUAUUCUGGCCAGGUCGGGGCAGAACAAGAGACCAUGUCUGAUUGCGAAGCAAUACAUUAAUUUGCUCAAUCAUGGCACUGCACCAUUCCGGAUGCUUAGGGGCAUGAGAAAAACAAGUAGGUUCACCAUAAUUAAUAGACGCUAAGAAAGCAUAAGGAAGAACAGUGCCUCAGUACGAGUCUUCGGUUUGGAGAUUCCAUCACGAAGACAAGUCGCCAUUGGAUGAGUACGGACUGCACGGUGGAGGGGGUAGCAUCAGGGAGAGUCGGUUGGACCAUGUCAGAGGGCAUAGGCAGAGGGACACGCGCGCUAGGGCACGUUAAAGGCAACAUGCUUGGGCCGACAAGAUCACGUAAGGUGGGGUGCAUGGGUGUGUUCAACUGGAGUGGCGCUCAAUUGGGUUAUAAGAGGCAGCUAUAACAGUGACUUCUUGAGUUUGCAACGAAUGUAACUUAGAAACUAACACCAAUAAAGUGGCAUUGCUAGUUGCUUCUUGAGUUUAUCUUAAAAAGAAAGGGAGACACUGUUAAUAUCUAUUUCGCAACAGUUCUUUGAUUUGAGAGAGUUUGAGAGACUCUCUCUCGAGAGCCCGUUUGAGAGAGAGAGAGAGAAGGCUUCCCUCUCUAAACUUCUCUCCUUCCCUACGCUUGUUUUGUACUGCUGGUCGAUUUCUAUGCCACCCUUCGGGGCGGCUCUUCCUCCGUCGGUCGUGGCUGCUUCUUCACCCUUGGUGGUGAGCUUGUUCUGUGUUUUUCUUUUGGAACUUCAUAUUUUGUAUUUGGGCCAAGUGUUGGCUGCCUAGUUGGGUCUUUUAAUGAAUUUCUGUCUCACUACCAGAUAAAAAAAAAAAAUUCUUUGAUUUUGAUCGUAUAGGAUUCGAUACCGUUAAUUGUACAAAAUCGGAUAUAAGUUUAGUUGUAUAGGAUCCGUCGAAUUAUCGGAUCAAAUUGAGUUGCAAUAUUUUUCGUAUCGGAUCGGAUCAAAGAUAAGACGAUUCAGCCAAUAUCCAUCCGUUUACAACUCUAAAGCCAAGGUCAAUAUUGUAGUUAGAAUUGCAACGACAAUGACACCCUACUAUACUGCAAAAUAUACGACGUGGGUGUCACUGUACUAGAAAAGUUUAUGACUACGAAGUAAUGUUAUGACAGAAAAAUGCAUUGACAAAGGAGUUGUCUUUGUAGAGAAAAAAACAAUUGAAACAGUGACACGGACCACUUGCACCACUACGUUGCAACAUAGUGACCUCCUUGUCCAAACAAUUGUGAUUAAAGAAUUGUAAUGCAGAUGGCGCUUUAUCAGGGUGGUGAAAAGCAUCAGGUUUAUGCACUUUAGUGCAAAUUUGAUCUCCACUAACUCUCUUUCCUCUAAUAAUUAACUUCUAACCUACUAACGUUAUCGUUCAACUAAAAAAAAUAAAGAUAAAAAGAAUUGUGAUCCUUUGGUUGGAAGUUUAUGAGUGGUGGUGAAAUAAUACGAAGGGAAACAAUUGUAUGUCUUGUUUGGUUGGAAAGUUCCAAGUUAUGUGCACAAAACUUUGCCAUUUUUUUUUUUUUUUUGAUCGAAAAACUUUGCCAAUUGAAACUAGGGCUUUAAAUCCUUAGAUCCAUUUUUGAAACUAAGUUUGUUCAGAUGCUUCUGCGUCUGCCACUAUUUCUUUGGAUCAGUUAGACUUGGACUUCUGAUUGUUUUAGGGCCAAACUAAAAGUGCACAAGAUUAUGGAGCUUUUCAGGAUGGACAAUGCUUGUGUUUCUUAUAUGAAAACCUACUUAUCCCUGAACUUAUAAUUAAUGUCUUUUCACUGUUUACUUAAUGCAUAUGAAUGGUUUAACGAUUUUCAAAUUGAAUGACUUCUUGCAGAUAUGAUCUUUAGAAAAUGAUAAAGAGAAUGAACUAUUCUGGUUAUGAUGUUCAUUAUUUGAUGUAUAUGAAUAGCUAAAUGGUCUCUAAAUUUAAUAAAUUUGUUUGUAUAUAUGAUCUUUAGAUAAUGAUAAAGAUAAUGAAUUUUCAUCAAAAAAAAAAGUUAAAGAGAAUGAAUAUUUUCAAUUAUGAUAUUCAUACAGUAAAGAAACAUUAAUCAGUCAACCACAUAAAUUAAACAUGGAACAAAACCAAAACAUCAAUUACAUUGAUCCGAAAGGGGUGAAUAGGGUCAAAAUUUUCAACAUAUUACGUCACAUGUUCAAACCCUCCAUUUCUCUAUCUAGAUUAUAAAAAAAAAGGUUUUUAAGCCAAAAUAAUCCCUGAAAAUUGCAUCAUAUCACUUUGGUCCUUGAGAUUGUCCACCAUCCAUUAUUUUGGUCAUUCCGUUAAAAACUCCGUUAAGUGUCCUGGAGCUCUUGGUCGGAAGUUUGGGCAAUUUUCAAAGUUUCAUAACUCAAUUGUUUCAUAACCAAAUUCGACCCAUAAUAUAUCAAAAUGAAGAUAGGAAAGUUUAGAACAAGAUUAUACCUAUUUUGAAGCCCAGUGGUUGCUGAAGAUGGCCGGAAAUAGCCUGAAAGGUGACUGGUCCCCGGGAAAAUUGGAAAACUUGCCAGAAACUGGGUAAAAUUUAAACAUUCAUAACUUCUUCAAUACUUAAUGAAAUCGAGUGAUUCAAAAAUGAAAAUCAUACUUCUCGAUGAGACGAAGAGAAUGGCAUCUUUCUUGACAGCUAACUCAUCUUGAUUUGGCCAAAAAUUGCUCGAAAGUAGAGAAUGGUACAUUUCUUGACAGCUAACUCGUCGUGAUUUGGCCGGAAAACGGCUCAAAAGUACCAUUCUCUUUGUCUUGUCGAGAAGUAUGAUUUUCGUUUUUGAAUCACUCGAUUUUGUUGACUAUUGAAGAAGUUAUGAACGUUUAAAAUUUACCCAGUUUUUGGCAAGUUUUCCAGUCACCUUUCAGGCUAUUUUCCGUCUAUAUCUGGCAACUAUUGGGCUUUCAAAUAGGUAUAAUCUUUUUCUACACUUUUCUAUCUUCAUUUUGAUAUAUUAUGGGUCGAAUUUGAUUAAGAAAUGAUUGAGUUACAAAGCUUUGAAAAUUGUUCAAACUUCCGGCCAAGAGCUUUGGGACACUUAACGGAGUUUUGAAUGGAAUGACGAAAAUAAUGAAUGGUGGACAGGGACCAUUUCUAUUGAUUUUAUAGGUCAAAUUUGAUUAAGAAACUAUUGAGUUACGAAGCUUUGAAAAUUGUCCAAACUUCUGGCUAAGAGCUCCUCCAGGACACUUAACGGAAUGACCAAAAUAAUGGACGGUGGACAAUCUCAUGAAUCAUUUCUAUUGAUUUUCAAUUUCAGGAAUCAAAGUGAUGUAUUAUGCAAAUCUCAGAGACCAUUUUGGCUAAAAAACCUAAAAAUAAAUAUAAAAUAAAAUAAAAUAAAACUUGUAAAACAUAUUAACUUCCAAAUAAUGUUUCGAAAUUUCCCAAAUUACUCUAACUCCAAAGUUUAUAAAAAUUCUGAAUUUAAAAAUUAUGUUCCAACCUAGUCCUAGUCCGAAACUUGGGAUUGGAUAUUGGUAACACAUGGUUUCCGAUUCUGAAAACACCCGUACAUUGGCCUUAAAAUUUGACACUCAACUUAUAACUAAAAGGGUUCGAUUACGAAUGCAAUGCCAAUUUGCAUACAAAGUUUGAAACUGAAUGUGCUGCUUAAUACUAUAAUCCUGUACUUAAACUACCAUAUGGUGUAUUCUCACCUUCACCACCACCGACCUAAAAUGUUUCGCCCAGUUAAACACGUUGAGAUCAUGCAAAGGGUUGUAGCUUAAGUGUUUAGAGCCCUUUUGUGUAUCUGAAGUUUCGUGAUCGAUUCCACGCUCUCCUAGUAUCACUCGCAUUAAACACAAUGAGAUCAUAGAUAAGACCAGGUGGCUUGUGAAUCAAGCAAUUUUAUAUCAUCAGCUCCAUUCUCUUUUGACCCAAAUUUAGGCAAGAGAAAUGGGAAUGUCUACAAAUAAAUAUUGUAACCAACACUUUGAUAUAUGACAAGAACAAAGACAGCCGAAAUUCACACAAUAAUCUGUCACCUAUGAAUAUCUCCCCUUCAACUUGUUAGGAAAUCCGAAUAUAUCCAAAGCCGAGCAUCUUUGCCGUGAGAGAACAUACUUCAUAUUGCCUGCAGGAGAGGUCAACUAUUUCGGUACAGUACAUCUCUCACUUGUUGGAGAAUUAUUCUGCACCUCAGUGCUGCAAUAAACUCUGCAUCAUUAAACCUACGUCAUCUCAUUAGAUAAGCAAAACUGGGUAUUUCUUCAAACUUUCAGUGGUUACGGUUAGCUGUUUAGUACCUGACAAUACAAAAGGACGAUCAGGGAAAGGACCUUUAACGGUAGGUAAUCAAAGAACUAACCAAAUUUAGCUAUAACUUACAUGUUUCUCUGGUAUCUAGCAGUUGGUAAAAGCUCUUCAAUUUCGAUUUUCAUAUUAGAGCUAGGUGAUCCCCUCUUAUUUUCAUUCUCAUUAACUACAACAUCCACAAAAAAUGCUGCACACACUGGCCGAUGGUCAGAGAACCGAGACUCUCCACGUAUGUAAGAAAGUUGUCUGAUCCCAUUUCCAUGCCAUAGUAUUCUAUCACACCUGCAAUUUUAAACGAGUCAAAUAAACUUCUUUGUUAAAUGUCAAUUGGGUUCCGUAAGUACAAUCUUCCAGUCGACCUACCAAGCUGGUGUUCUUCUUUUCUUUUUCGAUGUUUUUAUCUCUCCAAAAUAUGUGUCUGAGUUAUAAAAGUAUUUGUAAGUAGGUGCAAAGUAGAUUUUCCCCUCUUUCCAUCCUUUGAAUACUCGCCCUGCUUCUCUUUCGAUCUUGAGCUAUAUAUGCAACCAAAAACAAACAAAAAUUAUUAGUACACCAUGAAAGAUUGAAAUGUGAUCUGAUAUGAUUGUACUUAUGUUGUACCUGCAGUUCCCAACAUAAAUUUCUUAUUCUUUCAUGGCAAAAUCAGUUACCUGAUCUUUGUCAAGAAGUGCAUCCCAGUUGUUGUCCAUCAAUAGCUUUUGGGUUUCAGAGUAGCUCAAAGCAAUGCGGUAAUUCAAGUCCCCUAACCAUAUGACCACACUAGAUCCAUUUGCAAAGAGAUUAAUCAGAUAAUUAGUGUCAAUAAAUGUGAGAAAAUAGUGUUGGAUUAUAAAAAGGGUUCAGUACUUUAAUAACAAGGUUGAAAUAUGCUUACUCAUGUCCUAGAAUUUUAUCCGGCAUCCUACUACGAGCUGUUUUGCAAAUCUUCGGAAACUGAGUGCUUUUAAGAAUCUCUAAAACAUCCAGAUUUCUCCUAAGCUCAUCGCCCUCUUUCUCCCCAGAUGCCAAGUGACUGCAGACAAAGCAAAAGCUUGUCUGAUGGAAUAAGAAGCUCACAGAUAUACAUCCCUGCAACCAGUAUACAAAAUCAUCUAUGUACUGUAAAAGGUUUUUUUUAUGUAUAACCGACAUCUGGUGCUUGUAAAAGUUUUAACAAAAUACCUUGUUUCCAAGUCCCAUUAUCCCGCGACUGAUGCAAGAGAUCCUCAAGUGGCUAACAUAUUGUAUAUACUCUUUCCUCGCCCAAAUAGUAACAAAAAUUCCUACCAUUUGCUUACUUGCUAUAAGGCCGUACUUCAUCUGGUUGGUAGUAGAGGCCAUGGAAAUUUCCGAUAUAUCAAAGGCAUUAGAUCCAUCCUCAUCUGGAUCUGAAGAAAGGUCGUCUUCAUUUAUGUUUGGUUGUUGGCACCGAAAACAAAAAUCUUUACUAUGUUUCCUUUCUAGUUCAAAAGGGCAGUUGCAACUCUUCAACCUCCGUUUGCUCUCUGUCCUAAAAGUCUUACUGACCUUUUUAAGGGAAGGCUUCGGGGAAAAUCGUGAACCACCUGCUUUGCUUCUUGAACACCCAUCAGGUGAUUUGUUUAGCGACUGAUUGAUUAAAGCGAGCCAUUUUGCUGCAGGUUCAUUAUCUUCCAGAACUAGUACAUUUCCUGCAUUUAGCGGAACAAUUUCCUGGAAACUGAUGGUAAAAAGCAGAAAAAUUAAUUAGAUGAACAAUCAAUAUCUUCUUCAGAAGCACAAACAAUAUGGAAUUACAUUUUCAUUUUAAAGGCUGUACCAAACUGAUAUGACAAAACAAAAAAUACACGCAGAAGAUAAAAAUUCACUAGUUUCUUUCUACAGCGAGUGUGCCUGUCCUUUUGACACAUUAUCAUACACUGUGACUCAUAUCAGUCCGAUGGUUUCAAAAACGAGUACCCAAAUGUACAAUUUCAUUUGAAAAAAUUGUCAAAAUAAUUUAUCCGUUUGAAACUAUAAAAAUCAAAGGCAAACACAAAGAAAAUGAAAAAAGAAAAAAAAAAGAGACCAUACCCCAAGACAUAUAUGUCUGAUUCAUUAUCAACCUGCAGAAAAUCAUCCAGAUUAAGGCCACUAUGAGGAGAUUUCCCUCCUGCAUUCCAUGUCGCCACAAAAACCCUGAAACAAAAAAACCGAGAAAGCAAAAGCCAAAAGUUAGCGCAUAUGCAUUCUUGUGAGCGGAUAGAAAGACGGAAACAAGAACCAGUUGUAGAAGAUAUUCCAAUUACCGAAAGGACUGAACAUAUUGACCGGCAGGCAUUUGAGAUCCUGUGUCACUUAUAGAUUGAAUGUCAACUGAUGGGUUAGACUGCCGUGCUUCUGAAAUAGGAUACAAUUACGUAAAGACUUCAUGGUAAGAUGUCAAAUUUAUAAGAAUUGUAGGCUAAGCAAGACAGAAAUUUUCUUUGGAAGUUAAAAAGGAAGCAGAGAGAGAGAGAGAGAGAGAGAGAGGUGGGGAUGAGAGGGACAUUUUUUAUGCUUGCUAGUUGCUACCUUUCUUGCAGUAGCUUAGAUUUGAAACAUGAAUAUAUUCUAAGAUUACAUUUCCAUGGUGCUCUCCCUCUCUCUGUAGCAAUCGAUAUCUUUCUUACCAAAAACGCCAUUUUAAGACCCCAAAUGUCUUAUAUGGUAGGACCAAUGUCCCUAUCUUACCAAACAGUUAAAGAAGAACAAAUCCAUUCAAAAAAAGAAGAGUAAAUCACAUCCUUCAAAAAGCAGAUGGGAUUCUAUUCUGCGGUUCCAAAAAGAAAGAUAACAUCAACUAUAAUAUAAGUCCCCAAUUGCAAGGAAUAUCCUCUCUCUCUCUCUCUCUCUCUCUCUCUCUCUCUCUCUAGAUUUUCUCCAUUGGAAAACAAUGGUGAUAAGUGAUUGAAUUGAAACCAGAAAGAAACACAUUUACUCACCUGAGAAAUCCGAAGAGCCGCUUCCUUCUUUCUCCUUUGUGGUGAAGAUUUUAUGAAUAAAAGACUGAAACAAAAGGGUAAACACAAAAUCCAAUUAAUUAACAAAAUCUGAUAAAAAAUCACCAUUCUGUUUGCCGAAAGAUCCAUUUUUUUUAUCUACAAAAUUGAAAAGAAGAAGAAUUUGGAAACAAAAAUAAGAAAAAGGAACCUUCUUUUUCACGUCUUGAUUGCUGACAGGCAUUCCGAAGGUGCAACUUUUUCAUCAACUGUUAUUCACAGACCUUCACAAACCUACAGAUAACAGAUUUAUACUGCAAUUAGAUCAAAACCUUCCAAACCGGAUAAUUAAAUUGCUCCUAUUUCUUUUAAAUCGUCAAAAAAAAAAAGAAGGAAAUUUCAUGAAUUGGACAAAAUAAAUUAUAGAUUAAAAACAAAGAGGACAACGUGAGAAUAUUUGUAAAAUAUUGAGAUUGAACAAACGAAUACAAUUCUCAGAGAAUAAGACUCUAGUUACCUACAUCCAAAAAAUAGCAUCAAAUACAAACACCCAAAUGCAAUUCAGUUUCAGAUGACAGAAUAAAUAGAACAUAAAUUACCAGAACUUGGUGAAGGAUGAGAUCUCUGUAAACUUAUAUAAAUAUAAUAUAUAUGUAUAUAUGUAUAUAUUUAUAUAUUAUUAUAAAGAAAGAGUGGCAAUGGCAACAAGAACAACCAACCCAUGAAACAAGUUGACAGGCAACAUGGGUUUUCUCGAGAAAGUCAACUGGACAAAGCGAUUCCCUGUUCCUUGCCUUGAUAAAAUAUUUGGAUUUGUUUGUUUAAUUUAUUUUUUAUUCCAGAAAAAAAAAAAAAAAAAAAGGAGAUGGAGAAUUGAACGUGAUAAGACUGGUAAGGAGACCUGCAUAUUCCAUAUGGAUGGCUUCAAACUUCCACCUCUUGUUCUUCCAUAGAUGGUGUUUCAAGAAAAGUCCUCUCCCUUUGUUUUUUGUUGAUGGACAAUACAAACAAAGACAAAUGCAAUAAAUAAUUUCACGAGCGAAACUUAUUAGUGUUUUUAAUAUAUUUUUAUUGAUUUUAAUAUAUAUAGGUUACGAUCCGGAGACAUAUCGUUUUUCACACAUUUUAACACUCAUUUGAUAGGGCUCACUUCUCAAUGUAUUUUAACGAUCCAAAUCGUCGGUAUUUAGUACAUCAUUCAUAGAUCAUCCUUGCUAAAAAUUUAGACAAAUCCAAAAUAAUUAUGAAAUUCAUUUAUAGUGAAAAAUGGUCGAAUACGGUUCUACAAAGAAACACUAAAUUUAAUCCAACCGUAUAGUUUUGGAUUUGAGUGAUUUUUAGUGUACAUAAUUUUUUAGGUAAGACAUAAAAAAUAGACAAUUAGGUCUUUGAGAUACACCAUUAGAUGAAUUCCACAAAAACUUGUGUCAAAAUAUAUGUUAAAAACGUGACCUUAUAUAUAUUAUUUAUUAUUUUUAACAUGUUUCUUCAAAAAAUUUAUAUAUCUUUUGAUAUUUAAAGCGUUAUUUGGCUUUGCAAUUUUUAUUUUUGUUUAGAAUUACUUUAUUGAAACGAAAAAGAAAAUAACAAUUCUCAAGUAUUACAAUUUCUUUUUCAACUAAUUUUUGGUGACAUUUAAUAUGUUCUUAAGAAAGCAAAUUUUCUAUCAGAAAGUGAUUUUACACACUUUUUAGCUUUUCACUUUACUCUUUAUUUUUGGCAAUUGAAUUGAGUAAAUCAACGGAUAUGAUUAAACAUAUGUGUUAGAGGUUUAAAAGAGUAUACUUAUAUUCCCUUUUUUAGCCGAUGCUAGCACUAGUAUUGGUCUUCAUGUAAAGACACUUGCAUUUGAGAUAUGUGUGUCAAACUAAGGCGAGAUUUGUUUUUCUAUUUGAUUCUGGUUAUACUUGUGGUUCUUUUUAUGGAAGCUUUCACUUUUUGAUAAAAUAAAAAAUAUAAAAAUAUAAAAUAAAAACAGUUUAUAACAAAAUUAAGUAUAACAAUCUGAAGAAAUAGAAAGGUUCUGCAACUCAACUUAAAAAAAAAUGAUAGCAAAAAAAACACGACGUUAAAUAUAUGUAAAUCUUAUCAGUCACUAAUUCCGACAUAACUCUUCAUAUAAAUUUAAACACAAAAAUAUACCAAAUAUAAUUAUAUAAUGAUGAGGGGGGUCAAAAGAAAGAGGGGGAAGAGAAGAUUGUGAAAUGUCCCAUCAAAUAAAGUCCAGACACAAUUGGAAAUUGGGAUUGGGAUUUGGGAAGUAAUCGUUGUUUUAUGUCAGUUUGUACUUUGUUUUCUUCUCCGGAAGAAAGUUGGUUUUGAAAAUCCCGGAUCUCUUUCUUCUAAUUUAUCAAAUUAGAGAUUCUGUAUUACUAAAAUUUGAUCAAACAGUUGAAAUCAUUAUAAUUUCUAAAGUAGAUUCAUGUUUAUAACAGUUAAAUCAAAUUUCAAUGACACGAAUUUUCUAAUUUAGGAAAUUAGAGGAAGGAAACGGAUCCCUUUUCUCGAAAAUCUACAUGCUACUUGUCUCUUCAUCUCUCGAAUAGUUGAACUGUUAUAACGAAAUCAUCAACGGAUCUAUUUUUAAAUGAGAAAAAAUCUAUUUGGUACUUUGUUCUUAAAUUUUAGCAGAUUAUGGUCAUGGUUUUCGUGCGUCCCACUUUCUAGUUCAUUAAAACUUGAUGGGUGAGAGAAACGAGGGGGAGGGGUUUAUUUAAUGUCUUUUUUAUUUUUAAUUUUGUGUGACAGAGGAAAAAGAGGCCCCACGUGUGUAUGUGUGUGUCUCCGUCAAACAGUCAAACUUGGGAGGCUUUGUUUGUGGGUUAUGGUUUCCUGGCUGUACGGCAGGCGUUGCCACCGCUGCCGCCAAUAUAAUAACCUUAAUAUUCCCUUGGCCGGUCCCAGGUUUGGGCUUUUGGGGCUCAUCGUGCACUUUGCCAAUUGUCAAUCUUUCUUUCUUCACGGUUAAACUACAUUUUACAUAACGUGGAAAAUGUUAUGGAGAUUUUUAUAAAAGUAGGACUCUCCAUAGAUACUUUGGCGCCUCAUUGUUUACACAAUUUUAGUGUUGACAAUAUAAAGUUUUAUGCUUUAAAUAUGAGGUGACGGAAAGUUUUAUUUUAAGAGAGUCUUGCAUUUCUCUUUAUCAAAAUUUAAGGUCAAUCUCACGAUGGACUAUGAGGUUUUGAUUUUCAUAUAGCACCAUGAUAAUUUUGAAUAACUUGAGCCACUUUACACCUUUUUGUUAGGUUGACUGUUGGAGGGUGAGUCUUAGCUCGGAUUCAUGAGCAGUUAAUGGUUGACCAUACAAUCAACUUAAAUUGAUGUAAGUUGGAGGAAUGUCAAAAGUCUAGUUGUAAUGUGAAAAUUUUGAUAUUAUGUGAUCUGAUUUGUAUUAAAACUCACACCAAACCUCAGUUGGUUAAGAUGCAUUUAGCCCUUUUAUGGUUGUGGAGACCGAUUUACACUUGCGGACAAAAGGAGGACCGCACUAUUGGCGUUUUCUAGUGUUGGAAUUUCAAAUAAAAAAUAGUCUAAAAGGACAAACCAACUAACUUGAUUUGUCAAUAACUAACUAAUCUCGAUCGAUAUUGUACUGAAAUCGAUCUGGUCAAACGUCGAACAGGUUCUCAAAUCAUGAAUAGUCAGUAAAGUAGAACCAAUUUUAAACUGUCAGUAAAAUUGAACCAACUGACUCAAUUUUAAAAUGUUCAUAUUUUAAUGUAGAACUAGAACCUUUUGGACUGAAAUUGAGCAGAACAAAAACUUCCAAUACAACUUUUGCAUUCUUAUAUGGAACCAAACUAGUUCUAUUUGCUCCACAUUUCUAGUCUUUUGUUUUCGUUCCCUAGUUCUAUUGGUCUUGGGUUUGUCAAGGGCAAAGCCUUUGGACCACGUAACACAGCUUACAAGAAAUGGUUGUCGACUGUUUAACCAUAAAAUGCUAAGUAUUGGUUUUAGGAAGAAGCUAAUUAAGCAUACAACAAAUGUGUAAAUUUGAUGGUACCAAAAACAAUGUCGAAAAAAGGAAGAUCAAUUUCUUCAAGGCUGGCAAAGCGAGGGAGGGGGCUCCCAGACAACAUGUUUUGGACUCAACAUUUUUGUACUUCAAACUUGAAGCUGCUGGAUCCCAUUCCCCACACACACUUCUCAAUAUUUGAAUAUAAUGUUUAAUCUGCACUUUUGACUGUGUUUGGAUCUAAUAUCUUGACUAAUUGUGCCUUAUGUUAAGUUUGUGAUGGAUUAUGGGUGUGAUGAGGAUUUUCAGUUAUAUAAUUAUUUAAAAAGAGGUUAUUCAAUAAAUUUAUAUAAUGUUUUCUGAGUAUGCAAAUAUGAUGGUCGUGAUGAGACUGAAUAGUAAUAUUGUCCCACAUUAUAAAUUUGGAUCAUAUCAAGGACAUAUACUUUUAACACGUCAUUCUAUAAUGUAUUUCAACGAUUCAAACAUCUAUUUUUAGGUCUUCUAAAAGAAUAAUAUGAUUUCUCUUUGAAAGUGGAUAAAUCGAUAACAUUAGAUAAAUGAGCUUGUUGUCUCCAAGUCCCAAACUUAGGACCCAAUUCCGAAAAACACCAUACCUUGAAAUGGUUUGAUAACUCUUAAAGCACCAUAUUCUCUUACAAGUCGAAUUUUAGGGACAAGUUCUACUCAUGAACUCUAAAUUAUAUCCACUCCGCCGGUUCUCUAGUCCUCUCUUUGCCGUUUUGUUGCUACCCUAUUCCAAACCUUUUGGACCACAAUAUUGGCAACAAGAAAAAAGGGUGGUCAAAAUAUAGUUCAAUCAAUCAUAUUAUUAAGACUUGCUUUCUAUUUACAGCGGAAAGGUGCAGAUUCUUUGAAAAAAACCAGUGAGUGAGAAGACCCUUCUGGUCCCAAAGCAUCAAACAUACUAUAUAUAUAUAUAUAUAUAUAUAUAGUGUGUGUGUACAGACACAUAUAAUAUACACAUAUAAUAUAUUCGUAACCUGUAACACCAAUAAUAUUCUUACUUUUUGGUUUUACAUUCUAGCUUAUUAAGCAAUACUUGCAAAAAAAUUAUGUGGUUUGCGAUUCAAUUUAAAGCUUCAGCCUUGUAGAAGGUACGUGUUAUGAUUUAUUUCUUCAUUUGCAUUGUCCACGAUAUUGAGAGUGCUGUUAAGAAUAAACCUUCAUUGUGACAGGCUCGCCUCAUGACUCAAAUGGUUAAGGACGUUGACUCUUGUAUUCGAGCUCAUGUGUUUGAACUCUGUCAUCCGAAAAUAUCACUUGUAUAUAAACAAAACAAAGAACCUUUUGACUACGUACCAUGCAACAUAGAAAGUAGAAAAACCCUUCAUUCUUUUUCCCACGUCGAGAAACCAUUCUUUCUAUCAUCUUUAAACAUGUUUUUGGGGGCUAGCAUUUUAAUUAAUUCAGUCAAACCCAAAACCAAAGCAUCAAAGACCAAAAUAUGCUUAAAGGUUAAAUCUUGAAACUAAGACUAGGUUUCCGUUUCAAGCGGAAAGGUGCGAAGUUUUUUGGAAGGAGCCGAGCCAGUCAUCGCUCAUCAGCUAGUGAGAUUUAUAGUCUUCUCUUCUGGUCCCAAAGCAUCCAAGAUAUCAUUACGUUCCAAAUAGUAGGGAUUACUUUAGGCAUUUAGGGGGAAGGCUAAGCAUACAAAACGUAUGGGCAUUUGAUAUAAAAGGAAGAGCAUGUUUCCUGGGUUGUUACUUUAGGCCUUAAGAGGCAAUGCACGCACCAAGAAAAUUAUAGUUUCUGGAAGAUAAAAGGAAGAACAUUUUCGAUUCUUUUGGUUACAGUAAUGGAUGGGCCGAAACAUUAUAACAAAUAAAAUGAUCUACACAAGAGGUAGGCUUUCAAAAGCAUGAUAACAUACCCAGCUACUCUAGAUUAAAGUCCAAAUAAAGCAAGAUUAUCGGCUAGAAAAAUCUCGUUCACAAUCCAAGACAUAUAGUCAUCCAUCAAAGCUAUUCUGGUAUGCGUAAUAAACAAAUUAGCAAAACUUCUCACAUUUGUGCUUUUGAAUUGAAGCAUUCGAGGUUUAUGAUUCAGUUCAAAACUUCAUCUACAUAAAAAAUGUUCUAAAAUAUGAUAUAAAACAGUUAUAGUCAUUAGAGGGAUCUAGAUAUUAUACUUCAAAGGUUGGAACCCAUUAACCACGAAGGUUUUUCUAAGUCCAAUCUGAUGAAUCUUGAGGCAAAACUUAAGAUUUGGAUUUUGUUGGUGGAUUACCAGACUCUUUUGGUCAUUUACUCACACCCCUUCUUUUAGAAUCUUAAAGGAAAAGAAGAAAAAGGAAGAAGAUGCAAGGAUUUGACGUUGAUGUGUGAAACAAGGGAAAGAGGAUUUGUUUUGUUUUGUCCCACAUCGACCAGCUGAGCAUGAGCACCAUUCUUUAUAUACCUGACACGUGUAGACUUGAUCGCCGAGUUCAGUCGCGUGAACUUGUGACCCAAGUGGGGGCACUAAGGAUGGUUUGGAAACGAUUGAGAGGUGGACAACCUACGGUACGUGUGGAUCCAUUUGAGGGGCUUAGUGGGCCCUUGUCGGCGUGCCGAUGUGGACCCAGGUGACACAGGUGUUCGCGCGCGUGGUAUGUAAGAGAAGCGGCCGCCCUGAAGCGUAGGCCGGAGCCGCUGGCCAGAAGCACAGCGGAUACAGUUGUUUCCGGCCACUGUCGAUAAGCACAGCGGCGGCGAUACAGUCCUUCCGCCUUGUAAAAGAGUAGCUGGAAGAUUUCUUUACCUCAGUGUUGAGUAAAGCCCGUUGGCUUAUCAGAGCAACGGGGGCUCUUACUGCUGAACUCCUCCCUCCGCAAUGGAUCACACGCCGGCACCCCUCAUCUGUCCCACACCACCGUAGGACCCGCUCCUCAAUUCCGACCUCCAUCUUUUUUAAAUCAAUUAUUUACCCAACAUUUCCUAUUUAUUUAACGUUUAAUUUUGUUUUCUACAUACUUUUUUAUGACAAAAUACAUAAAAUUAAUUGACAAACUAACUAUUCGAGAGAAAGUUUAAAGGGCUAAAAACAAAAUUCAGGUCACUUAUUACAAAUGGUCUUAAUAACAUUAAAAAAGUCUACACUAAAAAUUGUCAUAAAAACUGAUCUACCUUUUCAGAAUAAUGCAUAAGUUAAAAAAUCGAUCAACAUCGUCUCUGAAUAUAAAUCGAUAAAUCAAUGUUGUUUUUUCAAAAUUUCGUAAAAACUUCUAUUACUAAUCGAAAAUGACAUACUCACCCAUACACGACUACAUAAUUACUAAUUAACACUAAAAUCAAAGAUGUAGUUGAAGGCUUAUUUAGGCCUCUCAUUUUUAAUGGUCUAAAACAAGCCCGCUCAUAAAACGCAACCAUUUUAUCCAGUUGCUAAAUAAAUCAAUGUUUGAUAUAGUUUGGGAUCAGUGCUAAUAGUCCAAUCCUAGUCCUAAUCCAGCCAAUCAAACGUGCCAUAAAAAGUAUAAUCACAAAUAUCACUCUGUGUCCUGGUCCCUGGAAAACAAGAUGUUGAAGUCUUUACGACCAAAAGCCGGCCGGAGGGAGCAUGGCGCUUCUCAGAACCACCAAAAGCCGCGGCCUCCCGCUACCUCCAUCUUUUUGCAUCAUCGCCUUCAGCUUCAUCUGGCUAUAGAGGCUCGAUGGUCACUGGCUCUCUGGUCUUUACAAUGGCUAUAAGCAUAUUAAUCCACCAACUCCACACUCCCUUUCAACUUUACAAUUGCCCCUUGAACUUCAAACCUUGUUCCUCUUUGCCCACCGAACUUUCAAUUUGGUUCAAAGCCCUUCUAAACUUUGCGUUCAUGACAAUCUCUCUUCCUAAUCGUCAAUUUUGUCGCAAGUUCGAAGAAGCGGCCAACCCUGGAAGUGAAGUACAGGAGGAACUACCUUCGUGAGGUCCAAGGUCAAGUACUCUUUCACAUCAAUGGAACAAGAAGCAUGCAGAAACAAACACAAAAACGAAAAUUGACAAAUCACAAUAAUACUCCGGAAUAUACAAGAAAAUUCUCUGUUUCUAUACCUGUAACCCGUGCCUGAUUUCAUUACUUGGUGCAUAGAGAGGAAAACACAGAGAAAAUACCAUACACCUACCAAUACAUGAAUCCAAACUAAAAAUAUCAAAGAGACAAUACGCGAUAUCAACAACUCUAGAAACAUACCGCAAAUUUCUACCUACCAAGUUAUAAAUUAAACGAAAAAAGUAUUGAGUCUUCAUAUUCAAUACAGAAGUGGCCUAAGAAUGCUGCUCCGCGAACAUGGUAAUGGCAUUAACGCUACUGCUGCAUGGCCAUCAUGGACAAAACGUCUGGUUCAUGUCCGUGCACUCUCAAUCGAUAUAUGCAAGUAUGAGAAGGGCUUCCAUGGUUGGAUGUGAAGUCUAACCUCACUGUGUCAAUGAGGCCAGACAGUGCCGAGUCCAUGGUAUUGAAUGUCUGGGCAUUGCUUUUCUCAAGGUCAUAAGUAAAUUCAGCCAGGCGAAACAUCUCUGUAUAGACUUCUGGAUCAUCCCCUCCUCGCAGCCACCCAGAGAUCCUGCAGUCCUUGGGAGCACUCGAUCUGUCAUAAGCGACGCUCUGUUCAAAUAUAAAAACAAAUAUGUUAGCAUAUUUUUUAAGGACGCUAUCAAUGAACACAAUAGAAAAGAAAAUCAAGGACAAAGAGGUCGGCUAAUGAACACAAUGGUGGUGAACUGAAGUCAGAAUGCUUGUGGAGACGAGAAAAUGCUUUUACAUGUUAGUUGGUUUACAUGCCAUGGUACUCCAACAUUGCAAUAGAUGUUAAAGCUUCCCCGUAGCCAAAGAAUAUAGAAAUCAACAAAGUAACCAAAACCAUAAAAGGAAUUCAAACUAAUCCUACAGAGUGGCAAUGUAAAGGAAUUAUAUAUAAGCAGGUUCAAAAUUUAUUGUAAACAAAGUUAAUUACAGAGUACAGUUAUAGAAUCAGUAAUAUUCAGUUUCAUUUCUUGCUUAAAUGCUUAAUGGAUGUCUACGCUCAAAGCUUUCAAGUAACCAAAUAAUACAGAAAUCCCCACAUGUUUAACUAAAGAUAUUUGGAAGGAUUAACUACAAGAUCUGCAACCAAUUUUGUUAUGCCGAACCAUACGACAAAGGGAAUAUGUAAAUUUGUUUAUAUAACUAAUCAGAAAGGCAAUUAUUUGGUCCAGUAAGGACAGGAAAAAUAAGUUUACAAUCAAAAUACAUCCCAAUAUGGGUAAAAGAAAUAAUCAGAAACGCGUUCCCACAGACUAUCAUUAUCAUGUUUUAAUAUUAAUUAUCGCAUAUAUUUAAUAUUAAUUUCUCGCAUACAAAAAGAAAAACAUUCUUGCAACUAAUUUUGAUUCCUAACACCUUAUUCUUAAUUUAAUCCACAGUUAAACCAAAAUAUCAUGCCCAAAAGAAUUUGGGUUCAGUUUACAACACGAGCACAUAAGAUAACCAUUCUUAAUUGACCAUUUUGUAUACACUGGUACAUUACAAGUUCCAGUUCAUAGUAGGCCUAUGCACUGGUACAUUACAAGUUCCAGUUCAUAGUAGACCUCAUGAACCGCAUCAUUUGAGUUUCUGUAACUAGAUGAUUCUGCUUUUCAAUACUUUACUAUUUGCUUGCUGCUUUAGCCUACAUUUUACAACCCAAGCCUUCCUACGAUAAGCAACAAGAAGCUCAUUCCUGAAUCCCUGUCACCUACCGAAACUAACAGAUGAUAUCCAUCCACAUAUUUACUGGCAAAUCAAACAUGUUUUUCCGACUAAGCAUUUCCAUAUAUUAUAGGUCAAAGUCAAACUAAACAACAUGGUGCAUAAUAGCAAACAGACAAGAACAAGUACACAUACAACUCUAUCGUAUGUUUUUACUACAUGAAUUCAGAGGCUCCCCGACUAUAAUAAGACUUGAUUUCAAUUUUAUCAGCCUACUACUCAGAACAUACAUAGACUUCUUACAUAAAAUAAGGAGACUUGGAACUAUCUAUAAAUAUUAAUAUAAUUAAGAGGAUGCGUUUCUAAAAGAUAGUAGGACAAAGAGUUCAAUUGUGGACAUAACUAAAGUCAUCCAUAGCUUCAAAGGGUUUCAAUUGUGGAACUAGUAAGGACUAAGGACCCCACAAAAAAAUGGUUAGGCUUGAUUCACAAAUUUGCCAACCUGGUUAGAGAUCUUUAAAAAUACAAGUGUGCGCAUGCACACACACACAACCCCACAUAGAGUUUGAGAUUACUCUCCAUGUAUUGAUAAUUUUAUUUUAAUGAAAAUGCUUUAGAGAUUUAUAUGUUACACAAGCCGCUAUGUUUUGAGCUUUUAUAUUAGUAUGGAUUAUACAAUAUAAAAAAACAUGUAAGUCAUUACAACACAGCACAAAUAUCUACAUACAAAUCAAGCUGUGAGAGAGCAUACCACAUUGCUUAAAGUAAAGGCAGACGAAAGCUGCCCACGAACUAAUAGCAGAAAUAGCAAAGGAUUUCAAAUGAGUACAGCAAUGCAAUGAAACUUGUCACUUUAGGUGAGAGAUGCACAAGUACAAAACCCCUCUGCCUCUUGUAUAUGUCACAUAAUACAGCCUUCAGUGUAGUACAUGCUUUAUUCAUUCAAUUUGUAGAUAGAAAAACACUUUCGACCUACUGAAUGCGAGUCUUCAACAAAAAGGGGAUAGCUCUACUAAAUUAGUAACCAUUUUAACUCUCUUGAAAAAUGGCUCAGAGCCUCAGAGUAUUAAGCUUCCACGAAGGCAGGGUCUAGGAAGGGCAAGAUAUGCGCAGGAAAAGCCUGUUCUAAGUGAUAUUAUCUAAGGUUAAAAAAAAAAAUCCAGCCUAAAGAUAAUCCACCUAGACUACUUCACAACCCCUUACAGAACUUCUGCAAAUUUAAAGUUACAUGUCGUAUGAAAUGACAAAAAAAUCAACUAUCACCAACAAAUUAACUAAAAUACUUCAAAAUUAAGAAUUCAUUUUGUCUAGUUUGGAAUCUUGUAGUUUAACCUUUACUUCAACAUAACUAAUAACCGAAACAACUUAUUACCAAAAGAGUAAACAUGUCAAAGUUCGGAGAACAGUAACUACAAUAGAUCUAUUCUUGCGUGAAGGUCAUUGACUAUAUAUCUCAAUCCCACACUUCCUAGCACAUUAUUGCCUGCGAGUUAAUUCCGACACACAUCUUAAACAAUAUUCAUAUUUCUGAAACUGUAGAGAAUUUAAAUUGUAUCCAGCAUAACCAAUACAAAAGAUAAAGAAGCAACACAUCAAUAAGCAAAGACUAAAUAGUGAACAAGAACAUCACCUUUGCAACAUGUUCCAGAGUGAUAGCCUCGGGAAUGAUCUUAGUCCGCAGCUUAAUCUGGACAAACCCACUAGUCCCUUUCAAGGGAAAACAAUGGCCAGGCUCUCCAAAACUGGGUCUCAACAUCCUAUCAGCAUCACCGUGAACCCCAUUUUUUGUACUCUUCGAGAACCAACUGCUCCCUUUCCCCACCAAAUAUGGCUCUGAAUGCUUCACAAUGGAAGCCCCACCAGUGGCCAAAGCAUAAUCCACCCUCCCAAGACCAUCCGCCGCAUGCUUCUCUAUUUCUUUCUCAACCACAUUCCUCGCAUAGGCCCUUAUGUCAUCCAAAGUCGCACCCAAUUCGACAUCUUCGCUGCUCUUCACCUUCUUCUUCAAAUCCUCAUACACCUUUUCAAACUCUUGCUUCGACAACCACUCCACGCUCCUCAAAUUGCCCACCGACCUCUCCAACCCUUCACUUUUUGCCUCCAAUUUCUUCAACUCACUCUCCAACGCAACCCCUUUAUCCUGUAUCUUCUUCUCCAUUUCUCUCCUCAACCCUCCGACCUCGCUCUCGAUCUUCCGGUCCACAACCUCCACCUGAACCUGAACCAUCUUCGUAGUGGUCUUCAUAAACGCUUCGACCUCCACUAUUCGGCCUUCCAAGUCCGAAAACGCCAUGGGAACCCCAACCCCAGACCCCAGAGCGAGUCUCCUGACAAUCUGAAACAAACCGAGAAUCAGAACAAGAAGAAUGAAGUUCUUGAAGAAGACUCGGAGGACGGUGACCCAUCGAGGCUUGGGAUCAGCGGCUAGGGUUUUGCGAGAGCGGCGACUGGACGGCGGCGAAAUGGUGGAAUUGGGGCCGGUUUUCUUGGGUUGAGCGGACCGGUCAAGAGCCGGUUCGCCUCUGAUGGAGUAGUGGCUCAGAUCUUUAGAAUUGGUAGCGGUGUCGUCGGCUUUGUGGGUUUGGGGUUCGGCGGAGACAAGUUCAAUGUUGGAGGACUUCUUAUCGAAAGCCACGACGGGUCGCCGCCGGGUCGUCGCCGGGUUCGCCGUUAUUGAAACGGUCGACGCGGACAUUGGAUUUGAGAUUCGGGUUUUGCUGGAUUAGAUACAAAAAUUUGAAUUGAAAAGUUGAGGAAUGAAAACGAGGGAAAAUGGGGGAAUUUUGGGUUUGGAAGAAAAUUAAGCGAUCUGAAAGAAAAUUAAAAAUAAAAUAGUGGGGAAGUUGGGAAUUUGGGCGAUCCGGCGCGACGGUUUUGGGCGGCCCAGUUCUUACUUUGGGCCGGCUGUUUCCAUGAGUAAAUUGAAGGGAGUUUUAACGAAAAGCCCACGAUACUAUUUACUUUAACGAAAAAUCACAUUUUUAUACUAAAAGGUCAAACCUGAUACUAUUCACUUUACCCUUUAUUUUGUCCUUAUCGUUAAAACUCAAAGUUUUUAAGCCAUUUUCAUUAGUUUUCCUUAAAUUGAAUGGCCUUCCUCAUUUGGUUUAUGGUAAGUGAACAGUAACGGUUGCGGUAGAAUAGAACAAAUCAUUGUCACUUUGAAAAUUUAAUCUCGAGACGUGACUAAAUAUAUGAACUGAAUUGCGUAGUACUAAUGAAUUCUUCUAAUUUCAUGGUUGUAUCUAACUUUUAAAGUUAGACUGCUUACGUACCAUAAAAUAAGACCAAGCCAUUUGUAGUUUACCCUUUUGUUAAGCUCCAAAAACAUCUUAUAUUUACAGUGACUUCUAAAAUUUAUCAUGGUCUAUCUAGCAGGAAAAAAUAGGGUUCCAAAAUCACUUAAUGAAACUCGACAAGUGGGAUUCCAAACCAACUUGAAAUAUAGAGGAAUAUAGGACUCCGAACCAAUUCAACAAUACCGAAUGGGAAGUGACUAACUCAACAAAAUGCAGAGGAACAUAGGGUUUUGGACCAACUCAACAAAACCGAAUGGGAAGUGGGAUUUCUGACUAACUCAACGAAAUCUAGAGGAAUAUAAGAUUUUAGACUACCUGAACUGAACCGUAUCGGAAGUGAGCUUCCGGACCAACUCUACGGAAUCUAAAGUAUAUCGAGUUCUACACCAACUCAACGAAACUAAAUUGAAAGUGGGAUUCUAGACCAACUCAAUGCAAUUAAGAGGAAUAUAAUGUUCUGGACCAACUCAACGACACCACCCCUAAAUACGUGUAGUCCUCCUAACGAAUUAAACAAGUAGGACCAUAGACAUGUACCUGAUAGUGUUGUCCCCCAAUUCGAAUCAUAAUUAAAUUAUUAAUUUGAAAAUAAAAAUCUAUAUCCUAUUACUCAACAUCAAUUCGUAUCAAAAUCUUUUCCUUUGAUACCUCCAUCUUCAAGUGGAGUUUUGCAGGCGCACAUGCAUUGAGACAUGGUAAUUAUUUAAUUUUGUUGAAUUUCUUAGUUGUUCUUAUUUAAUCUAUAAAGUAUAAAAAAAUAAAAAAUAAAAAAGUCUUGAAAAAGUCUCAAAACAUACAAAUAGGCAGAAGGAGCAUGGAGUGCCACGUGGCCACUGUCUGUUGCAUUAGAGUUAUUUAAUUCGAUUUUGUGCCUACAGAGAGGGCCAGCGCAACUUCUUCCACAGCGUUUAAUCACUACUGGACAAAACCCUCGUUAUUUGGGUUGAGUCCACGCACUCUUGCUCCCCUGCCUGCCUUCCCACGCUUAUUUCUGUACCGCAAUCAUAUCAUCCAAUACACAAUUUCAAUUUAUUUAUACAGUCAAAUUUAAAAACUGUUUUCUAAAUACAAAUAGUCUUAAUUUUUAAAACAACAAUGUAACUAUAUAUUAAUAAAAUUAACAAAUAAAUUGAUAUCGAAAUUGUUAUUUAUGAAAUUCGAGUAGCACUUAGUGGAAAUGAUAUGUAGCCUUGUUAAAUAUUCUUAUUUAUGUCAGAAAAUCCAAAACAGUGCAUUCAAUAUGUUUUCCAUAUAAAUUAAUUUCUUCUUUUUAUGUUUGGUCAUUUGGGGGUUAGAAAUUUGAGUUCAACUAUGCGACUCAAAAGUGAUAAAUAAUUUGGAGUUUUUGAUUUGAGGGUAAUCAACUAAAAAUUACUAUACUUGAUGUAAUAAAUAAUUAGAAUUUUCAAAUGAUUUGAACAUGUGACGUAAGACAUAAACGCUCCGUUAUGUGUCGUAUAACAUAGCGCUCUGUUAUGUGAUGUAAAACAUAACGGAAGCGUUAUGUGACGUAAGACGUAACGCUCUGUUACAUUACGCAAGACAUAAUGCUCCAUUAUGUGACAUAAGACCAAUGUUUGAAAUUUUUUAGAUAAGGUCGAUAUUUCAGUGGAAAUAUCAAAAAAGAUUAAAGAAAGAUAUGGAAAGGGAGGUGAAGUCUAGAUUUCACCUUAUCUUGGAGAAAUUCUUAAGUUUAAUCUAAAAUCAACAUAUUUUGUCAAUAUAUCCAACAUAUUGGUUAAAUAUCGGAUAAACUCUUAUAUUUCGUCUAAACUAGUGUUUGACACUCCUUAAAAUUUAAUUUUGAAUUUCCAUGAUUUCUAUUGAAAAUAAUUGAUAUCGAUAUCGAUAUAUCCAUCGAUAUUUUCACAAAUUUGCAUAUUGGUAUUUCAUCGAUACCAAUAUUUUAAACACUGUGUACGUCAUAAUGCUCCAUUAUGUUAUGUAAGACAUAACGCUCGUUGUAAGAGAAAGUGGAGCCAUUUUUGCACUCUUAAAUGUUUUAGCCAUUGAAUUAAAUAAAUCAAAUACGAUUCAUAAGCUAAGAGUAAGUUGAACAAGUUCAGUCAGAAAUGUAAUUCACCUUAUCGAAUAACUUUUUGUGAUGGUGGCAUAUAGCCUUGUUCUAUUUGGUCAAACAACCUUAUCUAAAUACCUACCUACAGUUGAAUUUGACAUAAAAAUUUUGAAAUUAAAACAUUAAAAAUAUAUUUAUUUAAUCUAUACAUUUAAUAUCGAAUAUAAAAAUGAGUGAUGAUAUAGACGAACCAUUUUGUGGUGGCACAAGUGGACCAAGCAAAUUGGCAGCCCAUAAUUAACUGAUGAGGGCGCAAGUAGAGGAGCCUAGCAAGGAUAAAAAAGAACUAAAUUUUAUAAAAUGAAAAAUGGGAAUUUUUGGUUUUUGCAGAAAGCCAGAAACCUCUCUCUCUCUCUCUAUCUCUCUCUCUCUCUCUCCUCUGUCUCUUACAACUGCGCUCUUUUAGUUUUGUUUUUCUGCAAAUUGGAUACAUUCAACAAUAGAUACAGUUGGUAUGUGUGAGUACUGCUGCUGAUGAUUCCAACCUCAACACUCAAGCAAGCAACAAUCUCUUCAACCCAAAACUCUUCCUGUGAUUCAGAUCGGACUCCUCUCUCUCUCUUUCUAAAGUGAGUGCUCUCUCUCUCUCUCUCUCUCUCUCUCUCUCUCUAUAUAUAUAUAUGUAUGUAUGUAUCCGAUGCUCUUUAUCAGGCAGUCCUCUCAGUCAUUCUUCCUUCUUUAAAAGAAAAUUGUUUGAACUUUGUUUUAUUUUAUGAGGAAAGACAUUCAUGCAUUUGGGAAUGAAAUUGGGUCAGUGAUUUUUUUUCUUUUAAUUAGAAAAACACUAAUUUCUGUUGCAUGCAAAUCUAAUUUCUGGGAUUUGGGUUUUUCUGUGGUGAGGUAAUGUUGUGAAAUUUUGUUCCUUUUUGGAGAAUGAUGUAAUUUCAUUUUUCAUGCUUCAUUGUGGUGCUCUUUGAUUUUCUGGGAAAUUUGGAUUUUGGGGUUUUUCUUUUGUGAGAGUUUGAUUGCGGGUUUAGGGUUUGAAAGCAUUGGGUUAAAUGGAGGCUAUGCAACUCCUUCAAUCACUUGCAUGCAAGAGUUCAUAGCUGUUUCUGGUAAAUCCCUCUGCUAGUUUAGACCCUGAUUUUUUAAAUUUUUUUCUUUUUUAAUCUUGAUUAGAUUUGGGUUUCAAGAAUUUGCAAUUUGGUAAUCUGUUGGUUUUUGUUUGUAUUUUCUAAUAAAUUGGACUAUUCUUAUCCAUUGAAGGGAAUUUAACCUGUAAUUUUAUGGGCAUUAAUCUAGCAUAUUUUUCUGUCUUUUUAAUAGCAGCUUAUGGCUCUACUGAUUGCAUGCCUACAUGACCUGAUGAGAUCCUUCAAACCGUCAUUCAAAUUUAUUUUGCAUGUGUGUGUAUUCAUUUGCAAAUCAUGUUGAUGUGUACUCACUUUCGUUGUCAUUCUUCUUUUAGUUACUUUUGGCAUUCGUACCAUACACAAUGUUGUUAACUAGUAAAAAAUUCUUAGUCUGAAAUAUCUCAGUUUUCUUGACAUAGGUUUCUGAUAUUCAGGUUGAUUGCCUCAAGUAGGUUUAAGGCUGAAGCUGCUGAGCUAUGGUAUCGCUUAGUAUAUUUAAAAGUUUAGACUUUCAUUGUAAUCGACAAUUUCUUAUUAAGAAUUGGUGAAUGGGGAUACCGACAAUGGGAUCUCAAGGUGGGGCUGAUGGUAAUUGCAAACAGUCACAGUUCCAACCUUUGGCACGGCAAAACUCAAUUUACAGUCUUACCUUGGACGAGGUACAGAAUCAGUUAGGUGACUUGGGGAAGCCACUCAGCAGCAUGAACCUUGACGAGCUUCUAAAAAAUGUAUGGAGUGCUGAAGCUAAUCAGAUCAUGGGUAUAGAUAUUGAAGGCAAUACACUGGUCAAUCAAGCUCAACUGCAGCGUCAGGCAAGCCUGUCAUUAACUAGUGCAUUGAGCAAGAAGACAGUUGAUGAGGUUUGGAAAGAUAUUCAACAAAGCAAAGAUGAAGAAGAAAAGAAAUCUCAAGAACGACAACGGACUUUGGGAGAGAUGACUUUGGAGGAUUUCUUGGUCAAAGCCGGAGUUGUUGCUGAAGCUGAAGCAUCUUCAGACAAAAAAUAUGCUGAUCCUCUAGUUGGGGUUGAUGCAAAUGUGGCAGCACAGUUGCCACAAGGUCAGUGGAUGCAGUACCCACAACCACAAUAUCAGCAUCCACAACAAAGUAUGAUGGGGGUAUACAUGCCAAGCCAACCUUUACAACCACCAAUGCAUGUAGGUGCUGGAGCUAUGAUGGAAUUGCCGUAUCCUGACAACCAAGUUGCGGUGCCUUCACCCUUAAUGGGUACGUUAUCAGAUACGCAGACACCUGGGAGGAAAAGAGGCAACCCUGAGGACAUAGUUGAGAAGACUGUUGAGCGAAGGCAAAAGAGAAUGAUAAAGAACCGGGAAUCUGCUGCACGUUCGCGAGCAAGGAAGCAGGUCAAUAUUUCAUAUCUUUUGGUUUAUAAGUCCACACACAAGGUUUUCUUUUUGCAAUUUUAGCUGAACAUUGAAAACUGUUAACAGGCAUAUACAAAUGAACUGGAGAACAAAGUUUCACGCCUGGAGGAGGAAAAUGAAAGGCUAAGGAAACAGAAGGUCAGGUUUCUUUUAGUAUGAUGUAUAUUUGUAUUUGUUUCAUUUGAUUUCUCUAAUACAUCUUGAAUUGGUGACUGAUGAUUGUUGCUUGCUUUAAUUCAACUGCGAUUAGUAAAACUCUUUCUUUCCUCCUCAUUAGAAAAGAGAGAAUCUUAGUUGGCUUCUUUUCUUUCAUUUGGCAGUAGGAAGUUGUUUGUUUUGCAUCAGAUUUAAUUAUUUAGAUACAAGCCUGUUGCAGGUAAUUGAAACAUGCACACACAGGCACCACUAACUAAGUUCAUCAAUGGAUGAUUAUGACAGAGUCAUUGAUUGUGGAGAAACAGUGAUGUAGGAAUUAGGAUAGAUUUGAAAAACAUUGUAUAAAUGCUUUAGCUGGUAAUUGUCUUUUUUUAGUGUAUCCGAAUCUUUGACCCAAUUAAUCACUAGGCGCUCCCCACCCCACCCCACCCCACCACCCCCCCCUCGGGGCCUGACCCCACAACAUUUGGGGAGCGAGAAACUCUAGCAUUUGCUAGGUGGGUACCGUGGGAGAGAGUCGAACCCCAGACCAAUUGGUAGCUAGAGUUUGAUAAAAUUACAGAUUGGUAGCUGCAUGAUUGAAAAACAUGAAGAAUUCUUAGGGGCAUUAUCCAGUAUUCAAUAAAUUAGAAACAUCAAAAGCAAAAAAACUCAUGAAAGAAAUGAAGGAAACAGGGAGAACAUUAAUUGUUCAUUCAUCAAUACCAUCUUAAGGACUGUACAAUUGUCUUCCUUAAGGAGUGUUCUUUCCCUUCAAUAGCUGUACUUUUUCUUUUGAGCAAGAUGCAUGGAGGAGUCACUCUCCAAUUCCCUUUUUACCUUUUCCGUGAAGUUUCCAUGCCAUCCUGCAAGUAAACCACUAAUGGACCCUAGAAGCAUCCAUUUAACCUUGGGAAAGGACAAAUAGCCGUAAUUAACCUGGGGACGAAGUGAUAAAUACGAUAUGAUACAAAUAAAACUUUGGCAGGGGUGAGUUUAUAAUGGAUAAGAAUGUAAUGUUCUUUCUUUCCUGCUUCCUAGAAAAUAUUGGAGUCCACUUCCGUUCUAGGGCCUACAGAUUGUGAAUAUGAUCCUUUCUAUUCAAUAGGAAAACAGUAAUUGCCUUGUGAUAUUGUGAAUAUUACUUCAUAUCCGGGCAAAAUUUGAGCCCGGGUUUAGGACCUAAGGUAGAAUCCUUGACAUAUGGGCGGUUAAGAAUCUAUUGUACUUUUUCCUAGUUCCUGGAGAAGAUUGGAGUAUGCAACAGUCAUUGCCUCAAUCUCAUGAAUGAAACUUCAUAUCCUGGUGAAAUUUGAGCAUGGAUUUUGGUAGAGCCCUCGACUUAUGUUCAAAUAUAAGGGAAUCUUCGUUGUUAGAUGCUAAGUCUAAGGCAAGUUUUAUCCUAAUAUCAGUGCCUCCACUGGUUGGGGUCUUUCACCCUGAAGUUUGAUUUAACAUAACCCAUUAUAUCGGAACUGCAAUCUUGAUUAGUAGAUCAUAUGCAGUCACCGUGUGUCCACCGGAUAUGUGCACAGUUGUGUCAGAAGAUUUCAUAUAUUUUUUAAAGGAUGAAGUGUGAAGCUCUAGACUGUGAGUUAUGUUGUAAGUUCUUUUGGUACUCCUAGCAUCUCAGUGUACCUCAUCAGGUUUGAUAAUUUGAGCACAUGUACUCACUUAAUUCAGAUGUACAUGUAUAAAUUACAAUCUAAGAGUCUAAAUGAAUUUGCGGUUUAAAUAUAAAUGCUAAAUGGAAUUUGAUGAUAUUCAACCUAAGGAUUAAAAAAGAAGCAGCAUAAAGGUAAUGGUAUGUAUAGCACAAUAUAACCUUAAAAGGGGUUGGGGGCUCAUCCCUUUUCAUCCACUCUUUUACAUGUGGCUAUUAGUUAGCUAAAUUAUUCCAAAAUUUGCAGAGUUUGAUACAAAUGUAUCUACCCAAGAAAAGCCAUGUACUAACUAAUUUAAAUAUUUCGAAGAUAUUGAGUCAUCACACACUUGUUUAUUGCAUGUUUUAAGGCUAGUUAUUAGAAUAACCAAUACAACUUUGUAUCGCAUUUGUUUGUAGUUGAUGUGGUUGUCUUAAUGAAGAGGAUUUUUCCUGACUAGUGUUAAACUUACGGGUGAUACCUUUUCUUAAGGCAGUUAUUUUGUGCAUGAGUAGGAUUUUCCUCAACGAUUUUCAUGAGCAUUAACUCAUGGAUAGUUAUAAGCAGCUUUACAAGUGGCAUUAUUGAGGAGAUAGUUUGAAUGUCUAGAUAAGGUUUUACACUUGAUCAUACUCUAAUGUCCAGAUGGCUUCCGUAUAUGACCAUUUUCCCCAUAAAUUAAAGUUUUGUUACAGAUAAUGUUAGGAAAAUCUAUAGGUACACUACAAUGCAUACUAUACCGACCUACUAUUAUGUAAACUCCAAAAUCCCCGUUUACCCUCUAAACAACAUUUUUUUUCUUUGAAAGGAAAACAAAUACUAAACUGCCUGCUUCUGCUUCUGGCUCUGGUGCUGACUGGCCUCCCUGCAACCCUAAUGUGUGUUGCUGGGAGACAAGUCCCAGGGGGGGGGGGGACUCACCGCCGGGCAGGGAAGACUUCUUUUCAUUUUUAUUAAAGUUAUUUUUUUCUUUUCGUUUUUGCUCUUUUAAGCUUAUUCAAAUGGUAAAGAUAGGAAGUUUCGAGAAAAUAAGGUGCAUAGUUAAUAUGGAGUAAAUUGUUGGGUACCCCAAUUAAAUUUUCCAGGAUGUUAUGAGUACAUUAUUAUCAAUGUUUUUACUGACAUGCUUUCAAGACUUAUGAUCCAGAGUUAGUAGUUUAGAGUUUUAGCCUUGUAAGUUUAGGUUGUAGCUUGUGUAGUAGCUGAUGAAUGUUCUUACUAUUAGUUCCACCUUGAAUAUUGGGAUUGUUUCUUGCUCUCACAAUGCUUUUGUUGGCAAGCAGAUACUCCUAGUUUCUAAUGAAUGUUUAAGUUCUAGGGCAAAGUUGGACAUGGCAUGAUUUUUUGGAACGUGGUGAUUGUGGAUGAGGUGUAGAAGUGUGUCGGGGUUUACUUUUCAACUUUGCUUUAGGUUUGGGGAAUGGGUGCGAGUAUUUAGCAUCCUAAUAUGUCUAGUCAUAUCCCUUUGAGGAGCACUUGGUUCUUUGUAAGUUUGGCCAUAAGAAGGAAUGCUUGUCCAAUUAUUCUGGUGAAAGUGCAAGAGAGAGUGGGAGGGGAAAGUUGGUGUAAAGGGAUGUAAUUGGGUUUAAUGUCUGUCAGGAUCUUCUAACAGGAUUGGAAUGUAGAUUCUGAAAGGGAUUAUUGUUUCAAAAUCCUUGUGAGUGGCAUGCUUUGCAAGGGUUGACAUGCCACCAAUUUUUUAAUUGUAAAGAUGACUGCAUUAUCCAUAUGUUCGGGCCUUCUUGUACCAGUUGUUAGUGAUGCAACCCAUUUCUACACGUGUUAACUAAAAUUAGUUCCUAGGAAUAAGUAUGGAAGAGAGAGUGGAGAAACUUUAACUUAAUUGAGGACUCAAAGUGGGCAGCACAUAGAACAAACUGAAUCGUACCUUAAAACGAUAGUCUGAAAGCCAAUAUUACAUUUGUUGGACUUUUUAUUUAAUAAAAUGUUUGUUUCUCCUCACAAAAGUAAUUAAAAAAUUUGAUGUCCCGCUUUUUAAUUUUCAUCUGUAGUUUGGACUUCAUUAUCUACUUGUGUUGUUUUGGAGGAUCUACUUCCUCCUUUCAUUAUCUACACUUUUCAUUCAACUUGCAUUCUAUUUUUCCAAGCUGGUAGAAAACUUGCUGCCUAGUUUGUUCUUGACUUUGCAUGACGUUGAGACAACGCCUUGAUUAACUGCUCAUUUUCUACCUUGUAUGGUUUUGAUGGAAAAGCUAUAUGGAUUAUCAACUAAUGAAAGAGGGGAGAGGGAGAUGAGACCAAGAAGAGAGAUGCAAAUUUUGUUCAUCUCUCUCAUCUUUCUAUCUCAUUUGUCCUUCUCCAUUCUUCAAAUAUUAUUGAAAAUAAAGAAAAUUUUCAGACCAGGCUUGAGAAUUUUCUAAAUUUUAAAUCAAGAACGAAACAAAGUAUCAAUUUUUUGUAUAUUAGAUAUCUUAUUCGUUUUACUUUGUGUCCUUGCAGGAGCAAGAGAAGGUGUUGCCGAGUGCUCCGCCUCCGGAGCCAAAGUACCAGCUUCGUAGAACGACAUCAGCUCCAUUCUGAAAUUUGUAUCUAUAUGCAUCUGCUGCUUGUGCUUUCCUUUCUUUUCACUUCUUUGUGACAUUAGUUGCGUUAGGAAUUUUCAUCGAACCAUUUUACUCAAUUGUCCUUAAGACUUGUCCAGAAAAUAUUAGUGUUGUGUUUUCGAAAUUGUUGUGUUCAUGGUGUCUUGCUGCCUGCUGCAACCCAUGCCAUUUAGAAUUAGUCCACGCCCGUUCUUAGCCAUGUUCUUUGCUGGGGUUCGGGUUUGGGUUCUGGUUCUAGUAAGUCUAAUUCGUAGUACAAAUAUAUCUGGUGAUGGUAAAGUGAUGACUCAUUGACAUCAGGGGUUGAGGAUUGGCACGAAGCGCCUGCGUUCAGGUUUCAACGGAAAACAUUGGCCUCAUCACAUUUUUAUCUUGGGUAAUUCUGGCACUGCCGCACCGCGGCCGUCACCGCCUUUUGCUUCACGGAGUCUCUGAAAUUGCAUCUGAGCGGCUACCAAUAUGGCCGCAGCGUGUUGGUCCAACUGCGGUAAAGAGAAAACAGCAAGCUCUGAAGAACCUCAUAAAAACACCAUCCAGAAAUGCCAAAACAGCAGCUGCAUCUCCUUCAAACAUCACUGGGAGCUACCCAUCUCUGUCGCACACUGGUAGUGCGAGGGUUUCUUUGACCUUGCCGUUGCUUAUAAACUUUCAACGAUUCCCUGACAUUCAUAACGAGCUCAACUGGAGUUGCUUUCCUUGCCAUAAUAGUUCAUUCCGCGUCUCCCAUAGGUUCCAUAAAAUCAUUAGUAAUUCAAACUUCGCCACAGGAAAAGAGGGAGCACUUUGUAUCAACCAAGCCCUUAUACUUAGGUGGCCAAAGACAUUAAUCCUCAAGCCUAACCCUGCGAACCAACGGCCGCAGCAAAGGAGCAAUCUCGAAGAACAUGCUCUAUUGUUUCAACCCAUCGUCCACAUGCUAAACACAACUCGUCAACAUCGACCUUCCGAUGCCUUAGUUUAGCUUUUGUUGGUAACGCAUCCAGGCAACUCCGCCAAGCUGCAAUCUUCGCUUUCCCCAGUGUUUGGAUGAAUAUUUAAUGUUGGGCUCAAUACAAUUAAAGGCCCAAGCGUGCAAAAAUCAGAAAAGAAUUAGGUUGGGACAUGUGGCAGCUUAGGAAGAAUUUAAAACCAUUUUUAGCGGCUAAUAGGCAGCAUGCCAAUGUAAGAAGUGACAAGUAGUAGAGGGCAACUCACCCUCAGCAAAAAGUACUUUUCCAUGGCAUGGAUAUCUAAUUUAGCAAAGGCUGAUGAUGGCUCACCGUGCUCUGGAAGACAUCACCAAAAGGGAAGGCUUGGACAAUCGGGCUAGAAAAGUCUAUAAAAGCUAUGAAGGGCGCAAGCAUACGUCUCUCUCUCAACCAAUCAAUCAAGCAACUCUCAAUACACUCAACAACGAAAUUAGAAAAAGCUUUAGUUCGUUCAUCCCUUGUCCCUUUCAAGUCGCAUGUCUACCAUAAAAAGCUCUCUUUUGUCCAGUUUUAGAAGCUCUACUACCAUUCCUUUUGUUGUAGUAUCAAUCCCUUGAGUAAACCUCGUUUAUAUUUCCUUUUCCAAGAUUUCAAUCACUGUCAAAUACAAGGAGAGGUGUCUGCAAGAGGAUGAACCUUGCCCAACAAGGUUGUAAUCUUGCCCGAAUCUCCUUUAUUUGUAUUUACGUAGAAUAGAUCUGCUAUUUCUAUAUAUUGAAUUAAACCUUGUAUCAUUUUUAACUAAUUCCAUUCAAGUGUUAGUUAUGAUUAACCCUGAUAAACUAAUUACUCUUGUUUCUUUGCCAUCCACUUAAGGUAAUAAUUAAGGAAUUAACUUGAGUGACCUUGAACUCUUUUGUGAACGAACGUAUACCACUAUACAUGAAAGUUCUUGAUCAAAAGGCAAGAAAAGAAUUUAAUACAGACUUAACACAUCUAUGAACAAUCCUAAUAAUCCAAGAAGUUAAAGUGACUUGUGGUGCAAGAAAUUGAUUAACUAAACAACCAAGUAAACAAUUUGUUAAACAAAAAGAACAGUGGCACACUCAUAUUCAUGUUAAUUUUGAUUGUGAGCUUGAAGGCCUAAUAAAGGCCCCACAAAGGCACCAUUCAAACUAACAAUAAACGUAUAUCACAAAAGAUGCAGAAACAAACCUUGCCCAACAUGCAAGAUAAGGGGAGUUAUGUGAGGGACAAAUCUAACCCGACCACGCGGCACUGUCGCAUUCCACAGUUUUUUCCACAGCAACUUUUCACCUUCCUCUGAGACUGAAGGUCCCGCUGCACUACCACCAACUUACACAGCUUGGCGAAGGAAUAAACACUCUUAGUGAAGGUAAUAAACACAAAUUAACAAAAAAAGAUUACAAGAGUUACAAAAUGUGAAAGACUAAAAGACUCCAUCUUAAUUUUCCACUAACAACAAAUAACGACAACAAUUUUAAUUUCCCACUAAUAUCAAAUAAUGAGAACUGUCUUAAUUUUCCACUAAUGACAACCAUAAUUAUCUUAUUUAAAAUUAAAAAUGCACCAACAUAAAUCACCAACUUGAUCAAACUCCAGUAACUUAAUGUUACCAACUUCCUUUCCUAUAUAUAUACACCAACCAUUAACAUAUACUCGUUUCUAAUAGUCACCAUUCUCAUACACCAACCCUUAAUCAUGGCCCCUUACCGAGCCUUGACAAUCCGUGCUUCCAACGCCGUUGUGUGGGACUACCGCACAGGGCGGCCACUGGAUGAGCCCCCAAGUCCACAGCCGCCACCAUGAGAUUUGAUACGUUAUGCUAUGCCAAAUGGGAUAGAGGCUAUAACAUCACUAAGCAGUGGAAACAUAAAUGGUCACCAUCAACUCCUACAUCGAAACACAAUUGCAACUUGUUAUGCCUUUCGCAAAAGGGCCAAAGAAAGGAUGGGGGCGAGAAGAAUUUAUGUCUACUACGAUAGAUUCUCUGCUGGCCAUGAGUGGCUUUUGGAUGGUUGGGUGGCCGAAAUGAGGACCACGUAGUCGGGCCAACAUUGGGUAACAAUCUCUUACAUCUAAACUAUUUUCAUAUCAAGUGAUUCUAUAUAUUUUUUGUCCAUUUAUAUUCAAGGUUCUAAAAGACGCUGCCGCUAGUUGGACGGCGGGCAGAGGUUUAGUGCGGCCUAGGUGGAUUUAUGUAAAUUUAUUAGAUAUCUUGUAAAUAAGUGCCUAUUUACACCUAAAAAAACUAUACUUUUAUAGAUAAUAAAAGAAUAAUAAAAUGCAAAAAAUAGAAGUAGAAGAAUACACAAAGUAUAUACUUCCAAAAAGUUCAAUAUCUAAAAAACAAUAAGUAUAUAAUCAUAAUGAGAAGGAUUUGGAUGAUAGACUAAAUUCUUCUUAUUCAUGAUCCUUGCAUUAGAUUGGACAUAAACUAAAUUAUUUAAUAUUGUUGUAUAAAGUUUAUUUCUUUUCUUUGUAUGUAUCCCCUCAAAAGUGCUCCAAUUCUUUUCACUAUUGGAUCCUCUCUUAAGAAGGGCUUCCAUAUAUAUAUAUAUAUAAUGUUUCUUUUUCAGAAAAAGUACCAAUCUUUUUGCAUAUUUUUCUACUUCGCAUGUAUGUGCAGCUUUAUUUAGUACGAUCCUCUGGGGAAACAAUAUAACUCCAAACAGAAAGUUCUGAAAUUCUGGGAAGACCAGUGACGCUAUGAAAAAUGAAAAGGCAAGUUGAAGACUAGCUAUAUGUAUGAAUAAUGGCAUUUUUGCAUGCCAAAGUGGGAGUAGGAUUCUCUCAUUCAGUCCAGUCCCUUCCUUUCUCACUUUUCUUUUUGUUUUUCUGUUUUUGUUUUUCCCUGUAUAAAAAAGUCAACAUCAAAUAUUGAUGUGGUUUAAUCAUCACCGUUCAAAUAGAAGAAAAAAAGUUUAAAGUUUUCGAUCAUUUAAGCACUUUUGCGGAAGCGUGCAACUGUCAGAUGCUUUCCCCAUUAAAUAAUAUUUCAAGAACUUAAAUUGUUAAUAAACUUUUCAGCUUGUUUCUAGUAAAAGCACUUGUAAAAAAGACGCAUAUGAAUAUAAAUACUUCCUGCAUAAAUAUUAAAUAGUCACAAAUAAGGCUUUAGAGUCCACUAUAGUAGGAGUGGUUUCACAAUCUCUAAAAUUACAAUGCCAACUUUUCUUGUUUCCAACCCAACUCUUCUAUCUCCUCCUCCUUAGCCAUAUAAUUUUCUAAUGGCCACAGUAUAACUAGUAGAGCUCCUCCAAGAGCAACAAGAACCUUUGGUCAACCUCUCAAAUUGUGAAAUCCAUAUAUAUAUAUAUAUAUAUACACACAGAGAGCUUAAGGGGAGGGAUCCCCAUUUUUUGAAAAAAAUGGGGAUUAGGUGUGGGGCCCACUUUACAUCUAAUUUCAACGAUCCGAACCGUCUAUUUUGUUAGUCUUGAUUCAUAGAUCAUCCUUGCAAAAAUUCAAUUCAAUCCGAAAUCAUUUGCCUAUUUAAUUAUCAAUAUCAAAUUUCAUAUUUUCUUAUAUAUCAAAGUAUUCGUUCAUUUCCUUGAACCCAAUUAGAUGUCUUAAACAUUUCCAAUUUAGCUAAUAUUUUGCAAGGAUGAUCUAUGAAUCGAGACUAACAAAAUAAACGGUUCGGAUCGUUGAAAUUAGAUGUGAAAUGGGCCCCACACCUAAUCCCCAUUUUUUUCAAAAAACGGGGAUCCUUUCCCUUAAGCUCUCUGUGUGUAUAUAUAUAUGUUGUGAACAUUUCUAGUUUAAGUAUGAUUGUGUAAAUCCUAGAUUAGAUUUGAUUCUAGUUAUCCUUUCCUAUUACAACUUGUAUUACUUGGAGAAGAAGGAAUAUCUUCUCUCCCUUUACUACUAUAAAUAAAGGCACAAGGUAUGAGGGAUAACAACACACAUUCCUCUACAAUUCUACAAACACACAUCUCUAUUCCCUCUCUCCCUCUGCCGCCGACCCUAUUCCUUUGUCAGAUAAAAAUAGACCACAACACGUUAUCAGCACGCUCCUACCGCUGCGCUUAGGAAUCUGACGUUGGAGAAUUUUUUUUCUGCAUCAAACCAGUUCAUCCAUAUCAUCACGCAAUCAGGUUCUUUCAAAACAACGGCUUUUAACUCGAUAUUUUGCAAGCCUUGAUAGCAUGAACAUUCACCAUGAUGCAUGACCCAACUUUACGUUUAACGUAUUUUAGAUUCUACAUAAAUUGUGUGUGCCUCAUAACCAAAAUUGCUGCAAUUAUUGAAUUUGAUAUUUGCCAUGAAUUGAAUCUUACAUAUGUACAUGCAUUGAAACUAUUAUUUGCAUAUGCAUCAAAGUAAAUAUGUGAUUCAUUGAAUUAUAUAUGCAUAUAAUUAUAUUUGAAUUGAAAAAAAACCAUAUCGGGAAUUCUAGGGUUAAUUCAAACCCAUGCCACCAGGCCUGCAGCUUGCAUCGAUCCUCUGAGCCAAAGACCACGGUUGGAGCUUCUGCUCCUCGCCCAAACCCUUAACCCCGACACCCAGCAGGUGUCGCCACCAAUCCAUCAUCGUGCCUAGCCUCCUUAAACGACCUGCAGAUCGUCCAUGGUGUCUUAUGGCCGAAGAUUUUCUCGAAUCUCGUCGAAAUUUCUUUGAAAUCCCAAUUUGCUUCAUAGGGUUUUUGAUAGCACGACGAGAUUUCGUCAAUCUCUAUUCUCAUUUGGGUCACCCGUUGAACCCACAAGUUUUGCCGAACCCUAGAGCCCUGAGGACAGUUGCCUGAAGUGACGCCGGCAUCCCCUCGGUUCAAUUCCGACACCCAGCGCUGCUGGGGUGUCCUGGUUCCCUGCAACCCGAGCCUUAGUGGGCUCCUGUUCCUCGGCCCAUGUGCGCAAGAAGAAAAAAAAACACUUUAUUUUGGGCCAGCCUGAAGCGGCCCGCGAAAAAAAAAAGAAAAAAAAACAUUUUUUUGGGGCCAACCUGAAGCGGUCCGAGCGAAAAGAAAAAAAAGAAAAAAAGUUUUUUUUUCUGAGUUUGCUUAAUGCAGCCCACCCUGUGAGCUUGCAGCUCACCCCGAGACCCUCCAUUGCCCAAAAGUUUUUGGGCAUAUGUCACGGACCAAUUUUUUUAGCCACCCAUGGCUCCAUUUUUUUUUUGGGUCCCGAUUUUUAUUCGUCUAAAUUAUUUUAGACCUAAUGGGUUUUAUAUUUUUACCCACACUUACCAAAUAUUAAUUCAAUUAUAAUUAUACACCUAAAAGUUAUAUUUUUGCAUAUACUUGUUGCAUAUUUGUUUGCAUAUAUAUUUGUGUUUGCCUGCAUGAAUAUAUGAACCUGAAGUUCAUAAUUACUUUGAAACCUGAAGUUUCUUAUAAACAUGCCUUGUUUGAAAACAUGAAGUUUUCAUUUAAACAUAUCACCCAUGAAAACCCGAAGUUUUUCAUGCAAAAUUAACCAAUACAUGUCUAUUAGAACCUGUAUGUUCUACUCCUAUGUGAAUGGAUUGAUUUUUCUCCAUUACACUAACCAUAUCUUGUCCAUCUAUUUUGUGAUAGGAACAUGUCGAAUUUGAACAAACUCGACUUCACCGCUUUGGAGGUCUCUGGAAGGAACUACCUCAAGUGGGUUCAAUAUGUGAAGCUCCACCUCACUGCAAAGAACUUGCGUCCUACUAUUGAAGAAGCAACAGAUAAACCUGUUGGCGAAGCUGAAAAAGCCACUGCUAUAAUCUUCAUCCGAAAAUAUAUCCAUGACGCUUUGCAAAUUGAGUACUUUGUUGAGGAGGAUCCACGUGCAUUAUGGGUCGCUUUGGAUGAUCGUUUCGAUCACCAAAAGGACAUAUUCUUGCCUGAAGCAAGACACGACUGGUAGCACUUGCGCUUCCAAGACUUUAAGUCUGUGAAUGAAUAUAAUUAUGAAGUUUGUUGAAUCCGAUCACUUCUCAAGUUUUGCAAUGAAACUUUGACUGAAGAGGAUCUCCUGGAGAAGACCUACUCGACCUUCUCUAUUUAUAAUAUUGUCCUGCAACAACAAUAUAGAGCUCAGAAAUUCACCAAGUUUUCAGAUUUGAUCUCUGUUUUACUUCUUGCUGAAAAGCAGAACCAGCUGUUGAUGAAGAAUCAUCAAGCUCGACCUACUGGAGCUACUGCUGCGCCUGAAGCACAUUAUAGCACUAAUCAGCACCUAACACGCCAAAAGAGGCGUGGUAAGGGCAGCCAGAAGCCAUCCCAUAAAGGUCAACAGAGCCAAGGCCCAUCCAAAGGAGGAAACAAAGCCCAGAAGCGCCCAAACCUCGCUCCCAAGGCCCCGCAUUUCAAGAAUAAGGGCAAAGCACCCAAAAUCAUGGAUGACGAUAUGUGCUAUCGCUGUGGUUCAAAGGACCAUUGGUCCUGUGUUUGCCGAGCUCCCAAGAAGGUUGUAGAUGAAUAUCAUUCUCGUUGUAAGAAGUUUGAAUCAAACUCCAUGCAAAUGGACGAACCGGAGCCUAAAAAAAUGGAGGUUUCUAACUUUCAGGAGGAUACCACUCCUAUGGAAGAUUAGAAUCUUAGACAUAUACUUAUUUUGAGUUAAAAUAAGACAAUUGGGGCCGAAUUCCACCUAGUGGCCGAACCCCCCUUUGUUUUUGGUUGAUUUUGAACAAUUUUCCUUUAUGUUUUGGAUUAUUAGUUGGCGACUUGUUUUGGAUAUUAAGUUUUAAUCCUUGAAUAAAUGAAAUUAUUUUGAAUUGAUACUUGUUUUUAUAAACUUUUAUGCAUGUGACCGAUUCAAAUUAAUUUUUCAUUCUAGGUAUGACUAGUGGGAAAGUUAGUUGUCUGACAGAUAGUGCAACUACGCACACUGUUUUGCGUGAACGCAUUUAUUUCACUAACUUCAUACCUAAGAAUGCAUCUCUGACAACCCUUUCAGGCCCAUCCAACUUGAUAGAAGGAUACGGUAAGGCACGUAUAAUGUUGUCCAAUGGUACAAUCUUGACCAUUGCUGAGGCACUCUAUUCUCCACGUUCCGAAAGAACAUUACUUAGUUUCAAGGACAUUAGAGAUAACAAUUACCACGCUGAAACCCACGUAGAAAACGGAGUUGAAUUUUUAUGCAUAACUUCCUACGAAUAUGGCCAGAAGCGUAUUCUCGAGAAGAUGGAGCGUAUCCCGAAUGGUCUGUAUACUACGACCAUAUGCCCCAUAGAAUGCCACUAUGUGGUUGGCCCUACCACAGGGACCGCGCACGAAAUUACACUUUGGCAUGAUCGUUUGGGACAUCCUGGAUGAAUAGUGAUGCACCGUAUCCUCAAAUCUUCACACGAGCAUCCACUAACACGAAGCUUAGGUUCGAUCCAUGAAAUCACAUCUCAAACAUGUUCUAUGGGAAAGCUUAUUACUAAGCUUUCUUAUGACAAAAUUUGUUCGAAUCCUCCAAUUUUUCUACAACGGAUUCAAGGGGACAUUUGUGGACCGAUUCAACCUCCCUGCGGACCAUUUAGAUAUUUUAUGGUUUUGGUUGAUGCUUCCACACGUUGGUCACACGUGUGCUUAUUGUCCACAAGGAACGCUACAUUCUCCAAACUGUUGGCUCAGGUUAUCAAGCUCAGGGUUCACCACCCUGAUUAUCCGAUCAAAUCUAUUCGAUUGGAUAAUGCUGGAGAAUUCACAUCUAAAACUUUUGAUGAUUAUUGCAUGUCGGUUGAGGUUGAAGUUGAAUAUCCUGUACCCCAUGUUCACACCCAGAACGGCCUGGCAGAGGCUUUCAUUAAGCGCUUACAAAUGAUUGCUCGAUCGUUGGUCAUACAUACCAAGCUCCCGAUCGCUGCUUGGGGCCAUGCAAUAUUGCACGUAGCAAAGUUGGUCCGCCUGAGGCCUGUUGUGACACAACCAUUUAGUGCCCUUUAGUUGGUAAUCGGAUGCGAACCUGACAUAUCGCAUCCGCGCGUCUUUGGUUGUGUAGUAUAUGUGCCGAUCUCGCCGCCCUUACGUACAAAAAUAGGGCCUCAGCGAAGGAUGGGAAUCUAUGUCGGAUAUGAUUCUCCUUCGAUUAUUCGUUACUUAGAACCUUUGACAGACGAUAUGUUUACCGCUUGUUUCACGGAUUGUCACUUCUAUGAGACAGUUUUCCCGUCGUUAGGGGGAGAUAAACACAUCAACAUUCCUAAUGAAUGACGUGAAUUAUCGUGGACGACUCCCACUUUGUCUCAUUUAGAUCCUCACACCGCUCAGUACGAAGUUGAAAUGCAGUGCAUAUUAGAUCUCCAAAGCAUAGCUCAGAGCAUGCCAUAUGCUUUCAUCGAUCUAGCGCGCGUGACAAGAUCACAUAUUUCAGUUGCGAAUACACCUGCAAAGAUGGAUGUACCAAAUGUACGACAGACUGCCCUUCUGAAAGCCCGGGACGUAAAUUCUGGUGAUCCACGUACAUUAGCGGCUAGCCAAUCAUCUGCCCCUACACAAAAGCGUGGCAGACCCCUUGGUUCAAAGGAUUCACACCCUCGAAAGAGGAAAACCACGACAUAAGGUCCUGAAGAGCCUACCGUGAAUCCGACUAUCGCUUACUUAUUCUACCUAACUCAUGAGGAAAUUCUAGAUUACGGAAGCAUCCUUGAAGAGACGAAUCCUCCUCUCGAGAAUCAUGAGAUUUCGGUCUAUUAUGCUAGCUUAGAUGAUGUGUGGCGUAGAAAUGAGAUGAUUGUCGACGAUGCAUUAGCAUUUACAGUACCUACUGAGAUCAUGUUGAGCGAUAACAUUGAACCGCGUUCCGUUGAUGAAUGUCGACAUAGAGCUGAUUGGUCAAACUGGAAACAAGCAAUCCAAGUCGAACUCGAUUCACUUGCGAAACGUAAGGUGUUUGGACCUGUAGUUCCUACUUCUCUACAUGUGAAGCCCAUUGGCUACAAGUGGGUUUUCGUUCGGAAGCGUAAUGAGAAGACCGAGAUUAUGCGUUACAAAGCUCGUUUUGUAGCAUAAGGUUUCUCGCAACGCCCCAGGAUUGAUUAUGACGAAACUUACUCACCCGUUAUGGAUGUGAUUACUUUUCGCUACCUUAUCAGUUUUGUAGUUUUUGAAAAACUGGAUAUGCAGCUGAUGGACGUAGUAACCGCGUAUCUCUAUGGGGAUCUUGAUACGGAAAUUUAUAUGAAAGUUCCCGAAUGACUUACAUUGACUGGUUCAAAUAUUUCUAAACCCCGGAACACGUUCUCAAUUCGGCUGAGGCGUUCACUCUACGGUUUGAAACAAUCCGGAAGAAUGUGGUAUAACCAUCUGAGUGAGUAUUUGACUAGUCAGGGAUAUGUGAACAAAGAACUAUGCCCUUGUGUGUUCAUUAAGAAGUCACAUUCUGGAUUUGCGAUUGUUCCAAUUUAUGUCAAUGACAUGAAUCUUAUCGGAACUCCUGAAGAGCUCGCGAGAACUGCUUUGCACCUGAAGUUAGAAUUUGAGAUGAAAGAUCUAGGUAAGGCUCGAUAUUGUCUCGGUCUUAAGAUAGAGCAUUGUUCGGAUUGAAUCCAAGUACAUCAAUCGAACUACACCCAGAAGGUGUUGCGCCGUUUUAAUGAGGAUAAAGCGAAGUCUUCGAGUACUCCUAUGGUCGUUUGUACGCUAGAUGCAACGAGAUCCCUUCCGUCCGAAGGAGGAUGAUGAAGAGAUUUUGGAGCUUGAAGUUCCUUAUCUAAGUGCGAUAGGCGCUUUAUUGUACUUAGCUCAAUGCACUAGACCCGACAUCUCAUUUGCUGUUAAUCUUUUGGCAAGAUACAUCAAUGCAUCAACACACAGGCACUGGACUGGCGUGAAAGACAUCUUCUGUUACCUUAAGGGUACUACCGAUUUGGGCUUGUUCUAUCCCUACGAAUCCUCAAGUGAUGCCGCACCCUAUGCUCAUCAGGUUGAUUCUUGCCUUGUUGGUUAUGCCGACGCUGGAUACUUAUUUGAUCCGCACAAGGCGCGUUCUCAAACGGGUUAUGUCUUUACCAUUGGAGGAACCAAAAUCUCUUGGAGGUAAACUAAAUAGACCUUAGUUGCCACUUCAUCUAACCAUGCUGAAAUUCUCGCCUUACAUGAAGCAACUCGGGAAUGCUUUUGGUUGAGAGUAGUGGGCCAUAUUUGAAGCUCAUGCGAUCUUCAUCUUGUCGUUAAUGCCCCAAAGACGAUUUUUGAGGACAAUGCAGCUUGCAUCGAACAGCUCAAGAAGGGUUACAUCAAAGGAGACAACACCAAGCACAUUGCGCCGAAGUUUUUCUUUACACAUUAACAACAAGAGCAUUAGAAGAUUGAAGUCACGCAAAUCCGUUCACAAGACAAUAUGGCCGACCUCUUCACCAAAUCACUGCCGAAGGCGACGAUUCAAAAGCUUGUUCAUGGAAUUGGUAUGCGUAAACUUUAUGAGUUGUAACUUUGCUAUUUCUCUUUGGAAUUAUGUCAAACUCAAGGGGAGUAUCCUGUAGAUACUUGAUUGAUCUUAAUGUACUCUUUUUCCCUACGAUUAGGAGCAUUUUUCCCAAUGGGUUUUUGCUACCUAACUAGGUUUUAACGAGGCACCCACCUUGGGCUGGUCAUAUCCCUGAUGACGUCCUGUAGACGUUUCUUUUGACUUUGCAUUUCUCAUACAUUUUUCCUUAGACUAUGGAUUUUGUCCCUACUCGGGUUUUUGCCAUAGCCUUAGGGUUUUUAGUGAGACUUACUACUUAUGCAAGUUCCUACCUUAUUGAGAAUAAGCGUUGUUCCUUGGAAUCAGUGCCGACGAGUCGACUUCCUCAACUUCUGCAUGAUGCUGAAUCUACCUUGAGUAUUUACACACUCAAGGGGAAGGGUUGUGAACAUUCCUAGUUUAAGUAUGAUUGUGUAAAUCCUAGAUUAUAUUUGAUUCUAGUUAUCCUUUCCUAUUACAACUUGUAUUACUUGGAGAAGAGGGAAUAUCUUCUCUCCCUUUACUACUAUAAAUAAAGGCACAAGGUAGGAGGGAUAACAACACACAUUCCCCUACAAUUCUACAAACACACAUCUCUAUUCCCUUUCUCACUCUGCCGCCGGCCCUAUUCCUUUGUCAGAUAAAAAUAGACCACAACAAUAUAUAUAUUUUUAAUUAUAUGAUUUUAGAUUGAAUUAGAUAAUUUACUAAACUCAUAUUAUAUAUAUAUAUAUAUAUAUUUUUUUUUUUUUGAGGAAGAAAUGGAUGCAUUUUUUUCUUUCUUUCAAAUUUGUCAAAAUUUGAAUGUAGAAAUUAAUCAUGAAACAAACUUAUCCCUCUCAAUCCUAUUUUUUAUGGGGAUAAGAAAGAACAAGUAGUUUCUUUGAGAACCAAUCCAUCUUUCCCUUCAACUUCGGCAAAAUUUUAACCUUCACAUUAGUUAUCAAAUUCAAUCCAGUUACAGACACAAAAGAGACCUUAAUUCCUUGGAAUUGUAUGGGUUUGAUCAUUUGUGAUUAGCCAUUCAUUUCCCACGUUUAUGAAGAAAAAAAAAUGUUAGAAAUAAUGGAUCACAUGAUGCACGAGGAAACAUUAGGAUAUUGUUCAAUGACAACAUUCAUCUACCAGGGCCGGUCUACUUGAUUAAAGUAAAAGAGGCUUCCAACAUGUAAAAUAAUGAAGGGGGCAGUCAAACAUAAAUUAUAUAUAUAUUUUUACCACAAUUAAAAAAUAUAGGAGAAAUUAAGAGUCAGUUCGGGAUUACUGUGUUUUUUAAAAAACUGCUUCUGUUGUGCUUAAAGAAUAAUCAACUGUAAAAUAAAGUAGUUGAGCAUUUGAUAAACUAUAUUUCUAUAAGUGUUGUGACUAUGAAAAUUAGUGUAAAAGCAUUUGGUAAAUUUUAAUGUUGAAGUGGUAUAAUUUUGUACAAUAACAAAAAUAGACAUGGUAGGAUGUGGUGGCGACAACACCAGUGGUGGGGGCAUUAGUGGUAAUGGUGGUGUGUGGUGGUGAUGACUAGCAACAAUGGUGAGGGUAUCUUGGUGGUGCCAAUAGGGGUGUGGUGGUUAGGGUACAGAGGUAACAAUGGUGGUAGAGGCGGUGGUGGUUGUGGUGGCGGUAGCAACGGUUGUGGUUGUGCUAGCGGUGGCAAUAAUAACAACAACGGUGAAGGCAGUGGCAAUGGUGGUAGUUGUGGUGAGGUUAUGAUUGUGGCAAUGGCGGCAACGGCGGUGACAAUUGUUGUGGUGGUAGAAGGUUAGUGUUUGUAGUGGUUGGUGGCGGCGGUCACUUUGUUGUCCAAAUGAGAAAUGUGUGUUGAAUAAUAAAUAAUGUUAUUUUCUAAAAGAGAAAUUUUGGAUGCGGUUCCUAACUACCAAUGUUCAUUGACUAAAAUCUUGGUGGUUUUCAAAAUUUAGCCAAAGUCCCUGAUAUUAAUGUAAAUGUGUUUCUAUGUAGGUUGUAUAAAAUCAACAAUAAGUUACAAUAUAUCAACAAUAUUUAUGUUUGUUGAUGCAUAAAAUUGGAGGGUCUUGGAACAACAUAAAUCCAACCGUGAAUCUGCAAGAAAGUAAAUAACACAAGAUGUAUCGUAGUUCAUCUCAAUGUUUGGGCUACGUCCACACUGAUGUUGAUAUAUAGUGAAUAUACAAGAAGGUUAGAGGCAGUGUGCUCUCUAGCCUGUUUUCUCUUUUCCAAUGGCCUAAGCCUUGCCCUCAAUCUUGGCCUCAAACUUGGCCUCCCUCAAUGAGAAGAGUGAGGAGUCCUUUUAUAGAAUAAGGGUUCCUCACUUAUUACAUAUUUGCCCCUUCAUUCAUUACAUAAUUACAUUUGAGUCCCCCGAGUAUUUAUACAAGGUCUAAAUACGAAGGCCCUAAGUAUGGUACAAACAGUAGUCCCCCAAGUCUUCAGUCAAGAGAGUCUUUUGGCUGGAGACUUGAAAUUCUGUCCAUGUGUGGGCCGAAGUAACUAGAUGUCAUCUAGAACUGAUACUUGAUAUGAGGCGGUGCUCAAUGUGGAAUGAUGCUCAACUAGAAGUAGCAUAUAUUGCGAGGUUGCUCGGCUUGGGGCUUAUGUUGCCUUGGUUGGCUCGGCUUGUGGCGUUGAAGGUGAGGGAGUUCCUUUUAUAGAAUAAGGGCUCGCUCCUCAAUACAUAAAUGAUGGGCUAGAGUUGAUGCUCGCGGCGAGGCGGUUGCUCAGUAGGCGGCGAUACUCUCUGAUGAUGGUGAGGGAGUCUCUUUUAUAGAAUCAGGGCUCGCUCCUCAAUACAUAAGUGAUGAGUGCUCUCUAAUGAAAGUGAGGGAGUCCCUUUUAUAGAAUAAAGGCUCGCUCCUCAAUAUAUGAAUAAUGGGCUAAGUCCCCUAAGUAAUUUUCAUGAGGCUCAGUUGCGGAAGCCCAAUAUAUAGUACAUAGUGUAGUCCCCCAAGUCUUCUAUCAAUAAAGUUUGUUGGCUGGAAACUUGAAAUUCAGUCCAUGUAUGGGCCGAAAUGGCGGUUGUUCAGAGGCGGUAUUUGUAUACCCUGCACUGAAGCUUUGUAGGUGAAGCUUUGCAAGUGAAGCUUUGAAACUAGAGUUUUUGUAAAUGAAGCUUUUGAAGCUGGAGCUUUCGAAGCUGAAGCUUCUGUAAAUGAAACUUUCGAAGCUGAUUGACAUGAGUGAUGCUCAUGAAUGUUUAUGUUGAUUGACAUGAGUGAUGCUCAUGGAUGUUGACAUGAGUAAUGCUCAUGGAUGUUGACAUGGGUGAUGCUCAUGAAUGUUGACAUGAGUUAUGCUCAUGAAUGUUGACAUGAAUGAUGGUCAUGAAUGUUUAUGUAUGAUUGACAUGAGUGAUGCUCAUGUAUAAUUUUUGGAGUACUGGACGUACUUUUGAUCACCUAGUUAGUGAUAAUAGCGGCAGGCUGCCGAAUGAUUUUGGAGUACUAGACGUACUUUUGAUCACCUGGUUGGUGAUAAUAGCGGCAGGCUGCCGAAUAAUUUUGGAGUACUGGGCAUACUUUUGAUCACCUGGUUAGUGAUAAUAGCGGUAGGGUGCCGAAUAAAUUUGAAGCCAUAGGGCCUGGCUCUUUUGGGCAUAUAGGCCUUCACCCUCCACAUAACAUUCCAGCCCAUUAUUUUGGGCUUGCCUUUUUUUUAUUUUUUAUUUUUAUUUAUUAUUAUUACCCUCUGAUGGGGUUAUACAGAUGUCUCUGAAAGAUAAAUACAUCACAUCAUUCAAAAAUAAAUCCGACCCUUUGCUCAAUGGGUUAUGCCCAUAAUUCUCUUUUUUUGCAUGCCAUCACCACCGCAAUUAUGUCUGCUUCUUUUUAUUUUCUUUUUGCUUUCUGCUUUUACUUUCGUUUUUUCUGCUUUGCUUUUGCUUUCAGCUUAGUUGUUACUGGGACCUUGUAGUGGGAUGACAAACAGCUUGGCAUCAUUAGAUGUCUGAAUUCCUUUAUCAUCGUGGUCGCCGGACCACUUUCCAGCUGUGUGUUUAAAGGAACCUGUUUUACCUUUACUGCUUUUCCAGUCAGAUGUCACCCAACGGCUUCACCAUUGGUCAUCGUUGAAGCCCAUCCAUUCUCAGAUAAUCAUCCAAGAAAUUGUCGUGGAUGACAAUGGUCUCGUCGAGCUCGCCAAAGGCGGAGAAGAGGGAGCGAAGGGAGUCGGAGGUGGUGUUUUUGGCGCAACUGCAGCCUCAGGCUUCUCAGCAACUAUCUCAUUGCCUCUGAAGAUGGUCCAAAAAAUGGAUUGCGGUUUCUCACUCUUUUGGUCACUGGAAGAGCACAGCCUGUCCUCCAUCACCUGUGUUUUCCCCAAGCGAGAAUUGAGAUCCACUUCAUAAUCCCUGUGCUUCAAUGGCUUCCUUUGCACUGGCGAGCCUUUCGAUUUGGAUUUAUGCGGUCCUCCUUCCUCCUUCUGUCUUUCACGCUCACGAGCUCGGCUCCAAGAAUUCUUCUCGAUCGAAUUUUCUUCUUAAAGUAUUAUCUACUCCAGCAGCAGAGAGAAGUGGCCCAAGUUCUUGUUCUUGUGGUGUAACUUGAUUCUGAGCACUCAUAUUAUUGUAUUGCGGGUAAGCAUGUGGUGCAACUUGAUUCUGACCAUCCAUAUGAGAGAAAUUGUACUGGGGGUUAGCAGCCGACCCUGGAUUUGUAAAGUCUUUAUAUCCUCCCCCCAAAAUGUGCAUUCACGGCUUCACUGAGAUUUCCUUCGUAUUCCUCUAGCUUUCGAAUCGCGAGUGAGUGAGGUGCGCAGGUGAUGCUCAUGUACAUGUCAAUCAUGUCCUGAGUUGGACUCGCCAUUUCGAUUUCAGAAAGAAGUUGCAGAGAGGGAUAGAAAUUUCUGGAAUCCACUAGGAUCCGACGACAGGUUCUUUGAAUCGUUUAAACGGCUGGUUCUGGCGGAGAACGUGGAGGUCGCCGCUGGGGCAGAACUCGGUGAGCAGGAAAAACCAUUAAAGUACCUCAGUGCAGAUGCCUAUGAUUUCUUCGACAAAAUCUUCAUAUAUUUCUUUCUUAGAGAGCUUGUUCAGCAGAAGGGUCCUGAACUUUUCUGUCUCGGUAUCAGCGAAAUCAGGAAUUGGGUCGGGAAAUUUGUAUUCGCCCGCUGCUCUGCAUAUCUGGUGCUUUUCUGAGGAAAAAAAUGGCGAAGCAGAACCGGCGUCAGUUGGGGCUAUCAGCUCCAAUGGCAUCGGAGACGACGCGGUGGAUCUCGGCGCCAACGAACUAGGCCUGGGCAAGGCCUUCUUGGGUGAGUGGGAUUUUGUUGUCGGGGGUAAUGGUGUCGGUUUGAGAAAUUGGAGUGGAAGAAACCCUUAUGGUGCUGAAUGAGAGUUUUGAUUCUCUGUGGGUGGGAGCAGCACAUGAGGAAAUAGACAUAGAAGAAAACGAAGAAGAAGAAGAAGAGAGAGGGAGGCUAGGCACAUGGCGGUCGGAGAUUGACCGAAGAGGAAGGUGAUAUUCUAGGGGUCAAGUCAUGACAGCUGGAGGUAGGAAUUGAGAACGGGCAAGUCUAUGCGGUUGGCGCAGAACUGAGACCAACGAUAGGUCUGUGCAGUUGCAGAGAGAGAUUGAGUCAGAGAGGAGGCGGCACCAUGGGUUUUCUGGGAAAUUUUUGGGUUCUUGGGGUUUUGCAGAUUCAUGGCGAAGGUGAAAAAUUGAGAGAGAACCGACAUAGCUUCUCGUGUCAGUUCCCACAGACGGCGCCAAAUGUUGAUGCACAAAACCGGAGGGUCUUGGAACAACGUAAAUCCGACCGUGAAUCUGCAAGAAAGUAAAUAACACAAGAUGUAUCUUGGUUCACCCCAAUGUGUGGGCUACAUCCACACUGAUGUUGAUAUACGGUGAAUAUACAAGAAGGCUAAAGGCAGUAUGCUCUCUAGCCUGUUUUCUCUUUUCCUGUGGCCUAAGCCUUGCCCUCAAUCUUGGCCUCCCUCAAUGAGGAGAGUGAGGAGUCCUUUUAUAGAAUAAGAGUUCCUCACUUAUUACAUAUUUGCCCCUUCAUUCAUUACAUAAUUACAUUUGAAUCUUCCGAGUAUUUAUACAAGGUCUAAAUACGGAGACCCUAAGUAUGGUACAAACAAUGUUAAUUAAAAAUAGCUCAAUCAUAUAUUGUGAUACUUAAAUGCAUUUAAAAUAAACAAAAAAAAUUACAAAAUCUACCACUACAACUAGCACUCACUUCAACUAACACCCUAUUUCUCAUUGUAUUUUGAAAUAGGUCAAUAUGGAUUCAGACACUGCAUGUCUGAUUCUGUUUUUUUUUUCAUUUGGAUUCAGACAGUACAAUACAAUCUCCAGUUCUUGAUUAUAUUUUUUUUUAUGUUACUUUGACAUUUAGAUUCAGACACUGCAUUUCCUAUUUCUGUUUUUGACAUUUGGCUUCAGACACUAUAGUGAAGUGUCCAAUUCCUGGUUAUGUUUUUUACGUUAUUUUGACAUUUGGAUUCGGACACUGCAAUGUAGUGUUUGUUUCCUGGUUUUGUUUUGUUUUGUUUUGUUUUUUUUUGUUUUUUUUUUAAUUUUUACAUUUUGAUUCAGACACUGCAUUGUUUUCUAGUUCCAUUUUUUACAUUUUGAAUCAGACACUACAUUGGAGUGUCUGUUUCGUGGUUCUAUUUUUUUCAUCACUCACACGUUUCCUAUGCUUCACACCUUGUGCAAUUUUUACAUUUGAAUUCAAACGCUGCAAUGUAAUGUCAUUUUUCUGGUUCUGAAUUGAUGAUCGUAAAACUCUUGCAAACGCACCGGCAAUUCAGGUGGAUUUUGAUGGACACUACCCUAGAAAAGAAUCUCCACGACUAAAACCUUUGUAAGUUGUUGGAAUUUGUUACAUCCUUCUUCUGCUUGCUCCUAGUUUUAUUUUUUUUGCUGAGCAAAUCACGAUGGUUUGCUUAGACGUAAACAAGGGAAAUGUUUGGGCGCCAUUGCCCCGUGACGGCAAGUAAGUUUUACUCAACUUGGAAAGCAAAAUUACUAAUUACAGCGGAGAAAAGAGAGAAUGAAUAAAGUCAGAGAGGGGAGAACAUAAGAAAAGAAACGAAGUCAACAGAGAAGACUAUAAGGGUAUAAUAGUUAUUUUCUAACUAACUUAAACCCAUGUGACAUGCUUCAUUAAUUUAUGAAUAAUUAUUAUAAAUAUUUGAUUGAUUAUGUUCUAAAAGAAAAUUGGGCAAUGAUAUAUGGUUAAUUAGUAAAGAUUUUAUUAACCUUUAGCUAAAUAACCUAUUUGGGGAGUAGUCUUAAGAAAUUUUUAGAUUAUCUAGAUUGUUAACUUUUUUUUAGUUUGAGUAAUCUUAAGUAAGUUGAAGUUUGAUGACACCAACAAUUAUUUCUUAAGAAGCAAUCAACUAUUUAUUAAGAUGCAGUCAGUUACGGAGAAAUAACCAUGCCCAAACUUCAACUUACUUACAAUAUUACCGUGAAAUUUUAACUUAUUUAUGAUAUUGUUAUCAUCUCUAAACUUCAACUUAUUUAUGAUACCAUAACUACCUCUUGAUUUGUCAUUGUUAUUAAUAAAAGUUUGUUAAAUAUUUUUCAUUAGAAAAUUCAUGAAAACUCUCUUAAUUUAAUAAUUUUGAGAGAAAAAAGAGAAGGAAAAAAAUCAUGAUAAUACGAAACAUCAAAAGUAAUUCGACAUGAGAACAAGAAGAUGCGCAAUUUAAAAGGGGCAACCAACAUCAACUUUAAUAAGUAAAAAGAAAUAAAGAGACCACCAUGUCCAUGUGAUGCGACUCAUUCACGUGAAAUCGUGAAUGGUGAUUAACAAAGAACAUGCCUUUAUAUAUUAUGGGAUCCACUUUUGAUUGAACUUCAAUAAUUCAAACAGUUUAUGUUGUAAAUCUUGAUUUAUAGAUUAUUCUUACCAAAAUCUAAUUCAAUUCAAAAUCAUUUUUUUCAUUUAAUUGUCACGAUGAAAUUUCAUUGUUUCUUAAACCAUAUUGUUGGUCAAUCUCUUUGAACUUAAUUAAAUACCUCAAAUAUUUCCGAUUUGGCUAAUAUUUUGCAAUAUGAUCUAUGAGGUACAACUUGAAAAAUUAAUGGUUCAUAUCAUUGAAGUUUGAUGUCGUUUGAACCCACAACUAAUCCUUAUUUUAAAAUAAAAUGUGAUCCUUUCUCUUAAAGACUUUGUGUAUGUUAUGAAAAAAAUAACUUAAAUCUUCUCUUUUUUCACUAGAAGUUUGAUGGUGUUUGUGAGGACUUACGUGAAACAAAUUUAUCGUCACACAACUUUUCAAUUCAAUAAGGUAUUAACUAGUAUAUGCCCACACACACAAAAAGAGCGUGUGAAAUGUUUUAUUUUUGUUUUCAAAAUUGAAGGAGAGAGGAAUAGAGAGAGAAAGAAGGGAGUGGGGAGAGAAGGAGAUAAUUUUUUUAUUUAUUUAAAAAAUAAGGAAUAUUAAAAUCACCUGUAGAUGGUGCUUAAACAAAAAACAGCAAAAUUUUGUGUUGUGUAAUUAAGUUACUGCCUUUAAUUUUUUUGUUGUGAUAUAAGACUAAAUAGUCUUUUUAUCAUUUUGUAGUUGACAAAAAUAUUUUAUUAAUACAUAACUAGCAUAUGGGCACACACAAAGUGUGUGAGAAAACUUUUUAUUUUUGUUUUUGAAAUAUAAGGAGAGAGGAAGAUAGUGAUAGAGAAUGUGGGAAUUGGGAAGUUUUUUUAUUUUUUUUUAUUUUUUUUAAUUAGAUAUAUGAUAGGAUUACAUGUAGGUAAGGUUUUGAAAAAAAAAAGCAAAAUUUGAUUGUGUGAAAUUACAUUUCUACCCCAUAUUUCUUAUUCAUGUUUUGUUUAAUUACAAGGUUAAAUUAGUAAUUUCAUAGAAUUUUAAUUGACAAUUAAUGUUUUAUUAAUUAGUAGAGAUUUAGAUAAAGAUAAGUUUUUUUUAUUUUUUUAUCUUUUCAUAUAACAAGACAUUAUUAGAACGAAGCACUACGAUAAUAAUAAAAAGUGAAUUUCUUUUAUAUAAAUAGUUCUCGUGUGCUCGUGGCACAUGCGUUACGGCUCGUGGCAUGAUGUUGUGGACCAAAACAAUAAAACGACUUGAGCAACAGACAACACGCAAGCCAAGGGCUCAACUGUUUACUCCAAAUGGGGAUCCUUCAAUUAUUUGGUGACCCAGAUCCCUGUUUUUGCGGUCAAUUGGCAUUAUUUAUGUGCAGACAAAUUGCUCUACCAUUUGGCUGGCUGGAGCCUAACAUAUUAAUGGAGAUAAUGAUAUGGCUGGUAAUUCACACUCAAACAAAUUAUGACAAUGUCAAUUAACAUCAUGUUGUUGUUUUAUUUGUUGUCUUUUUAUUUGCUAAUAUAUUGUGAAGCUCCACUUGAAUAAAUGGUCGUCACAGUGAUAUGGUAGUUGAAAGAUAAUUUUUGUUACAAAAAAAUCGAAUAUAAAUCUAGGGGUGGGCACGGUGCGGUUCGGUGCGGUUCCACCCCUAAAAUGGAACCGGAACCGAAAAAUAUCAACGGUUCGGUUCGGUGCGGUUCCGUUUAAAUUUAUUACUAGAACCGUACGGUUCGGUUUACACCGGUUCCGAUUCGGUUCUUGCCGGUUUACGGUUCCAAAUACUAAAUUAUUUGAACACCACAUCAUCAUGCAUUCAAAUACAUCUUUGAAAAUUGAUUAUAUAAAGUUGCAUACAACACAUCUUUUUUAAUGCAAAUGUCUUUGGUAGUGGACCAAGUCAAUAAAAAGAGACAAUACAUUGGCUGCCAAUGUAUUGUUUGAACUAAGAAGGGCAUUUUUUUAAUUGUUUUUCUAAAGUUGACAGACAAUUGUGGAUGUCUAAGUAAAAAAUCACUAUCCAGCAAUUGGCAAAUGAAGAAAAGUGUGCCAUGCUAUUGUAUGAAUUGAGUGAUAGGCCCUGCAGGUAUAGAAAAUAAGUAUGAGUCCAAAUUAACAAACAUCUUGAAUGUGAGAACUGUUUUUGGAAGACUAAUAACAUUUUAUGACACUUAGAAGCGUUUCUGAUUAAAUUUGGCAGAAAACUUUAAAAUACAUUUGACUCAUAGAAGUACUUUAUAAAAAAUAGGUACUUAUUCAAGAAACACUUCCAAGUAAUUAUAAAAGUUGCAUACAACACAUCAUCAUGCAUUCAAAUACAUCUUCAAAAACUGAUUAUAUAAAGUUGCAUACAACACAUCUUUUUUAAUGCAAAUGUCUUUGGUAGUGGACCAAGUCAAUAAAAAGAGACAACUAAUAGAAACAUGCAUUGGUCAGUUAGUCAACAAACAAAAAAUGAAGAACUCAAGUAGCACUAGUCUCCUAAAAUUGGUCUCCUGGUAUUGGCAUGUGUGUAUAUAUAUAAUUAAAUUAUUUAUUAUUAAUAAAACGGUUCGGUUCGGUUCCGGCCGGUUCUUGGUCAUUCGAAACCGGAACCGGAACCGGUUUGAACGGUCCGGUUCGGUUUUUGGCUCAAAGUUGACUUUUCCGGUCAACACGGUUUUUUUUCAUACGGUUCGAUGCGGUUUUGCGGUUUGACGGUUUUUAUGCCCACCCCUAUAUAAAUCUUUGUGGUGAAAUAUGUUAGAAUUUAAAUCCAAGAAACAGAUGCUAACGGCUAAAGAGAAACACGAGAAAAAAGAAUUCAUCUCUUUGUACAUCUUUACUAUAUUUUUGCUCUGAAAUUUGAAGUUUCAUUUAUGAAAAAAAACAGAAAAACAAAUUCGAUGAUCCAAAGUCUCUCAAUUUCACUUAGCAACCAAAUUUGGUGUAAAUUAUUGUACUAUAAUACUUUUUGUUGCAGCUGUGGAUUUUCACGUGCCAUUUGAUUAGAAUCUUUAAAAAAAUCUGUGCCCAUGGCCACUUGAUAUAACGAUAGUAGCUACCACGUUGUUGUAAUUGCUUUUAGAAAUCAAAUAUCAUAAACUGUACUAAUUGCGACUCCAAAGUUGUUGCUUGUUCUACAUCGAAAAGAAAAUUUUGAAUGAGUGAUUGAAAUAGUGUUGGAUAUCUUUGGUUGUCAAUUGAUUUUAGGUCGGAUGUUUAUUUUUUAAUAUUUUUAUACACAUUAUUUGGGAAAGAAGUACCUGAUAAAUGUUUUAACCACUUGAGUUACAAACUCUUUUAUCUCUAUUGCUAAUGAAAUACUUUCAGUCACGUAGAUAAAUGCUAGGUAAACCAUAUUUUAGUAGACUACAUUGUACAAUAUUUCUAUUAGAGGCGGAACUGGUACACCCCAAAUUACUUCUCCCACACAUUUUUAAAAUUUUAAUAUUUAUUUAUCAAGUGCUAGUGGUGUGUAGAAAAUAUUAAAAAAUUAAAAAGUUGUGGGAGAAGUAAUUUGGGGUGUGUGAAUAUAAUCUCUCUUUUUCUAUCACAUUAGUAGAGCCUACUAGUACAAGUAGUGUCCACCUAUUUUGAGAACAACUUAUAUGAUACAAGUUCAUAGUCCCUCAAUAUUAAAAAAAAAAAAAAAAAAAAAAAAAAAAAACCUCACUCCCACACGUUUUUUUUUCUCUCUCUCUCACUCUCCCUCUCUCCUUCUCAUUUUCUAAAAAGCAAAUGCUAGUAUUAAUUAAAGCAAACUUGAAUCAUUAUUAAAGAUGAAAUGAACGGCUAAGAAGCAACAUGAGGUGAUCUAUGGUUUAAGAAAAAUAAAAAGAAAAAUUAAUAAAAAAAAGUUUGAAAACGUUAUGUUUUAACGAUAAUGACAAAAUAAAGGGUAAAGUGAAUAAUAUCAUGAUUGAUUUUUUAGUGUAAAAAUAUGACUUUCCGUUAAAGUAAACAAUACCGGGAGCUUUUCGUUAAAGUUCACAAAAUAAAAAAACACUGUUGUGUCAAGUGACGUUUCUUCUUGCAUGACCACUCCUUUGAGCGGCAUUUCCUCUUCUUUCUUUUUUUGGCUUCAGCGAAACUUUCACUCUCCUUAUAAGUUCUUUCUUAUAGCCUUACUCUAUUUUUGAAUUCCUCUUCAAAUAUGUUAAUCCACAUAAAUUUAAAACAAUUCGGCUGGACUGAAUGUUAACUGCUACAUAAGAAUUAACAUCUCUUUUGAAAAUACGUUUUCGUUUUUAUUUUGUUUUUCUUUCACAUAUUAAAGGAAAAUUUGAAUCUGUCCAGUACAUAACAAAUGAGUUUGGCGUUUUAGUAGUGAAUGAUUGACGAGGUAAACGAGUCAAUUGUCAAGCAAAUAUUUGGGAAAAGGUUGAGUUUCGCCACUUCAUCAUCGAAAGCUCAGUCCAACAAUCAAAUACUUGGGAAGAGGUCCCGACUCCGCUAAUUACAAUCCUAAUUGUGUUUUGCUUUCUUUCCUUGUCGUAUCAACAACAACGACUAACACAAAUAUUAUUAUUUUAUUCUCAUAUAUCUACACAUUAUAUUUUAUUUCUCAGACUGGUAAAUUUUGCAGGUUCAUGGAUCUUGAUUCCAUCUCAUUAUUAAUAAUACUAUUUUGUUCGCAUUUUCCAUGCUGGUUAUCCAAUGCCUUCAAUGAUUAUGAUUUUUUGCAAGGACACGAAUUUUUAUAGUCUAGAUGAACGGAAAGGGAUCAUUUUCGGAUUCACUUUCUGGAGAUCUUAGAGAUCUUUACAUUUUAACCGUUCAUUAUAUAUCGUGCAAUUAGUUUUCGUCAGAUACUAUUUGUGUUUAAUUUUAAAUAAAAAAAUCAAAUAAUUUCUGACCGCACGAUACACGAUGAAUGGUUAAGAUGUGAGAAUCCUAGAGAUCCCCCACAAGAUGGAUCCAAAUGGGAUCCGAUUCUUAGAUAACAAUGUUCGUGUCAUAUAUAGUAAUAUUUUAACUAAUUGUGUUGUGUCAAACUCAUUAUAUUAACAAGUUCUUAACACUUGAUUUGAUAAUGGCCCGAUUCGUCAAUGAAUUGUGUAGUUUCGUUAUCGGGUUAACAAGUGUCGUGCAUAAUGUCGAGAUCUGACAAAACGAUAUUCUAACAGUUUCUGUAACGGCACCAGUUAAUGUGUUACACGAUUACAAUCUAACUUGUGAUAAAAGAAUUGAUUCAAAAUCUACUAUUUUUCGUAUUAAAUUAACCGGUUAUGCAAAAACUGGUUAAGCUUACCGUCAUGUGGCUUCCCGUAACAAUGAACUUGCAGCAUAUAUGUCGGUCUCCGGUUGACGCAUGCAAUGAUGUCAAUCGCAAAGCAAGUAGCCAACUGCGACUCAAAACAUGAUUAGCAAUCGAUGAUAUUAAUUCACUUUUCAUCUUAAAUAUUAAUACUGACGAGUACAAAAACCAAAAGUUCUACAUCUCCUCCUCCUCCUGCUCCUCAGUCAGCUUCUGACAGAAUCAACACAGAUUCAGAGAGCCAUUUUAAGGGUUUAGGGUUCGAAGCGAUUGAUCGUUCGAACCAUGGCUGAGGAGUGCAGAGAGACGCUGCUGAAGAAGGUUUACUAUGACGAGUGUCCCGGUUGUGUAAUGGAACAGCGUAAAGAGCUGCAGAGAGGUCUUCCUAUUAAAAUGCUUGUUUCUGUAUGGCUUAUUGUUCUUUCAGCUGGUAAGAAAAGCACUUCAGUUUUUUCUUUUUGAUUUUCUUUAUCGUUUUUCUUGAACCGAAUUCGAAAAGGGAUUUCAAGUUCAUCCUCAUUGUGCUGCACUACAGUCUACAGUUCAAUUUUCCUGUGAAUGAUGUGACGUGUAUGUAUGAAUAUAUAACUCUGCAAUUGAUGUUGAGACUAAAAACUUGGAACGGAAAUUCAGAAAUAUGAUGUUAGAGGUUUAAGCUGUUAUAAGUGCUUUUAGAAUAAGCUACUAUACCAGGAGAUUAUGAAAUUAAAGAAAGACUUGUUGCUGCGUGUAAAUUGGGUUGCUGAUCCUAUAGUUUGAUUGCUUUGUUACACUCCAAAUGAUUAAACGUUUUUGUUAAGUAAUGUUUAUAUCCGCACCGUCUUCAUACUUUUUAUUUAUAAAUGUUUAAACCCUGAUCUAUUGUUUGGUGAUCGUUUUGCAGCGCUGCCAAUAUCAUCUCUCUUUCCAUUCCUUUAUUUUAUGGUGCGUGCAUAAUUAUUAAUUCUGUUGUUUCUUGUAAUUUUUAAAUUUUUGCAACCUUUAAAACCCGUUGAAGUCUACUCUUUUAUCUCAAAAUUCUAAAUUAUUGCUUGCAGAUUAGGGAUUUCCAUAUUGCUAAAAGAGAGGAAGACAUUGGCUACUAUGCUGGAUAUGUAGGUGAGUUGAUGAUUGUCACUACUUACCUUUCAUUUCUUUCACCAUUUCGUUCCUUAACAAGUGUCUUUACGAACUUUCUUACAUUGUGAAGGGUCUUCAUAUAUGCUUGGCAGAGUUCUGACGUCAAUUCUUUGGGGAAUGGUGGCUGAUCGCUAUGGUCGGAAGCCUGUCAUAAUUAUAGGGACUGUUGCAGUGUUAGUAACUUCUGUUCUGCAAUUGGGUUUCACUUUGAUAAUUUGGCAAUAAGCACUGGCUCUUUUCUUCAACACUCUUCUCUGCGUAUUUACAAAUUAUUUUUUACUUUUUACUGGCUCAGGGUUAUUUUCAACACUCUAUUUGGACUCAGUGUAAACUUUUGGAUGGCUAUUUCUACACGAUUUCUUCUUGGAAGUUUGAAUGGUUUACUUGGGCCGAUUAAGGUACUAUAUUGUGUCAUAUAUUAAUGAUGUCAUUGCAAGUCUACAACCACGUAUGUAAUGUCUGGGUUACUUAGAAUAUAUGAUUUAACUGCAUGACCAGGCAUACGCAAGUGAAGCCUUCCGAGAAGAACACCAAGCUUUAGGCAUGUCAACAGUAAGCCACAUUGACCUCUCGAUUCUGCAAGUUCUUAUAAUAAAUAUUCUACAUCAUCAACAUUGAGAGUUAUCAUCUUUUUUCAGGUUAGUGUAGCCUGGGGUAUUGGAUUGAUCAUUGGCCCAGCCUUGGGAGGUUUCUUGGCCCAGGUAAUUCUACUUAUAGUACUUUCAUGCUAGGAACCACACUUCAGAAAAUCCCUCAGAUGUGCGUGUAUUUGUCGUGCUAAUUGUUUAGUAAGACCAUUCAAUGGUACUUUUUGUGACUCUGUACAUGUUAAAUGAUGGAAGAGAUGUUUCGUUCAUGUGUCUUUACCUAGACAAUUUAAUUUCUUUAAGCCUCUAAAAGGAACGAUAACAGCAGAUUGUGUUUUGGUAGAUCCCAUUCCAAAUAUGAUACUUCGGACAAGUCAGAGAAUGUUUCAACGUAUGUUCUUUUGUGGGGUUUUCAAGUCUCAAGAACUGGAUAUGUUUAAGACUAAAUGAUCAACCGUCAUCAUAGCACUAGAGCAACCUCACAUGAAUAGUUAUACAACCAUUUUUUCACAUACAUGAAUAAUCUACAUGGUUACGAAAGCUGUGCAACUUGCUGCAGUGAAAAUCGUGGGGAUCAGAUCAUUUAAGCGCACAUGGUAUCACUAACACUUGGGAAUUAAUUUUAAGGCUUAAAGCAAGCCUGAGGUAUCACAGUGGUUCUGAAUUAGUACUGGGGUUAGAGUGCAAGAAGGUUGGUUUUCGAAGGAAUAGGCUAAAUAGAGCAAAUAAUGGCUCACUGUCGGGUACACUUAGUGAAAAUCAUGGGUUAGCAGAUGAUUUUAGUAAUUUUUAAGGCUGUUUCCUGCGAGUUUCAGGUUUUGGGAUACCGAAAUGGUCUUAUCCUGCGCCAGCAUGUCUAUAAUAUGAUGACUGUUCCGAGCUAUUGGACACUAAAGAAGAAUUUAUUCUGUUUCUUUGUUAUGUUUUCCUGGUUGAUCUCUCUCUCUCUCUCUCUCUCUCUCUCUCUCUCUCUCUCUCGUUCGCUUGGCGUUUUGUCUUUUAGAUUAUAAAUUGGAUGUUCCUAACAAAUUUUAUGCAGCCAGCAGACAAAUAUCCAAGUAUAUUUUCCCAAAGCUCUAUAUUUGGGAGGUAAGUUUGGCUACUUAUUUAAGUAUACUGCAGUGGGAUUGUCAAGUUUCAGCAGUUUUCUUAUUAUUUAUUUGUUCCACAAUGAUGUUCCAAAACGUGAAAUUCUUCUGCAGGUUUCCGUACUUCUUGCCUUGCCUAUGUAUAUCGGUUUUUGCAUUUGGAGUAACCAUUGCUUCUUUCUGGCUUCCGGUACAUAUCUUAGUAUAUAUUCCUUUAUGUUGAUGAAUCUCUUUUACUUUUUCUCAUUGUUGUUUUUGGCCUCCUAUAUUUUUUAGCUUAUCACAGACAUAACUUGCUUUUUGGACCCAAAACAAAAAAAACGUAACUUGCUUAUUUUCUCAUUUUUGUUUUUGUACUUGUUAGCCUAAAUUUCUCAUCACGUAGCCUCCAUGAAAUCUUGAAUGCAGGCCUCCCUUACUGUCCUGCAUUACAUAUAGACGCAGGUCCUAAAUGAAAAGUACCUGUUCAUACCAAGUUCCGUUCUUAUAUUAUCUAAUCAUAUACUCCAUGUGUUCGACACUCAUUCAUCCUAGCAUGCCUCAACUUAUUUUUACGUGAAUGAGAAGAUUUCAGACAUCUUGUCCUUUAUAUUUCGUACUUGCUUUUCGUACCCUUUCACUCUUUAUUUGAAUUUAACUUGAGGAUCCCCCAAGAAAAGAGAAACUAGUAAUGCUUGGUUCAUUUUUAGCACACGUUUACAUUAAGUACUCUUUGAAACUAUACGUAUUAACAGAAAACUUCCGUAUCUUGAUGGUUGCAGGAAACUUUACACAAGCACAACGGAAAAGCUAGAUUAGACGAUGAUUCUUAUGAAGCUUUGGAAGCUGCCAAUGGUGGGUCUGAUGCAAAUGAAAAGCAAAAAACUGAAGAACAAACACCUAAAGAAAACCUCUUCAAGAAUUGGCCCUUAAUGUCUUCAAUCAUUGUUUACUGUGUUUUCUCACUUCAUGACAUGGCUUAUACAGAGGUAACUUCUCUUAACACAGUGUGGUAUAAUUUGCAAAAUCUUCCCUUUUCCUUUUGCUCUCUUUUACUGGAAGUUAUGUACUGUGUGUUUCUUAUGAUUCGUUCAAAACAGAUAUUCUCAUUAUGGGCUGUGAGUCCUCGAAAGUUAGGGGGUUUGAGCUUUACAACCGAGGACGUUGGUGAAGUUCUUGCAAUUUCUGGUAAACACAUUAUGAUCUGCAUAACAUACCUGGGAUAUUUUCUUUAGGGUGGUGCUAUCCAUGCACCCAUUUUUACCUCUCACACACCUCUCUUAAUUUUUGGCUAUUGGAUCGUGUGAAUGGAAGAAAAUCAACGGACAAAAAUGAACAAGAGUGUGUGUGAAGCAAAAUGGGGUGUGUGAAUAGCACUACCCUUGCUUUAUAUGCAGUCUCUGUCUGUUUCGAUUUAUACUACAUAUGCAGAAUAAGGGAUGAUAACUUAAUCAACUUGUAGGUUUUGGUCUUUUUGUCUUCCAAAUUACUCUAUAUCCAUAUUUUGAAAGGCUGCUUGGUCCUGUUAUGAUUGCUCGUGUUGGAGGGGUAAGUUUUCCGCUCCUUCUCCCUGUGCAUUAUAGUACCUUCUGCAUUUUAGUUCUUGCAAAUAAUUGUCCUUUGACCUAAUUCCUGGUGAACGAUAUUAAUUUUAAUCUUCGUUAAUCUUUUCACUCACGAUUCGUGUGCAGAUUAUAUCCAUACCUCUGUUGUCAAGUUACCCGUUUAUAGCAAUGUUGUCCGGGCUCGCCCUUUCCGUGCUGUUAAACUGUGCAUCUGUGGUGAAGAAUGUCUUAUCUGUAUGUGCAUCCAUGACUCUAAAGCUCAUUUUAACUAACACACUGUAUGCACCAUUGCAUUACUGACGUAUCAUUAAUUAUGAGAAGCUGAUAUGAAAUGUUUUACAAGAAACAUAAUCAUAAUACAAGCUACGAAAACAGAACUCUACUUUUAUCUACUCCAUCGAAAUUGAUAGUUUGUCAAUUUUUAUUUCCUUUUCUUUCGAGGGAAUACUCUCUGGUACCGACGAAAGAUAUCGAGACGCUUCUCAAUUGCUUACCAUGCAUUAUCUUCUCUUACACGUUUUGUGCUCUAACUUCUAAAUUUUUUGUGCACAAUUAGAUCACGAUUGUAACUGGCCUGUUCAUCCUUCAAAACAGAGCUGUGGUAAUUUUAUUCUCGAAUUAACUGGUUUAAAAUUUUCCUCUUCUCUGAGUCAUGAGAUUAUUGAUCUUCAAAAAAGAAUGUGUCAUAACUUAACUGUGAUUGAACAACAGGACCAAAAACAAAGAGGCGCAGCGAAUGGAAUUGCGAUGACGGCAAUGUCUCUGUUCAAGGCAAUUGGUCCAGCAGCUGGUGGUGCAUUGUAAGUUUAGCUUUCCUUUACUUAUAGGUGAUGCUUGAAUCCAUAUAUUUGUUCCAGUAAGUACGCCAACUGGGAGCUGAAGUGAUUUUUGUUAUACGAUGUUUCUUGUUGAUACUGUUCAAUUGCAUAAGUUUGUGUAUAUCUUUUACGUACGGUUUUUUCUGCAUAAGGUCCGUAGAUUGCUAGUAGUAUUGCACAUUGUAAAUCGGAGAAGGCGAGUUUACAAGCCUUACAAUUAGUGUACUUUUUUCGGUGCACUUGUGUUGCAUGAUCUCAUAGUAAAGAAUUCAAAAUUCUUCCUUUCCUAUAUUAAUCAUGGUUUCGUCUCAACAGGUUUUCUUGGGCACAAAAACGCCGGGAUGCUGCUAUCCUACCUGGUAUCAUACUUAACCAACUUUUCAUCCUGGAUUUACUGACAGCUCGCACGGUUUAGGAACAUAACCGUUUCAAUUUUCGAUUGCAGGAAGCCAGAUGAUCUUCUUCAUCUUGAAUGUGGUUGAGGCAAUCGCCGUUCUGAUGACAUUUAAGCCAUUUCUUACUCUACAUGAAUAGAUCGAGAUCAAUGUAAACAGAAAUGGAAUUUCAUGCCGAACCUAAGGAAAUAAGGAAACUCUCUCAACAUAAUUACGGGCAGAUCAUUGUAUGCAAUAUGGUUGUUCACACUCUGUUGCAAGGAUAUAGCUUAUUAGGAAUAUUAGAUAUGAUCUUCAUUAUUGUAAGGGUAAAGAUUCUUGGCAUUGGUGUUAUAUGUGAUCGAAUAAUCCUUUUCGGAAAAAUUAUAUAUAGCGAUUUUGCAAUUCAGUGAGAUAUUAAGGUUGCAAUCGAGCGAUUUUGAGUGUAUUCGGCUUGCUCAAAGUCUUAUCAAUUUCGAGAGUGUACUUACAUAUUUUGGCCUUCUGUUGAGAUUGAAGAUUAAAACGAUCAACAUUCUUAUGGUAUGCAAAAAAAGACUUGAAUUGCCACACAAGGAACCAUUCCUGCACAUGUAAACAGAAAGCAAUCAAGAAGACCCGAAUCGGCGUGGCACUUUAUAUGACUAAAUUCCCCAACAUUGUAUUUGGUUCUUGUUUUGAACAGAAAUCCGAAAACAGCUCGUCGUUUUGGUUUCGGGGUCUGAAAUGUCCUGGCAAUUGUGUAGGAUGUAUCCGGCACCAAACCUGGAGAAUAAAAUGAAAGAGUGGAUGCGUGAGUGUAUGAAUCAGAAGAGCGAGGUUUGAGGGAAGAGAGAAGUAGAGGGAAAGUUGGAAAACUUGGAAAUAGGAUAAAAUCGUGAAAGCUAGAAAGGAAUUGUUUUUAAAAUGAAUGAAAACGUCUUUAGAGAAAAAAAAUUGGAUUCGAAAAGCCUUUGAAGUGCUUCUUACCAGAAGUACCAAUCGUAUGCUUCUUGCAGGAAGCAUUUCAAAUACUUUUUCAGGAUUCAGUUGCAUUUUAACUGGUUUCAAAAACAUUUUCACAAAAAAUGUGUUCAUCCAUUUUAAAAUGCACUUCCAAACGAGUUCAUGGACUCUCGGCGAUAAAAAAUGUGUAAUCUUCUAAUCCCUUUUGAGUGUUGGACUGAAACUACAACGAUUAUAUAAACAAGUCUUGUCCAGAACCAGUUUCAAAGUAAUGUACUAAAUACUAAGAAAUGAAUGGAAUGUUUAAUUAAUUAACAACUUAAUAUAGGGAGGGACACAGAGCUACCAACAAAAACUACUGAGAUUGUCAUCGUCCAUGAAUUUCUUAUCGAACGUUCACGAUGGUAUGAACAACUUUAUACGCAAACUUUACGAUAACUGUUCGAAGAUGCAAAAUGGUUGUUGCCACCAACAUCGGUUAGUUCCACAUUGCUCUGGAAAGUUCAAGAGUUCUACUUGCAACCUGAGAAUCCAAUCUAGGUUGAUUUGAGAUGAUUUCCUCUUAAUAUGAGCAAUAAGGUUGAAAAUUGUUUGGACUUGCCAAUCUUGGCAACAAGUCGAGUAUGAAUUUUAAACAUCUUAAAUUCGUUCGUUCCCAUGCAUCUGUAAACGGACAAAAAAAUUUAACGAGAAUUUGACAAAUAUUAAAAUAUUUCAGGUAUAUAUAAUAAGAUUACAGUUCGGUUAUCGCCCCUAUUCGUGCUCGAAUCCGCUUUGUUUUCAUUCUAUGAUAUAGAUUUUAUAUUUUACUUUCAUUUUUAAGAUGUCAUUAGAUAAUAAUAUAUUAUAGUGAAUUAUUUAAGGCGUUCAAGUGCGACUCACUUAGUAGAAUAAGGCUUUAUUGUUGUUGUAUAAAAGGCUAUCAAGUUUUUUAUGAUAUAAAUUUUUUAAAUAUUGUUUACUACUUACUGUCAUAACUCUUUUUUGCUCAUCUUUGUGUUCUCUCUCUUAGUAAGAAAGUUUAAAACAUCCGUCUUUGAUUUGCUCCUUAUCAUUCAUAAAUUUAAUGUCAGCUUGUUUAAAAAAAAUGUAGAUGAGGUGAUCACGUUUUUUUACAAUAUGAAAUUUCUUUUUGUUUACUGCAUAUCAUUGCUCUUUUUUUAUUUUUUUAUUCCAAGUUUGUGAUGUCAUAUAUUUAAUACCGAGUUUUUCAAUUCUUAUUUGUUCGCUGCACCCUAAGAAGACAUGAUUCCAAGCGGAUACUUGGGAUGUCCCCACCCUUCGAGGCCUGUCACAAAAUUGUUUCAAGCACCUACAAAAUCAAAAGCGCCCAUUGUUUCAAAGAAAGGUGGAAAUAUAUUUCAUUUGAUGGACAUAGACAAUUUGAAAGUUAAGCAGUGGUAAAUCUAAGGAUUCCUCCUUCUUCGGAACCCAUAAUAUGUGAAAGCGUCGACGUAAUUUUAGGGUGCGGCUAAAAGGGACGGCAAGGAGUAUAUAUACUACUUAGGUCUCUCUUAUAUGCAAUGCAAAAGUUGUUAAGUUUUAUCCCCUCAGUGAAAAGAGAGAAAAGCCCUAAAAUAAAAACACAUUGUGUGUCGUCCAUCCUACAUUGAUCUACAUGAGAGAUAUUGCUAACGCCUCAAAUCAAUCAUUCCAUUAUCCAUUGCUAGUUUUAUCAGUGUGGAUACGCCUAGAGGCUCAACACUUGGGGAGCAUUGCGUGAUCAAUCAUGAAGAUGAAGAUUGCAAGCAUGGGGAUGAUCCAAUCAAGCAGCAUGCACGUGGCCCUUCUUUAUUUGUUGUUUUAUCAAAUACAACCAACCAAAUAUAUAAUUGGGAUAACAUAUUGUAUGUUAUUUAUUUUUUUGCUAUGUAUUUAAUUAUUCAAAUUAAAUUAAUCUCAAUAAUAUGCCUGGAAACCUAACACUACCUCUAUUAGAGAAUAUGAUACACCUAUCAAAAUAUAGUGUACUUAGCGUUUUUUGUCACAUUAGUAGAGCCUAGUGCCCACCUUUUUUGUUAUAAAGUAUAGCCUACCAAUACAAGUAGUGCCCACAUUUUUUUAUAACAACUUACAUGACACGAGUACAGCUUCACGAGAAGUCUCAUGCCAGUAAAAUAAGAACGCGUUUUUGUUUCAUUCGUGGGCGACACUAUACACUCGUGCUAGUAAAUCAUUUUCUUAUAGAUAUACCACGUUUCCUAAAAUAUGGUAUAUCUAGGACUUUUCAUGUCACUUUAGGGUUUUUUUUUUUCCUUUCUCAAUCACAUAUUAGAGAAAAACUUGAAUUUGUCCAUUACAUAGUGAGUGAGUUUGGCGUUUAUUAGUAAAUGAUUGACCUAAUUGUAAAGCAAAUAUAUGGGAAUUGCUAUUGAAACUCCAAAAAUCUCAUUUUGCACCCCAAACUUUUUAUAAUUAGAAAAAAAAAUACACUUAUAAGGAAUAUAAAAUAAGAUUUUUGAAUUGUUGGGACUCUUCACAUUUGGAGCCCGGUGUAAUUCACUUUUCGGUCCCCCUCCCCCAAAGCUGACCAUGUUUUUUUGUAAAUGUACUACAAAAGUUGUUUUCAUGUAGAAAAGAAAAAUACUUAGGUACUCACUUUUUUGAUGUGGCUCAAUCAAAAGAUACCACUCUUUAUUUUCUAAAGCCGAAGAAAAAAUCAAUUAAAGUAACGCUAAGGAGAUUAAAUUUUAAAACAAAAUUUUGUAAACCAAAUGAUGUGGUUGUUGAUGAUUGGAUUACUACUUAAGUGUUGAUUAAUGUGUUUAUUUCCUAUUGGUGACACAUUCAUUAGUAUACAAAUUUGGUUUAAAAGUGUGAUUUACUUAGUAUUACUCAGUUAAUUAACAUGUCUAUUAUUUUUCCCAAUAAAAUAUAUAUUAAAAUAUCAUUGGAACAAAAUUAAAAAGUCAGCAUAUAAGAUCCAAUGAACCUGCAAAUUUCCAAUCUAAGAAAUAAAAUAUCAGUUGUAGAUAUAUCAGAAUAAAAUACUAAUAAUUGUGUCAAUUGUUGUUAUUGAUACGACAAGGAAAGAAAGCAAAACACAAUUAGGAUUGUAAUUAGCGGAGUAGGAACUGUUGUUGGACUGAGCUUUGUUGAUGACGUGGCGAAAUUCAACCCUCUUCCCAAAUAUGGAACUGUUACUAGAACUUCAAAAAUAUUAUUUGACACUCCUUACGAGUGUAUUUUUCUUUCUAAUUAUAAAAAGUUUGGAGUGCAAAAUGAAAUUUUUGAAGUUUCAAUAUCAAUUCCCUAAAUAUAUAUGGCAAAAAUUGUUGGGACUCUUCACAUUUGGAAGCCGGUGUAAUUCACUUAGGUACUCACUUUUUUUAUUUGGCUCAAUUAAAAAAUACCAUGUGCUUUUUAUUUUCUAAAGCCGACGGUAACGCCAAGAAGACUGAAUGUAUUGUAUUGUAACUUUAAAAUGUUACACUUUAAAAAAGUUUUUUUAUUAACACUUUAAAAUCUCAUUGUAUUGUAACUUUUUUCUUUCCAAAUAUAAACAUUUGAAGUGCACAAUGAGCUAUUUAGAAUAUCAAUAACAACAUCCUAAAAAUGAUUUUUCUUUUCAGUUUUAUUACAUAAUAAUGCUAGAUAUUCAAGUGAAAUUUUAAAUUUAUAGUUUUUGAAGCUUUUUUUCCUUAUAUUUGGUUGUUUAAGAUUGAAGUGUUUUUUAUUAUUUAGUGGAGGUUAUGUUGUAGCUCUUUUUACUUAUUAUUUAAUGAAAUUUGUAAACUUACAAUCAGUGAGUUCUAAAGUUUGUUUUGAUUAAACUAUUACUUGCAAGCAUUAAUACAAUGUCUUACUCUUUUUUGGAAAACUAUUUUAAGGAGUGACCUUUUACAAAUUUGACAUAGGCUUCCAAAAUUUCUAAGAUACUUUGACAAAAAGGAAACAACUUUUACAGUAUAUUGACAAAAAAAUAACAACUUUCGUACGUACAAGACCUACAGGUACACUUUCAUGUGGCUUCUCAUGACAAUAAAAUAAUAAUAUAAGAAGAAAAAAAACUUAUGCAUCUCUUUAUUAAAGGAGCUCUAAUGAAAAGGGUUUGGGCCAAUAAAUUUUAAUCAAAAAUCAUCCUAAAAUGUUAUUUAAUCAAAAUGGCUCAAAGUUUAAUAAACAAAUCAUCCAAAACUAUUGUCCAAUGGUCAAACUUACAAGCUCAACCCGCUACAAAUCUACACUUUCAUAAAUACCCAUAAAUGAUUCGAUAUCGUCCUGACUCUUCACCAACCUCAACCCAACACGAAACCGCCAUAAUAACUCCCUGUCUUCUUAUCAAAUCAAAUUCCCCCAUUUCAAAAACAACCAAAUCAAAGUUCAAAUCAAAGUUGGAAAAGGAAGCAUUAAUCGGAACAAAGUCGUCGAAAUAAAUACCCCUAAAUGAUUCGAUAUCGUCCUGACUCUUCACCAACCUCAACCCAGCACGAAACCGCCAUAAUAACUCCCUGUCUUCUUAUCAAAUCGAAUUCCCCCAUUUCAAAAACAACCAAAUCAAAGUUCAGAUCAAAGUUGAAAAAUUAAGCAUUCAUCGUAACAAAGUUGCCGAAAUAAGUUCAAAGAAGUUUAAUGGCAGAAACCGGCGAAAAAGUGUCUGAAAAAAAAAAAACCAAAACAUAAAAUUGUUUCUGGAGAACCCAAAACAUAACAUUGUUUCUGGAAAAAAAAAAAAUCAGAUACAAUGUUUGUUUUAUCUGUGCACAAACAAACACUAUAUCUGGAAAGAAAAGAACCAAAAUCCAGAAACAAUGACUUAAAUUCCAGAAACAUUGACUUAAAUUUAAAAAACAGUGACUCAAAUUCCAGAAACAGUCUAUGUUUUAACUAGGGGUGGGUUCGGUUUAAAUCGGUUCGGUUUUUUGCCAAAACCGAAACCAAACCAAAAUUUCAGUUCGGUUCGGUUCGGUUCAAUUUUUUUUCGGUUUUUUUCGGUUCGGUUUCAGUUUUUUGUUUUUAUUUUUUUUCAAAAAAUGAAAAACAUUGAAAUUUUAAAUUUUAACAUAUCCAUCAUAAUAUAAACAUUCUAACUAGAAUCAAAGACAAUGAAAAUAAACAUUUAAAGUUGAACUAAAAUCAUCAAUCAAGUCUUUCAAAGUCCAAACUAACAACCUCACAACACAAAAAUCACACAAAAAUCGUACAAAUGACUUAGAAAAGUUAAAUUAUAUGAUGUUGUUCAAAGAUCAGUGUUGUUUGCUUGUAACUGCAUGUUGACAACUUGAUUAGUAAAGGUAAUGCGUGGGUGGAUUUAUUUAGUGUGUGUUGGAUUCUUUUCCAUCACAAAUUACCCAAGUAAUCUACUCGGAAUAAAUGUUUAUGGAUUAUGUUACAUGUUAUAUGAGAGUAGAUUUGGAAAAGAAAGCUGGCGCAGAAGUAGACAGUGCUAUGGAGAUGGAUGUUGGUACUUCGGGAAGAAGUUUGGUUCCGGAACCUUAUAUGGGGGAGAAAUAAUAGGUUAGGGUUUAGAGUUUUUAUAGGCCUUUUUUUAAUAUUUUGAGCUUAAAGUUUGGCAACACAUUGGGUUAGCACAUUUUAACUUACAAAUUGGGUUUAGAAAAUAAUACCCAAAACAAAUAAUUAAAUAAAAAAAUUAAUUUAAUUAAUUCGGUUCGGUUUGGUUUGGUUCGGUUUCUAGAUCACUAAAACCGAACCGAACCGAAAGAAUUCGGUUCGGUUCGGUUUUUUCGGUUUCGGUUCGGUUUGGUUUUAGGUUUUUUUCGGUUUUCGGUUUUUUGAACCCACCCCUAGUUUUAACCUUUGACUGUUUCUUUUCUUUCAUGCAUCAAUUGAUUAUAUUUAAGAAACAUGGUGCUUAUUUUGCUUUGAAUUCAAAUACAGUGAAUUUAACUAUUUCUUUUUUAGCUUACAUUUAAGAAAUCGUGUGUCUAUUUCAUUUGGAUCCAUAAACAAUGACUUAGAUUUUAGAAACAGUAACUUAGAUUCCAGAAAUAAUGUUACUUAAAAUCCAGAAGCAAUUUAUUUUUACAGUCCAGAAACAGCGACCCGUUGUUAUUAUUGAAUAGCUUGCAUAUCUCAAAUUUAUUUUAUGGAGAAACAAAUGAUGAACUCCACUGACGAAGAAAAAUUGAAAAACAGUACAUCGAAUACACUAUGAAUAAUAACGACAAUCACAUUUCAACAAAAUAAUACAAAAUAUAAAUUAAAUAGUAUGAGGAUCUAUAUUUUUGUUUCAAAGAAAAAGAAGAAGGUCUGUAAAACAAUGAUGAACUCCAUUAACGACGAAAAUCUGGAACUCAACCUAAAAAAUUUAAGGAUAAAAUCGAUAAAUCAUAAUUUAUUAUAGUUGAACCAUUUUUAGUUGGACUACUUUAAUAUAAGUCUUGUACUAAUCAUUAAACAAACUUAUAAUAUUAUUUUUUUAUUAAAACUAAAAUUUUUCAAACAUUUUUCAUUAGUUUCGUUUUUAUUAAUUCAUUGACAUGACAGGCCAAUAAUUGCGGGUAUACAUGUGUUCUCCUGUUGACGCUUGCAAUGAUGUCAAUUGCAAACCAAGCAGCCAACCCCGACUCAAAACAUGAUUAGCAAUCCAUGAUAUUUUUUCACUUUUCAUCUUAAUAUUAAUUCUGACGUAUACGAAGACAAAAAGUUUUACGUCUCCUCCUACUCCUCCUCAGUCAGCUUCUAACAGAAUCAAACAGAUUCAGAGAGCCAAUUUUCUGGGCUUCGGGUUCGAAGCGAUUGAUCGUUCGAACCAUGGCUGAGGAGUGCAGAGAGACGCUGCUGAAGAAGGUUUACUAUGACGAGUGUCCCGGCUGUGUAGUGGAACAGCGUAAAGAGCUGCAGAGAGGUCUUCCUAUUAAAAUGCUUGUUUCUAUAUGGCUUAUUGCUCUUUCAUCUGGUAAGAAAAAAAAAUUUCCCUUCUGAUUUUAUUUAUCUGUUGGAGCGGAAAAAUUUGGAUACUAAUUCUCCAUCAACAAGUAAUCUUGAACUUAUUGAGAAGGUUUAGACACCAUCUUCGCUUGCCAUCGAUGAGGGAGGAAGGGGACCUGCAAAAAAUAACUCUAAAGCUCAACUUAGUAUUUGUUUAGAAUGCCUCUAAAAUAUAGAACGAUCUCAAACCUCUAUCUUCAACCCAUGCUGGUGUGAUUAUUGGCCUUUUGUAGGCAUAAAAUGUUUGGCCUCCAAGUCCUACUCUCCUUCUAUUUUUCCAUGUUCUAUGGGUAUUAGGUUGCUUCAUUGUAGCUACACUCCCCAUUUUUGGCGUGCUAGUGACUUGUUUAGUAGAGGAGUAAUUUUUUUAAAUGGUUUAACCCUGAUCUAAUCGUUUUGCAGCGCUGCCAGUAUCAUCUCUCUUUCCAUUCCUUUAUUUCAUGGUGGGUGCAUACUUAUUAAUACUGUUGUUACUUGUAUUUCUAAAAUUUUAUAAAAAAAUUCAACCUUCAAAACCCGUUGAAGUAGAUUUGGUAUCUCAGGAUUCCAAAUUAUUGUUUUGCAGAUCAGGGAUUUGCAUAUUGCUAAAAGAGAGGAAGACAUUGGCUACUAUGCUGGAUAUGUAGGUGAGUUGAUGAUCGUCACUACUUAACUUUCAUAUUCUUCACCAUUUCGUUCCUUUAAGAACUUCCGUACAUUGUGAAGGGGCUUCAUUUAUGCUUGGCAGAGUUCUGACAUCAAUUUUGUGGGGAAUGGUGGCGGAUCGCUAUGGUCGGAAGCCUGUCAUAAUUAUAGGGACUGUUGCAGUGUUAGUAACUUCUAUUCUGCAAUUGAGUUUCAUUUUGAUUAUUUGGCAAUUAACACUGGCUGUUUUCUUCAACACUUUUCUCUGCGUAUUUACAAAUUAUUUUUACCAUUUACUGGCUCAGGGUUAUUUUCAACACUUUAUUUGGACUCAGUGUAAACUAUUGGAUGGCUAUUUGUACACGGUUUCUUCUUGGAAGUUUGAAUGGUUCGCUUGGGCCGAUUAAGGUACUACAUCGUGUCAUGUACGAUUAUUAAUGAUGUCAUUGCACCUGUACAACCACGUAUGUAAUGUCCCCGUUACUUAGAAUAUAUGAUUUAACUGCAUGACCAGGCAUACGCAUGUGAAGCCUUCCGAGAAGAACACCAAGCUUUAAGCAUGUCAACAGUAAGCCACAUUGGCCUCUGGGUUCUGCAGCUUCUUUUAAUAAAUGUUCUACAUCAUCAACAUUGAGAGUUAUCAUCUUUUUUAUCAGGUUAGUGUAGCCCGGGGUAUCGGAUUGAUCAUUGGCCCAGCUUUGGGAGGUUUCUUGGCCCAGGUAAUUCUACCUCGUGUACUUUCACGCUAGGAACCACACUUCAGAAAAUCCCUUAGUGUGCGUGUAUUUUGUCGUGCUAAUUGUUUAGCAAGACCAUUCAAUGAAACUUUUUGUGACUCCAUAUGUGUCAAAUGAUGGAAGAGGUGUAUCGUUGAUGUGCCUUUACCUAGACAACUUAAUUUCUUUAAUCCUCUAAAAAGAACAACAAUAACUAGCUCCAUUCCAAAUAUGAUACUUCGGAAAAGUCAGAGAAUGUUUCAAUGCAUGUUCUUUUGUAGAACUAGAUAUGUUUAACACUACAUGUUCGACAGUCAUUAUACAACCACAUACAUGAAUAAUUCACGAAAGCUGCAACUUGCUGCAGAAAAAAUCAUGGGAAGCGCAUGUGGUAUCACUAACACAUGGGAAUUAAUUUUAAGGCUGAAAGCAAGCGUGAGGUGUCCCAGUCGGUUCUGAAUUAGUACAGGGGUUAGAGUGUGAGAACGUUGGUUUUAGAAGGAAUAGGUUAAAUAGAGCAAAUAAUGGCUCACUGUCGAGUACGCUUCGUGAAAAUUAUGGGGUAGCAGAUGAUUUUAGUAUUUCAAGGCUGUUUCCUGCGAGUUUAAGGUUGUGGGAUACUAAAACGAUCUUAUUGCAGCGCUAGCAUGUCUGUAUAAUAUGAUGACUAUUCAGAGCUAUUGGACACUAAAGAAGAAACUAUUCUAUUCUUUGUUAUUUUUUCCUGGUUGAUCUCUCUCUCUCUCUCUCUCUCUCUCUCACUUAGCGUCUUGUCUUCUAGAUUAUUAAUGUGAUGUACCUAACAAUAUGCAGCCAGCAGACAAAUAUCCAAGUAUAUUUUCCCAAAACUCGAUAUUUGGGAGGUAAGUUUGGCUACUUAUUAAGUACACUGCAAUGGAUUGUCAAAUUUCUGAAGUUUUUGUGUUAUUUAUUUGUUGCAGUAUGAUGUUCCAUAUAUAAUGUGAAAUAUUUGUGCAGGUUUCCGUAUUUCUUGCCUUGCCUAUGUAUAUCGGCUUUAGCGUUUGGAGUAACCAUUAUUUCUUUCUGGCUUCCGGUACAUAUCUUAGUAUAUAUUCCUUUAUGCUGAUAAAUCUCUUUUAUUUUUUCCUCAUUGCUGUUUUUGGCCUCUUAUAAUUUUUUUCUCAAUUUUCUCAAUAGAUGCCUCCAUGAAAUCUUGAAUGCAGGCCUCCCUUACUGUCCUGCAUUACAUAUAGACGCAGUUCCUAAAUGAAAAGUACCUGUUAAUACCAAGUUCCAUUCUUAUAUUAUAUUAUCUAAUCAUAUACUCCGUGCGUUCUAUACUCAUUCAUCCUAGCACGCCUUAACUUAUUUAUACGUGAAUGAGAAGAUUUCAGACAUCUUGUCUUUCACUCUUUAUUUGAAUAUAACUUCUUGACAAUCUCCCAAGAAGAGAGAAACUAGUAAUGCUUGGUUCAUCUUUAGCACAUGUUUACAUUAAGUACUCUUUGAAACUAUACGCAUUAACAGAAAAUUUCCGUAUUUUGGUGGUUGCAGGAAACUUUACACCAGCACAACGGAAAAGCUAGAUUACACGAUGAUUCUUAUGAAGCUUUGGAAACUGCAUCUGGUGGGUCUGAUGCAAAUGAAAAGCAAAAAACUGAAGAACAAACACCUAAAGAAAACCUUUUCAAGAAUUGGCCCUUAAUGUCUUCAAUCAUUGUUUAUUGUGUUUUCUCACUUCAUGACAUGGCUUAUGCAGAGGUAACUUCCGUGCGUUUUUUCAUUUUAACACGGUAUAGUACAAUUUUCCGCAUCUUCCCUUUUCCUUUUCCUCUCUUUUACUUGAAGUGAUAUACUAUGUGUUUCUUAUGAUUCAUUUAAAACAGAUAUUCUCAUUAUGGGCCGUGAGUCCUCGGAAGUUUGGGGGUUUGAGCUUUACAACUGAGGACGUUGGUGAAGUUCUUGCAAUUUCUGGUAACACUUGAUAUUUCCACAUGUUCCUAAAGCACAUUAUGAUAUGCAUAACAUAUCUGGGAUAUUUGCUUUAUAUGCGGUCUCUGCUUGUUUCGAUAUGUGACUAACUACAUAUACAGAACAAUGGCUGACAACUUAAUCAACUUGUAGGUUUUAGUCUUUUUGUCUUCCAAAUUACUCUAUAUCCAUAUGUUGAAAGGCUUCUUGGUCCUGUUAUGAUUGCUCGCGUUGGAGGGGUAAGUUUUCCGCUCCUGUUCCCUGUGCAGUAUACUACCUUCCGCACUUUAGUUCUUUUUGCAAAUAAUUGUCCUUUGACCUAAUUCCUGGUGACUGAUAUUAAUUAUAGGGGUGUGAUAUCCACACACUCCUUUUUACUUCUCCCACACCUUUUUAGUUUUCGGCCGUCGAUCAGAUGAAUUGAAGAAGAUCAACGGACAUAAAUUAACAAGGGGUGUGUGGACAGCACACCCCAAAUUUUUAUCUUCAUGGUUUUUUCAUUCGCGU